UGUGUUUAACUGUUAAGCCCAAAAGAAAAAAGGAAAAACUGCACAUACAUAUUCUCUUUCUAUUAAAAAAAUAUUCCUUAUUCUAUAAUAAUAAAGAUAUUCUUUAUCAUCUAACUUGUCUAGCAUGAGACACGCGCAAUCUUAAGUCCAAGAAAGUACUACUAUUCCUAUCAAUCAAACAUCUCUCUACUAGUUUUAUGUGAAAAUAGCCGUUUUAUAGAAAAAUAUAUAUAUAAAGUUUAGUCCCUUUGUAAAACUUAUGGUCAAACUAGUCUCUUUAUUACCAAGUCUAUGUCAUAAUUUUUUUUCUUUUCAAAAUUUAAGUUAAUUGAAACUACAAUUAACAAUUGAGAUUUUAUUUUUGAACCAAAACUUUAAUUACUAAUUGAACUUCAUUAAUUUUUUUUACUUUAAAAUUUAAUUAAAAAAAUAUUAAAUUAUGUUGGAAUUAAAAAUAUAUAAUUUAAUAAUAAUAAAUUUAUAUAUUUAAAUUUAAUGAUCUAAUAUUAUUUUAAUAAAGAUAAAUUGAUAAAUAUAAUAAUAAAUGAAUAUUUUAUUUAUUAAUAAAUUAAUAAUCUUAAAAUAAUAAAAUUAUAUGAUACAUAUAUAAGAUAUAAAAUUAUAUAAUUUAUUAAUUUAAGAUAUUUAAUUUAUUUUGUUUUUAAGAUAUAAAAGUAUAUGUACUUGCUACAACUAGAAAGGGGUUUUUGGUUUUUUUUUUCAUUAUCUAAAUGUUUAGUGGAUAUUUUUUUGUAACUUUGAUGAAACUAUUGAAAAUGAUAUUUUAUAGUAGACUUUUUCUAAGUAAUUUCAUUAACUAAUUUCAAAACGUAUCUUCAAGGCAUAUAUGUUAUGUGUACAAAUAAUAGUAUUUUUUUUUUUAUGUAAAAUUAUAAACAAAUGUUUUAAAAUAAUAAAAAAAUCUAUAUAUGGAAACUUAAGAAUAUACUAUUAUUUAAAUAAAGAUAAAUUUGUCAAAAUACAAAUAAAUUAAUAUCUUAAAAAUAUAAUAAAUUAAAUAACUUAAAUUAAUAAAUUAUAUAAUUUUAUAUCUUAUUUAUGUAUCAUAUAAUUUUAUUAUUUUAAGAUUAUUAAUUUAAUAAUAAAUAAAAUAUUUAUUUAUUAUUAUAUUUAUCAAUUUAUCUUUAUUGAAAUAAUAUUAGAUCUUUAAAUUUGAACAUAUAAAUUUUUUUAUCGUUAAAUUAUACAUUUUUAAUUUCAACAAUAACUUGUAAUUUAAUAUAUUUAUUAGACCACAAAAUUUGUCCCAAUUUUAUCUUUACAUUAAUUUUGAGUCCAGUUUUGAAUUCCAAUUACAUAUAUUUUUUGGUCAACUUACCAUUUAAUAGCUUUUAUUAUUUUGUAUAUCAUUUUAUUUUAUUUUAUUACUAAUACUUUUAUUUUAUUAUUAUUAUUACUAUUAUUUUAUUAUUAUUAUUAUUAUUAUUAUAUCUUUUUUAUUUUAUUUUUUCUCUUUCUUUUCUCUCUCCUCCCUCCUCUCUCUUUCCUACCCCAACCACCCCACCCUCUUCUUCUCUCUCUUCCCAUUCUUCCCACACGGCUGCCCCCCUUUCCCCCCAUUUUUGUUUUUCUCCCCAUUUUGUUCCCUGUCUUUUCCUCCCAAUUCCCAAGAUUUUCCCCCCAUUUUUUUUCCUCUUCUCUUCUCUAUCCUUUUUCCUCUUUUUCCCUCAUCGAAACACGUCGGACCCUCCAACUCUGAUUUUUUUGAUUUAUUUUUUUCCCUUUUUGGCCGCAACCGGCCAUUGAAGAGUUUUGGCGGGGGGUGUUUUUUUCUCUUUUUUUUUGCUGCUAAGACGGGGAAUGGACCCGUUUUUUUUUUUUUUUUUUCUUUUCUUCCUCCAUUCCUCUUCUUCUUCCCACAGCCAACCCCCAUUUUUUUUCUUCCCUUUCUCCAUUUUUUUUUUCUUUUUUUAGUUUUUCUCCUCCUGUUUUCCCAAGAGAGUCGACCCCCAUUUUUAUUUUAUUUUUUUAUUUUUUCCUUUUUCUUCUUCCCCCAAAAGCACCCAACAACCAGCUCCCCCAUUCCUCUUCCAUUUUUAUUUUUUAUUUUAUUAUUUUUAUUUCAAUUUAUUUUAUUUUAUUUUAUUUGUGAUUCCUAAAAAAAAUCAUCCACUACUGCUGACAAGACCGUCGACGAGCCACCGUCGGUCGACGACCCCUUUCCCAUCUCAUCUGUUCCCGUUAUUAUUAUUAUUAUUAUUAUUAUUAUUAUUAUUAUUAUUAUUAUUGUUAUUAUUAUUAUUGUUAUUGUUAUUAUUAUUAUUGUUAUUGUUAUUGUUGUUAUUGUUAUUGUUGUUAUUUUAAUUUAUUUUAGUAGUAAUUUUUGUUUAUGAAAUUUGGAUUGUUGAAUUAAUAUGAAAUUUGGGGUUAAUUUGUUGUUGGUAGAUUAAUACAUAAUUUGAUUUAAUUUAUUGUUAGUGAAUUAAUUUGAAAUUUGUUAAUUUGGGUUUGUGGGUAUAUUGUAUUGGGUGAUUAAUUUGAGGAUAUUUAGAUUAUAUCAAUUGCAUAUUGUUUAUUUGGACUUGGGCCUAUUGUUAAAUUGUUAUUUGUUUGGGCUUAUUGAAUUGGGCUUGAAAUAUUGUUUCUCUUGACCAUGUGUUUUUUUUUAUGUGGGCUUGUUAAUUGAUGUGAAUUUUGGGGUACAUAAUGUGGAUGAGAUUUGUUGGAUUAUUUGAAUAUUUGAUAUGAGUUUGACCAAUUUAAAUUAUUUAAUUUGGACAUAGGACAAUUGUGGUGUAUAUUAAACUAGGCUUAGAUUAUAAAAUAUUAAGUUUAGGUCUAGUAGAAUUUAUUUUAAUUUAUCCAAUUUUAGGUUUGGUUGAUUGUAUUUGUAUUUUUGGUUAUUAAUUUGGAUGUUCUGGGUUAAGACCUAUAGUAAUUUGGGCUCAUUUUAAAUUGACAAAAUUUAUGGGACUAAUUUGAAAUUGGGAUUUGGGUUUCAAUAUUUGUUUGAGAUUUUAUACAUCUCUGGAUAUUUACAUUUGCGCUGUUUUUGUUUUUGCAUGAACUCAUUCUGCAAUCUUGUUGGCUUGAGUACGAAUUGAUGACACGUGAAGUUUGUUGUAAGUUUAUUUGGGUACAUAUUUUAUUUACCACUUUUAUGUGGUUUUAUUUUAAUUAAAUCUUGUAAAUAUUUGUUCGUUUAUAUUUAUUGAGUGUAUACAAAAUUGAACAUCAAACAAAUUAAAAUUUUUGUUUAAAUGAGAGGAAGAAUUCAGUAAAUAUGUUCUAAUAAAAUACUAAUUUCAAAAUAUCCUUUUUAAUAAAAGAAAGUUUUUUUAUUUUUAUUUUUUAUUUUUAUUUAUUUAUUAAUUUUUUUUUAUCUAUUUAUGAAAAUUCAAAAAAAUGCAUUUAGAAAAUCCAAAAAAAAAAAAUUGUUUUUAAUAGAAUUCGAAAAAUUGUUUUUAAUGACAUUGUUCAAAAAUUUAUUUGUUUAAUAAAAAUUGCCCAAAAAUUAUUUUGUAAAUAAAGUUGUCCCAAAACUAAAUUUUUAGUAAAAUUGUCUAAAAAUAUUUUUUUAAACGAAUUCUUUUUCUUCCUUAAUUAAAACGAAAUUAAAAGUGUUUUUCAAAAAUAGAGAAUUUAAAUAUUUGUUUUUCCUUUUAAUUAAAAUUUCUCUUGCAAACAAAGUUGUGUCAUUUUAAAUAAUUUAUAAAAAUCACUCUUUUAAAUGAAAAUGAAUUUAAAUACUUUUGUAAAUAAAAUUGUAAAAAUUUAUUAUUUUCUAGUAAAAGCAAGUAAAAAUAAUUUUUGUACUCAAAUUGAAAUUUUGUAAUAAAUUCUUUUAAUACAAUAAGUGUAAAUAGUUUUUUUGAAAAUUGAAUAUAAUUGAAAUUGAGAAAAUAAAUUGAUUUUUUUUAUAAGUAAAUAAAUGGAAAUCACUAAUUCAAGAUCAUUUUUAAUAGAAUCCUUUGAAAUUUCUUUAAUUUUUUUUUAAAUAUCUUUUAUUUAUUUAAUUCAAUAAAUCAUUUUGCAUAAUCCUCUUAUUAUUUAUUUUGUGUAUUUUUGGAAUUAGAUUUUAUCAUCGUUUUUGUGCAUAUUAAUUUUCACCAUGACUUGUAUAUUGAUUAUUUUUCUUGGUAUCUAUAAUUAAUUAAUUAAUUGUCACAAUUUCCUCAAUUUGUUUAGUAGAAGCCAUACGUAUACGGGCUUAGAGGGGUGCUACGGCUUACCACCGUACCUUCCCAAUGAGUAAUCUAACCCUCGGACCCAGAUUCAGUUUUUCACAGACUCGUUUUUUCCUUCAGGAGUCACACUUAGGGUUUUUCUUUCUUAUUUUGUUUUUCCCUUUAAAAAUAAAACAAAAAUAAGUGGCGACUCAAAGUCUUUUUCUAAAAAUCAAAUUUUCACCAAAUAAAAAGGGAGUUUCGCCAUCGAGUGGGAACACAUCGAGAAAAUGCAGGGUCCACAAAAUGGCGACUCCACUGGGGAUUUUUAGAGGGUCAAACUUGAACUUGAGUUGAGGGGAAUGUGGCGUUUGAUCGGUUAAUUAAUGGAUACCCCUCUCUAUGUGUCUUGGUAUGAUUGGUUGUUGAUUACACAUUGAGAGCUUUGAUAUGUUUGUCUGCAAUAUAUGUUUGGUUGUUAUGUUCAUUUGUGAUGUUGAUAUGUUGAUUACAUCGAUUGAUUUUCUUACCGACUUUAGCAUAGUGACUCUUCUUGUUGUAUGUUUAUCUUGCUUUUCUAGACAUGUAUAUUCUCAUUUUUAUAUCUUAUUCAUCUUGGCAUGAUUGAUUCUAUUUGUUAUAUAUUAUCUUGUUUAUCUUGACAUAUUGUCUAUUCUUGUUAUAUUCCUAUCUUGCUUAUCAUAUUCUUGCCUAGCUUGUGUGUAGAUAUGAGUUAUAUACCUGUUAUUUGCAUGACUGCUUUGGUGUAUGACUGCUAUUCUUUUAUGUGAUGCAUGUAUUGCUUGUCUGUGUGGGACACACAUCUAUCCCCUUACCUUCAACUCCCUAGACUCGGUCGACCUUGUUUCACUUGAUCUCAUAUUCGAUAUGAGACUUGUUACUUUGUUUGCUCUUCGACCGAGUUAGGGGUUAGGAGUAGGGUCUAGCGACGGGCUAUACCGAUGUUUGGGAGCAUUCUGGAGGAAAACGACACUUUGAUGUCGAUUAGAGUCUGAUCAUUGAAGACCUGUAUAGCCUGAAGCUAGGUUUCAUGGAUAUUUGUGUAAUCAGUGUGUUUCUUUUUCUAUUUUAGCUUUGUAGGGUUUUUCGGAUGCGCCCGCACCAUCACUGCGCACUCUAGCUGACCAUUGAGAGUCGAGAGUUUUGAGAGGUUUCACCAUAGGAAACCCCCUGGGAUGUCGAGGUAGUGCAUGUGUAGAGGUGAUGACCACCUUGCAUGGAAGCACCCCGCCUCUAAGGAGGCGUGCAGAGGGUUGCGUACCGCUGGAGGGUAUGAUCGCUUCUACUAAGGGAUCUUUUAAAGUCCACCUUUAUCCUUUUAGAGCCACCUUGACCUCAUAGGUUGAGCCGUAGAUCCUUCAAUUAGGACUCCCUCCCUACACGUGGGUGCAUCUGAAGGCCUUCAGAGCCUCUUUGAUCAUAGUUGGGAUUCAGUAUUCCCUCUAUUUAGUGUCUAGUGAGAGUGCACUGAGAUUAGUACGAGUUUGGGUACGGUCAGACGGUCCGUCUUUGUUUUUGAUGCCUUGCUCAUUCCAAUUCAGACUAGCAUUUCUUCCACGUUUUCCCUGUGCCUACCAUAUCUCAUGUUUCAUGCUCUUCAGGAUUGUUUCUUCAUUCUCAGUGUGGAUUUACCAUCUUGGGUUAGAGUACAGGGGAGCUUAGUUCGAUUUUUCGAGAGGUCAAGCAUAGAUCAGUAGACUGUCACAAUUGGCUAGUUCACAGACGCCAUGGAUUCUAUUAAGGUAUCUUGUGCUUCAUGCUCUUCAGGAUUGGUUUUUCAUUCUCAGUGUGGAUUUGUCAUCUUGGGUCAGAGUAGAGGGGAUAUUAGUUCGCUUUUCCGAGAGAUCAGACAUGGAUCAGUCGGUUGUCACAGUUGGCUAGUUCAUAGACGCCAUGGAUUCUAUUAAGGUAUCUUGUGCUUCAUGCUCUUCAGGAUUGGUUUUUCAUUCUCUGUGUGGAUUUGUCAUCUUGGGUCAGAGUAGAGGGGAUAUUAGUUCGCUUUUCCGAGAGAUCAGACAUGGAUCAGCCGGUUGUCACAGUUGGCUAGUUCACAGACGCCAUGGAUUCUAUUAAGGUAUCUUGUGCUUCAUGCUCUUCAGGAUUGGUUUUUCAUUCUCUGUGUGGAUUUGUCAUCUUGGGUCAGAGUAGAGGGGAUAUUAGUUCGCUUUUCCGAGAGAUCAGACAUGGAUCAGCCGGUUGUCACAGUUGGCUAGUUCACAGACGCCAUGGAUUCUAUUAAGGUAUCUUGUGCUUCAUGCUCUUCAGGAUUGGUUUUUCAUUCUCUGUGUGGAUUUGUCAUCUUGGGUCAGAGUAGAGGGGAUAUUAGUUCGCUUUUCCGAGAGAUCAGACAUGGAUCAGCGGGUUGUCACAUUGAUCAGUUCACGGCCGCCAUGGCUUCUAUUUAGGAGGCCUUGGCCAGUCUCAGGCAGGAGAUAGACAAUCAGCAGAGUAGACAGUCCUUGAGGAUACUCAUUCAUGUAUGGAUCGUAUUGAGUAGCGUAUCAAGUAGUUGAGAGUAUCUGACAGUUCAUCGACUUGGGAUGAUCUUGAUAGUAUACCAGUAGCCAGUCUACCAGCUAAGUUCAGGAUGCCUGACAUUGAGAGGUACACGGGCGUUGGUUGUCCAUGUAUUCAUCUUCGACUCUACAAUACUGUGAUGAGGGUCCAUAGGUUAUACGAGUCACAGAUGAUCACCAUGUUUCUUCUAUCUUUGAGUGGCGCAACCCAGCAUUAGUUCGCAUCUUUGGAGUCCUCGCGACGCAGGACAUGGGAUGACCUAGCUUAGGAGUUUCUGUGACAGUUUUGAUUUAGUAUUGUCGUAGAUGUGUCGAGGAGAGAGCUUGAGGGUUUCAGACAGAGAUCAGAUGAGUCCAUUUCUUUCUUCAUCUCCCGUUAGUGGGGGAAGAUAGCAGAGAUUGUUGAUUGACCAUUAUAGAGAGGUGACUUAGUCUUGAGGUUCAUAAGAGGAUUGAUUAGAGAUCCUAGAGGGAAGUUCGGACCCAGUUGGAGCGGACUUUAUUUCAUCAGGGAGUUGACCCUAGAGGGCGCUGCAUGGUUGAUGGAUCUAGAUGGAAAUCGAUUCUCAGAGCCGACCAAUGUGGAUCAGCUAAAGAGGAACUAUGUUUGAGACUGUGGUCGCAGGAUGGGUGGCCAUCAUUUCGGUUAGCCAUAUACCCUUUCACCCUUUUGAUACAUAGACCGUUGCUAGCCCAUUGAGCCUCACAUGUGCAUUAUAACCUUUCUUUCUUAUCGCCUUGCACACAUUUUUACACCGGGAUAAGGGCCCUUUAGUAUAUGCAUGCAUUGUUUGGGAGCCUCAUGAGUCUUGGACCUACAAGUGCAUAUUUCUCUCAUCAUUUUUUCCUACCAUUACAUUACUGCAUUCCAUCGUAUCUCAGUGGUUGUCCUUCAUCUUUUCUUCUUUGUUCUAUCUACUGCUUGUUUUGUUUCCUAUUCUCUCCACCUUGAGUGGUGAUCCUCCUCAGUUCAUUACAUGGAGGAUAGUCACAUCAUUUUCACUAUUUAUUCUAUGGACACUGGUUCAGAGAUUCUUAGUUUGAGAAGGUCAUUUUGUCAGAGAGAGUUUUUGUUACCUUAGUUUUGAGAGUGUCUAUCCAUCGUUCAUAUCAUCUUUGGGGCUUAUUUUGUUCAUGUUCAGGGUGUGUACAUUUGUAUAUAUGUAAAAAAAAAAAAAAUAAUAAUAAAAAAAAAAAUUGAAAAGAAAAAAAAAAAAAGAAUGAAAAAAAAACGCAGGUGUGUAUUAUUUUUUAUCAUUGAGUGUGUAUAUUGAUGUUCGAGGGUCACUUGAUUAAGUAUAUUUGUUGAUGGGAGUUCGUAUGUGAGCUUUCCGAGGCCCUCCAUGCUUUGUAUUCAUUUUUAUUGUAUAUUUCGAGAGUGAGAUGAGUGACCUUCUCCUAGGAGCUCUGGGUCAUUGUCCCUUCCAUCAUUACGUUCAUUGUUGAUGUGACUUCACUUCAUGUCUGAUUUGAGUUGAUCACUACUCCUAUUUGUGUUAUUUGUUCCAUCAUCAUCCUCGUUUUCGCUUCUGAUUCAUCAUUUUCACUUCACGUCUUAUUCUUUUCUUAUACCAACCCAUCUCGGGUUUGAUACUCUCUUCGCAUCAUCAUUACACAUAUCACAUCACUAUCAGUUCAUUUUGCUUCAUUUGUCUCCUUAUCGACAUCAUAUUCACAUUAGGCAUCCUUAGGUCCAUGGCUCACGGGAUUCACUAUACAUGUUGCAUUUCAUAUAUGAGGGCAUGAGUUUUUUAUCAUUGGGUAUUUGAGCCUAGUUUUCUUUCAUUUCUAUCACCCUAUCACCUUGACCUACGUUACGUCCUGUGUCUUAAGACCACCCUGAGGCCAUGAGAUCAGAUGUCGUCUUCGACAGCCUCUACUUGGACAGGUGUUUGAGAUCUGGUUGAUAUUUAGAUAUUAUCAUGCUUCUUCUUCUGGGAGUCGUCUCUUUGAUGUUUAGAUCUGAUUUAGCUGUGUUUGGGUUAUCGGGAUCAUGCGCUUGACGAUGGAUGAUUUGAUGUCACUUGAUUUUUCUAAUUUAUCACAUAUUCGAUGUAAUACUGGGGCAUAUUUCGUUUCGAGCGAGAUCUAUAGAUCUUCAGGGAAUUGCAUGCUUAUCCCCACUUGCGAGAUGUACGUUGAGAUGAUUGAUUGGUUCGUUAUUUUAUGAUGAUCCCUCAGUGGAGCCUCUGUGGAGCCAUUCAGUCAGGCCCACAUUUCUCAGCAUUUGGUUGUCGCCAUGCUUCUUAUCCUGGGAGACAUUUCCUAGUUGUUUGAACUUGAUUUGGAUCACGGAGGUCACAUGUUCGAUGAUAGAUGAUUCCAUGUCACCUGGUUUUUGACCUACCUUACAUUCGAUGCCAUACUGGGGCAUAUUUCCGACCUGGACGAGAUUUAUACAUCUUCACGGAGUUACAUGAUCACUCCCACUUGUGGGAUGCACACCGAGACGAUGACGUGUUUGUUAUCUUAUCAUGAUCUCCCAAGAAAGCCUCUCUUGAGUGAUUCAGUCAAGCGCACACUUUUGACAUUUAGAUGUCCUCAUGCUUCUUCUUUUGAGAUACGCCUUUUGAUAUGUGGGUUGGAUUCAACUAUGGAUUUGGAUGAUUGGGAUCACACAUUUGAUGAUAGAUUAUUUGAUGUUGUCCGAUUUCUGGCUUAUUCCACAUCUGAUUCCAUAUUAGGGCAUGUUUUCAUUUUGAUUGAGAUUUAUAGAUCUUCAUGGAGCUACAUGAUCACUUCCACUUGCGGGAUGCACACCGAGACGAGGACGUGUUCGUUAUUUUAUCAUGGUCCCUCGGUGGAGCCUCUCUUGAGCCAUCUAGUCAGACCCGUAUUUUUUGGCAUUUGUAUGUCAUCAUGCUUCUUAUUCCGAGAGACAUUUCCUUGAUGUUUGGGUUCGAUUUGGAUUACGAAGAUCGCACAUUUGACGAUUGAUGGUUUCAUGUCACUCGAUUUUUGACUUACCAUACAUCUGAUGCCAUACUGGGGCAUAUUUCCGUUUCGAUUAAGAUUUACAGAUCUUCAUGGAGUUGCAUGCUCAUCCCCACUUACGAGAUACACAUUGAGACGAUGACGCUCCAAUAGAGUCUCUCUAGAGCUAUCCAAUUAGGUCUGCACCUUUUGGCACUUAUAUGUCAUCAUGCUUCCUCCCAGGAUACGCCUCUUUGACUUGUGGGUCUGAUUCAGUUAUAGAUUCGGGUGACUAGGAUUGCAUAGUUGAUGAUUGAUGAUUUGAUGUCAGUUGAUCUUUUCGACCUAUCGCACAUUCGAUGCCAUAAUGGAACAUAUUUGUCAUCUCGAUCGAGAUCUGUAGAUCUCCAUGGAUUUGCAUGAUCUUCCCCAGUUAUGAGAUACAUGUCAGGUUGAUGAUUCGAUUUCAUUUGUCCUGAUUCUUUGGUGGAGCCUUUAUUGAGCCUUUCAGUCAGACUCAUAUUUUCUGAUAUUAUCAUGAUUCUCGAGUGGAGUUACUCCAGGCUCAUAGGUUUCCACAUCACCAUUUCAGUGGAGUACACGUCAGAUCUUUUAUGCAUCCCCAUGGAGUUAUUCUUGAGUUAUUAGGGUAGAUCGGGUACAUUUGAUGCCAUGUUGGGGCAUAUUCCUUCCUUUAGCUAUGGAGAUGAUUGUUCUCUCAUAGAUCUGUUACAGUUUUCAUCACUCGGCCAAGGGAUACCGUAUUUGCUUUACUGGUCACUAUUCUUAUGAUUUUCAUUGAGAUGAGCUUUCGGUAGAGCAUGACAUUCAGGUUGUGAUUGUCUCGCUAUCUAUGACCCCACAGUAGAUUGUUUUGAUGAGAUCGUGGUAGUUACCCUGACGGAUUAUUCUCUUGAGGCUCUCUAGUGGAUUACCCAUUUGAGAUGACAAUGGAUUCCUCCAACAGAGCAUUUCAAGAUAGAGACGUCUAACUUAUUGUGACAUCUCGUCAGGCCUCGUGAUCCAGAUUGAUGGAUUGCGAGACUAUGUUUAUAGUCGAUUUGAUCAUUUCGACUCGCUAACAGAAUAUCUUUUGAGGCUCAUGGAGUCUCUUUUAUACAUUCUCAGAGGAUAAAGAGUUGUGGAGGCACGCUACACUAGGGCAUAUUUUCCCCUAUCAUCGUUUCCUUGUCGUUUGGCAUUCAGAGUCGCCAUCCAUUCUCAGAUACAACGUACAGAGUCAUCCAUUUUUAGCUUGGCGUUCAGAGCCACCAUUUCUUCGCAGUUUGGCGUUCAGAGCCACAUGUUCAUUUUGACGUUCAGAGUCGUCGUUCAUUUUCUGUUUGGCAUAUAGAGCCGCUUUUUUACCUUGGCGUUCAGAGCCACGUUUUCAGUUUGACAGAGUCACAUUUUCAGUUUCGGUACUCAGAGCCACUAUUGUCGCUUCUCAGUUGCGACAUUCAGAGCCAUCAUCAUCACAUUUUCAGUUUGACGUUCAGAGUCGCAUUUUCAGUUUUGGCAUUCAGAGCCAUCAUCAUCGCAUUUUUUGUUUCGGCAUUCAAAGCCAUCAUCAUCACAUUUUCAGCUUGGCGUUCAAAGCCAUCAUCAUCACUUCUCAGUUUCGGCAUUCAGAGCCAUCAUCAUCGCAUUUUUGGUUUCGGCGUUCAUGAGUCAUCAUUAUCGCUUCUCAGUUUUCGGCAUUCAGAGCCAUCAUCGUCACAUUUUCAGCUCGAUGUUCAGAGUCACAUUUUCAGUUUCGGCGUUCAGAGCCAUCAUUAUCGCUUCUCAGUUUUCAUCAUUCAGAGCCAUCAUCAUCGCAUUUUUGGUUUCGGCACUCAUGAGCCAUCAUCAUCACUUCUCAAUUUUGGAGUUCAGGGCCAUCAUCAUCGCAUUUUCAGUUUGGCGUUCAGAACCACCAUUUUUUUCAGUUCGGCGUUCGGAGCCACUAUCUCUUCUCAAUUUUAGGUGUUCAGGGAGUCGUCGUUCUCACAUUCAGGUGUUCAGAGUCAUCAUCUCUCCACAGUUUGACAUUCAGAACCAUCAUCUCCUCUCGGUUUGGGUAUUCAGAGCCACCAUUCUUUCUUAGCUUGACAUUUAGAGUCAUCAUCCUAUCAUGAUCGGACGUUUGUCGCCACCUUUUUGGCGUUCAGAGUCAUCGUCCACACUUAGGCGUUCAGAGCCAUCGUUCAUAUUCAGGCGUUCAGAGUCAUCGUUCACAUUCAGGUAUUCAAAGUCGUCAUUCACAUUCAGACGUUCAGAGUCAUCAUCUACAUUCAGGCGUUUAGAGCCACAUUACUAGCAUUUAGGAUUGUCGUCUUAUUUUAGAUUAGCAUUCGAAGUCAUUCUUAUUGUUCAGAGCCGCAUCUCCAGUUUCAGCAUUCAGAGUCACAAUUUCUGCCCAGUUUGACGUUCGGAGUCACCAUUCCUUUCCAGUUUGGCAUUUAGAGCCACCUUCUUUUUUUGAUUCAGCGUUCAGAGCUGCAUCGUCGCCUUGGCAUUCAGAGUCGUAUCUUCAGUUUAGCGUUCAAAGCCGUUGUUUUUCUUUAGCUCGAUAUCUAGAGUCGUGUUCUCAGUUUCGGCUUUCGAAACCAGAAUCAUUUCUUAGUUUGACGUUUAGAGUCACAUUCUCAAUUUUGGCGUUUAGAGCCAUCAUCGGUUUUCAGUUUGACGUUUAGAGUCGCAUUUUUUAGUUUCGGGGUUCAGAGUCACCAUCAUCGGUUUUCAGUUCAGCGGUCAGAGCCAUCACUUCUCAAUAUUGGCAUUCAAAGCCAUCCUCAUCGCAUUCUCAGUUUUGGCGUUUAGAGUCGCAUUCUGAGUUUCGACGUUCAGAUGUCGCAUUCUUAAUUUUGACGUUCGGAGCCAUCAUCAGUUUCCAGCUUGACGUUCAGAGUCACAUAUUUAGUUUGGCAUUCAGAGUCGUCAUGAUUUAUCCACAAUUCAGGCAUUCAGAGCCAUCGUCCACAUUAAGGCGUACAGAGUCAUCAUUUCUCCACAGUUUGACAUUCAAAGCUGCCAUGAUUUAUUCAUAGUUUAGGCGUUUAGAGCCGUCAUGAUUUAUCCACGGUUCAGGCAUUCGGAGCCAUUGUCUACAUUUAGGCGUACGAAGUCAUCAUUUCUCCAUAGUUUGGUAUUUAGAACCCAUCGCUCACAGUUUGGCAUUCAAAUCCAUUGUUCACAGUCAGGCAUACACCAUUUCCCAACAGUUUGGCUUUUAGAGUCAUUGUAUCCUUAGAUUGGCAUUCAGAGCCACCAUUUCUUCAUAGUUUAGCAUUUAGAACUAUCGUUCAUGGUCAGGCAUUUAGAGCCAUCAUAUCUUCAGUAUUUAGAGCAGUUAGCUUGGCAUUUAGAGCCAUUAGUCAACUUAGCAUUUAGUGCCUUGAGCUCACGACCUCGAGUCAUUCUUCUUAUUCACGGCCCAGAGUCAUUCUUAGCAUUUAGAGCCUUGAGCUCAUGACCCAGAGUCGUUUUCACCAUUUAGGUGUUCAGAGCCACUACUUUCUUUCAUGGGUGUUUAGAAUUGUAGGCCUUCAGAUCUCUCUUUGGCAUUCAGAGCCACAAUUUUUAUUCAUAAGCGUUCAAAGUCAUUCAUUUUAUCAGUUUUAGGCAUUCAGAGUCGUGUCUUCAUUUUGGCAUUCAGAGUCAUUGUCUAGCUUGGCAUUUAAUGUCAUAUUCUUCCUUUAGUUUUGGCGUUCAGAGUUGUCGUGCAUACUCAUUCAGGCACCUAGAGUCACCAUCUUUCCUCAUUUUGGCAUUCAGAGUCAUUUUUCCCUAGCCUUAUCAUUCGAGAGAGCCCAUGUCAUACUAGGACAAAUUUGGCGGUCUUUCUUGUUCUUCGGCAAAGUUCACUUCGUUUCGUUCGUGUAUACACUCACUUUACUCGUGAACUCUACCGAAUAGGGGCAUAUUUGUAGACCCCAAAAUUUGUCUCAAUUUUAUUUUUUAUAUUAAUUUCGAGCCCGGUUUUGAAUUCCAAUUACAUAUAUUUUUUGGCUCACUCACCAUUUAAUAGUUUUUAUUAUUUUGUAUAUCAUUUUAUUUUAUUUUAUUACUAAUACGUUUAUUUUAUUAUUAUUAUUACUAUUAUUAUUAUUAUAUCUAUUUUAUUUUUUUUAUUUUUUAUUUCUUUCUCUCCUCUUUCCUCUCUCUUUCCUACUCCCCAACUACUCCACCCUCUUCUUCUCUCUCUUCCCAUUCUUCCCACAUGGCCGCCCCACCCCCACUUUCCUUUCCCCCCAUUUUUGUUUUUCUCCUCAUUUUGCCCCCCGUCUUUUCCCCCCCAAUUUCCAAGAUUUUCCCCCCAUUUUUUUUUCCUCUUCUCUUCUCUCAUUUUUCCUCUUUUUCCCUCAUCGAAACACGCCAGACCCCCUGAUUCUGAUUUAUUUAUUUAUUUUUUUCCCUUUUUGGCUGCAGUCGGCCAUUGAAGAGUUUUGGGGGAGGGGGGAGGUUUUUUUUCUUUCUUUUUUUUUGGCUGCUACUCCCUCUGGAGACGGGGAACAUAUCGUUUUUUUUUCUUUUCUUCCUCCAUUCCUCUUCUUCUUACCACAGCCAGGCCCCAUUUUUUUCUUCCAUUUCUCUAUUUUUUUUUUUUAGUUUUUCUCCUCCUGUUUUCCCAAGAAAGUCAACCCCCAUUUUUAUUUAUUUUUAUUUUUUUCCUUUUUCUUCUUCCCCCAAAAGCACCCAAGAGCUAGCUCCCCCAUUCCUCUUCCAUUUUAAUUUUUAAUUUAUUAUUUUUAUUUCAGUUUAUUUUAUUUUAUUUUAUUUGUGAUUCCUAAAAAAAUCAUCCACUACUGCCAGUAAGACCGCCGGCCGGCGACCCCUUUCCUAUCUCAUCCGUUCCUAUUAUUAUUAUUAUUAUUAUUAUUGUUAUUAUUAUUAUUGUUAUUUUAGUAGUAAUUGUUGUUUAUGAAAUUUGGAUUGUUGAAUUAAUAUGAAAUUUGAGAUUAAUUUGUUAUUGGUAGAUUAAUACAUAAUUUGAUUUAAUUUAUUGUUAGUGAAUUAAUUUGAAAUUUGUUCAUUUGGGUUUGUGGACAUAUUGUAUUGGGUGAUUAAUUUGAGGAUAUUUAGAUUAUAUCAAUUACAUAUUGUUUAUUUGGACUUAGGCCUAUUUUUAAAUUGUUAUUUGUUUGGGCUUAUUGAAUUGGGCUUGAAAUAUUGUCUCUUGACCAUGUGGUUUUUUUUUUUAUUUUUUUUUUAUGUGGGCUUGUUAAUUGAUGUGAAUUUUGGGGCCCACGAUAUGGGUGAGAUUUUGUUGGAUUAUUUGAAUAUUUGAUAUGAGCUUGACCAAUUUAAAUUGUUUAAUUUGAACAUAGGACAAUUGUGGUGUAUAUUAUACUAAGCUUAGAUUAUAAAAUAUUAAGUUUAGGUCUAGUAUAAUUUAUUUUAAUUUAUCCAAUUUUAAUUUUAGGUUUGGUUGAUUGUGUUUGUAUUUUUUGUUAUUAAUUUGGAUGUUCUAGGUUAAGACCUAUAGUAAUUAAUUGACAAAAUUUAUGAGACUAAUUUGAAAUUGGGAUUUGGGUUUGAAUAUGAGAUGUAUAUUUACAUUUGCGCUGUUUUUGUUUUUGCAUGGACCCAUUCUGCAAUCUUAUUGGCUGAGUACGAAUUGAUGACACGUGGAGCUUGUUGUAAGUUUAUUUGGGUACAUAUUUUAUUUACCAUUUUUAUUUGGUUUUAUUUUAAUUAACUCUUGUAAAUAUUUGUUCGUUUAUAUUUAUUGAGUGUGUACAGAAUUGAACAUCGAACAAAUUAGAAAUUUUGUUUAAAUGAGAGGAAGAAUUCAGUAAAUAUGUUCUAAUAAAAUACUAAUUUCAAAAUAUCAUUUUUAAUAAAAGAAAGUUUUUUUAUAUUUAUUUUAUUUUUAUUUUUUAUUUUUUAUAUUUAUUAUUAUUAUUAUUAUUUUUAUCUAUUUAUGAAAAUUUAGAAAAAUGCAUUUAGAAAAAUUAAAAAAAAAAAUUUCUUUGUUUAAUAAAAAUUGCCCAAAAAUUGUUUUGUAAAUAAAGUUGUCCCAAAAAUUAAUUUUUAGUAAAAUUGUCUAAUGAAAUCUUUUUCUUGCUUAAUUAUCCUGGCAAACCUUGCUCUGCCGGCUCCAUACGGGGGGAACGGGUUGUUAGGAAUUUUUCGAUUGAAAAAAGAACAAAAUUUGAUUUUCGCAUAGCAAACUCCACUUUAGUAAACUCUAUACCUUAGGGAGUAAGGAAUAAGGCCUCUCAAGCAGGGCAUUAAUUAAACUCUGGCAAGUCAGGAAGCAAUAGAAAAUAGAAUAAGGGAGUGGAAAAGUCAAAGCCAUCAUACACAUAGACGUUGAUUGGUGGUGGAAAAAUAAGAAUAUCUGGAGACAUUCUGUUAUAUGAGAGCUAAUUCGUACUGAUACUGAAUCGAAUGAUCUGAUACAAGAAGUUGGGCUAUUAUUAUAAUUUGGUGUGAACAUAGAUAAUGUCAUGUAUCUACGAUUCUGGCCCUUCUAGAUCUUUUGUGGUUUCACUUUUGAUGAUAUACUUUCUCUUUCUAUUUUUUUAAUAUAAUAUGCAAAAGAAAAUGUUAUUGCCUUUAUUUAAAACGCCUUAUCCAUCACCCCCAUUCCUACAAAUUCUGGUUUCUUGCUUUCUAUCGAUUCCUUGUCUCUCUGGUAAUUAAGAUGAGGACCUUCCAGCUACUUGGUACUAAGACAUUGGUGCUGGAUGAAGGAGAAGCAAUGCGGCAUACCCUUGAACGCAUGGGGGGGCAUGACCUGGCUUGGGCGAUGAGCAAGACAAUCACAGCAUCCGAUACGAAGAAGGGUCAGAGUAGGCUUCUCAUCCCCAAAGAGAAGGGGCUGUGGGACCAGUUGUCGGAGGAGGAGCAGAUGGAGCUGCGGAGAAGAGGCUACGUUGAAGUUGAAGUGGUGGAUCCGAGAGGGAACAGGCAUGAGAUGAAGUUGAGUCAAUGGCCUGCUGGGCGUAAUCUUGUGUUGAAUUCUGGAUGGAACGACCUUGUGAGGGAUAAUAAACUGGAAGCGGGGAUCCAUUGUACGCUGUGGAGUUUUAGAGUGGGUUUGAGGCUUUGCUUUGCAUUGUGUGUCUAGCUAUAAUGCUACAAGACUAUAAUUGCAGUUCUGUUUGGUCCUUUCGGUUUGCUUAAGUUGCUUUGAUGUGGAGUCGCUCCUGUUGGGUUUUUUUUUCUUCGGUUUCCUUUGUAAGCUAUGGGCUUUAGGUAUGAUUUUUUCCUAUGGUUGCCGUUGGGACUUCUUCCAAACGAUCUGGAAGAUUAUCUAUCUUAUUUGUUCUAUUUUCUUCCAUUAAUUUCAUGUUUAAUUUUUUUUUUUUAAAAAAAUUUAAAUGUAUGGGGGGUACUCUUCUUCUGUGUCACUGAAUCCUUUGCGUGGCAAAGUGGCCGAGGGCAUGAUUGCUCGAGGCCACGUGCGGUCCCUUUUAGACCCAGCUCCUGGGAACAGACACGGAUGCAAACUUUUAUCCUAUUCUACCUUUCCCCAAAAAGAUUACGGGGGAAAGCAGGUUGAACCCAUAAGUUUUUUAAUGGGAGAACUGUGUUUUAAAAAUUAAUAAAAAAUCCUUCAAACACCUAUAAUUGAUUGUAAGGAUAUAAGAUUGGAAUAAACAAAAAUACCCCUUUUUACUUACACCCAUCAUUUUGUCUUUAUACCACCACUCUUUACAUGCCCCAUCCAUAAAAUUCUCCUUUAUUUAAUCAUUUUUUUAUUUUUUAUUAUUUUUUAAACUCCUUUAAAAAUAAUUGAAAAAUCAACAUUAUUUUCUAUUUUUAAAUUAAUUUAAAUGAAUAAAAAUUAUUUUUUACAUUUUACAAGUAAAUAAUUUAAUGAUUAAAACACUAUUUAAAAUAAAUAUAUUUACUAUUUUUUUUCUUUUAUACUAAAAAGUAUUUUAAAGUUUAUUUUUUUUAUUAUUAUAAAAUAAAAAGUUUAAAGUUUUUUUUUUAAUCUUUUUCUUUCCAUAGUUUAAUAAUUUUUUGAACAUAGACUUUUGUAAUAAGUUAUAUGAAUGUUCCAAAUUUGUUUAUUAAGGAAUUUUUUUAAUGAUUUGAAUUAAUUGAAAAUUUAUUGAAAUGAGAAAAAAGAAAAAGAGAGAAAGAGGAUAGAUAGUUUUUAUUAUUUUUUUAUUUUUAAAAAUUAUUUUUAUUUUCUAUAUUGUCUCUUUUUGAAAAUACAUUUAAUUAAAAAAAUGAAAAAUAUUUUUAAAAAUGAAAAUUGAAGACCUUGUUUAAUACUAAGAUAAUAAAAAGAAUUAAAUUUCAUUUGUUAAUUAUUCUUUUUUAUUUUUAAAAUAUAAUAUGUUCACAAUUAAAUAAAGGAAUUAGUCAAUCGUAUAUUUUUUUUUCACAAAAAUGUAAUAUGUUCAUAAAAAAAUUGGAUUGAAGUUUUUCAUCAUUUUUUUAAUCAAACUACUAGAAUCAUGUUUAAUACAAAUAUAGGCAUAUAUGCACUACGGGAAUAUGAAAUUUGUGUCACUAUAUAAGAGUAUUUACUAACUGUAUAAGGGAAAUGUACUAAGUGUACAAGCAGUGUAUAAGAUUACCAUUUAUAAAAGAUUUCAAUCUAUUUUGAACCACUCCUUUAUUUUCCUUGUCACCCACAAAUUGCAUACUCAUGUCAUGCACUUUAUUUAACUCCUAUAUGGAAAUUCCGAUACUUUCCCCAAUAAUGAUGUUUGGGAAAAAAAAAAAACUAACCCUAAUUCAUCCAUCCUUUUAUUAGUUAAACCAUUAGAAAUAUGGUUAACAUACCUACAUGGACAUAUUAAUUAGGAUAGAUAUAUUGUACAAUGGUAUUACACUAAUUGUACAAGGGAAAUGUACUAAGUGUACAAGGAAAAUAUACUAAGUGUACAAGGGUGUACAAGACUACCAUCUAUAAAAAAAUUUAAUCGAUUUUGAAUCACUUUUUCAUUUUCCUUGUCACCCAUAGAUUGCAUACCUAUGUCAUGCAAUUUAUUUAACUUUCACAUGGAAAUUUCGAUACUUUUCUUAGUAAUAAUGUUUGGGGAAAAAAAAUUUAAUCCUAAUUCAUCCACCAUUUUGUUAGCCAAACCAUUAGAAAUAAGAUUAAUAUACCUACAUGGACACACAACUUAAGAGGGAUAUAUUACACCAUUCUACAAUGAUGUUACACUAACUGUACAAGGGAAAUGUACUAAAUGUACAAGGGAAAUAUACUAAGUGUACAAGGGUGUACAAGGUUACCAUUUGUGAAAGAUUUUAGUUAAUUUUGAAUCAUUUCUUUAUUUUCUUUGUUACCCAUAAAUUAUUUAUGAAAUUUGCACUAUUGUAUAAGGGUGUUACACUAACUAUAAAAGAGUAUUCCAAAAUUAAAGUGUUUAUUACAAGUAAACCGAAUAAAAUAUAUAUUUUUACUAUUUUGCCUUUAUAAACAUAAUGUUAGUAGAUAUUAAAAAAAUCAUAUUUAAAUAGAAUUAAAAAGGAUAAAAAAUUAUCUUUGUAACAUUUGUAAUUUUUUUUAUAAAAAAUCAUUAAUUUAAAUUAUCAAGUUAAUUUAAAAUAUUUUUUUUGUUGUAAUUAUAGUUUUGAAGAUUCUACGAUUUUUAUAUUAUUACUUUUAAUUUAUUUUCUUUGAUUUUUUAUUUUAAAUUUCAUCUAAACUUGUUUUUUCUUACAUUUAUAUGUUUUCUAUUAUAUCCUUAUUUAAAGUGAUUUUCAUCUAAUUUGUGUUCCAUUAUAUUCUCUUUUCAAUUUUAAUGUGUUGUUAUGCCUCUUUACAUAACAAAAGAUUUUGUUAUUUUUCAUCUACAAAACUUUAUACAAAAGAUAUCAUGUACGAGGAAAAAAAAAUAAAAAAAAAGAGAAAAUUAUGAUAUAAUUUACAUACACAUCUCUUAAUAUGAUACAUUUGCUUAACUUAAUGACAUCAUGCUUUAAUAAUUUAAACCAUGUCAAGUCCACAUCUAUUUUAGAUUUAAAAGGGCAUUUGAAUAUUUUUCAAAUUAUUAAGUUAUAAUAAAUUAUUCAAUUAAAAAUUAAUUAUCACCAUUAGUUAAAAAAUAAUCAUGUUACAAAAUAAUAUAUUAAGAUAAUAUCAAUGUAUUGUCCAAAAAAUAGAGAAAAUAUUCAAAUAAUUGUCUACAACCUUAAAGAUAUUUAUAUAUAUAUUGGAUAAAAAAGAAUAAUAAUAUUUUUUAAGGUGUUUAAAAAAUAUUUAUUAUAUAUUUUGUAAGUUUUAAAAAAAAAAAUAUGAGGUAUUUAAAAAAUAUUUACUUUAAAAAUAUAGUAAUAAUCAUUUUCAACCAUUGAUUUCCAAUAUUUAAUUUAUUAGGCAUGGUUUUUGGGAGAAAAAUAAAUGAUGAAAAUAGUAACACUUUUCUAUAAAAGAAUUAAUUUACAUGUCCCACCAAUUAAUAUGUGAGAGAAAAAGACAAGGUGAAUGAUGAAAGAGAGGGAAAAAAGAAUGAAAGAGAGUAGAAAAUUAGUUGUUUUCUUUUUCUUUUUGACAAUAAAGGGCAUUUUUGGAAAAUUGAAUGUUUCAUAUCCUUCUUUUCAAUUUGUAAACUUUCUUUAUGUGUUGGGCUUAAAUAUGGAACUUAUGAGGAUCUUUUAUUAAUUUUUGGGCCCAACUGGGCCCAAAACACAAUUCUCCCUUUUUUAAUUAAGAGAUAAAAGUAUACGCAACAUAGAAUCUACCAUUUACAAAAUAUAUUUGAAACAUAAAUAUACUUACAGCAAUCAACACUCUUCACUUUUUCCUCUUGAAAUUUUAUGUUUUAUGUACUUUUUUUUUUCUUUUAAAAAAUGUGUGGGAUUCUCAAAGAUGGAAAGAUGUGAUCUGUCUUGAUGUUGAGAUCCCAUGUUUAUAAGUUAUAGAAAGAUGGGAUGUGUCCCAAAAAUAUCUUUAAAUAGUAGAUUCUAUGUUACAUGUUGUCACGCCCCAAGACCCACUUCAAAGGCGUAACAGUCAUUUCACACUUCAAACCCGAAUGCUUACAGUGUAACCUGACCCAAAUACUUAUCUUGUAAUCGGAAGUUACCAAUUACCAAGUACCUAUUCAGAGUAGCGGAACAAAUCUAAAAUCCUCAAUAUUCAAUUUCAAAACUAAAACAUCCACUAUCCAAAAUCCAUUGUCCAAAUAUUUGCAAACUUAAACAAUUCAAGUACUAGAACAAAUUUCAAAAUCUCCAAAACUCAACUUUGAUCUAAUAUAAAAUUUGAAGGAUCAAUAUCCAAAUAACUUCUAAAUACCAAAAGAUCCAAAUGAACACAACUAACAGUUAAAAAAUCCAAUAUAAAAUCCUAAGUCAAAUUCUAAUGAUGACCAUUCCUCAGCCUAGCCAUUACUCCUCACCCGAACAAAGGGUACCUGAAAAGUAGUCAACAAAUGGGAAUGAGCUCACAGCCCAAUAAGGAACAUUAAUGCAGUCCAUGGAUCAAACAUUUCAAACUCACUUGCAAAAUAGGAGAUAUUGUAAUCAAUCAUUUUCAUAAAGCUGUGAGCAAAUUUUUUUUUUUUUUUUUGCCAAUACAUUCAAAAUUUCUAACUAUAUGCAUUUAUUUCUAAUUCAAACAAUUUCAUAUCAAAUUUAGUCAAAACAUUCCAAUAAUUUAUUUACUCUGGUCAUCAAACAUUAAAGGGUGCUCAGUUAGGUGAGACUUUUCAAAUGGGUGGCUAGCCUCAAAUUGUUCCUUUAAGGUGGACGGAAUCAAACACUACUAGUACUAGUAACAUCUAACCGAAACCCCUAGAGGCUGGGGUUCAAAUCAAUUACAUUUCCCACCAAGAAAUGUAAAGGUCAAUUAUUAUAUCACAUUGACAAAGGCCAAAAGUCAACUAUUAUAUCCCGUUGACAAGGGCUAAAUAAACCAGAGUCAAAUAUUUAUUUCAUUUAUUCAAAUUUACAACAUAUAAUAUCUCCACAUUUAUUUGUCAAAAACAUAAUAUAAAAUUCUAACAUACUUUUCAUGCAAAACAGGUUUGAUCCAUGCAUAAAACGGAAUAUACCUCAAACAUUUUCAAAUAAUGUAUAUAUAUAUAUAAAUUGUUUUAAAAAAAAAGAAUUUAACAACUGCAUUAAUUUCCCUUACCUCAAAAGAAGUCCUUAAAAACUUUGGAGAAAAAUAAUCCUGAAAAUCUACUCUUCACCUAACAAAACAUAAGAGAAACAAUUAUUACUAUUUAUCUAAAAUUAUAGGUUUGACAAUCCUAAAAUUUUAGGUAUUCAAAUUAUUAUUAUUAUUAUUAUUAUUAUAUAUUUAUGAAAGGUAAUUUAAUCUAUUCAUAUUUUAAAAAUUAAUAAAUUUCUAAUUCAUAUAAAAUUGAAUUUAUUUAUUUAUUUUAAAAUUUAUUUCUUGGGACACAACUUAAUUAAACUAUAAUUUAUUUCAAUAAUUAAUUUCUAUGUUAUUUAUUAACUUACGCUCAUAAUUAUAAUAUCAAAAACUUUACUUUCUUUUAUUUAAAACUUCUAUUUUCUCGUUUUUUUUUUCAAACAUAAACUUUAUCCAUUAUUGUCAAUAUAAUAAUAUAUAUACAUAUAUAUACAUUAACUACCAAACACCAUCCAUCCCUCCAUCCGUACACACACCCACACCCCAUAUAUAUAUAUAUAUAUAUAUAUAUAUAUAUAUAUAUAUAUAUAUAUUACAUAUAUAUUUUUUUUCAUUCUCCAAGUGUGCACAUGCGUUCUCUAUUUUUUAUUUUUUAUUUUUUAUUUUUAUCCUUAAGCCAUUCUCCAAUUCCAUAGUGUGCACACGCGUCUUCCAGUUUUUUUUUUUCUAAAAGCUUAAGAAUUUCCGAUUUCCAACAAUAAAUCAAAAUCUUAAAUUUUCACUAUUUUGAUAUUAAAACGAAAUAAUAAUAAUAAUAAUAAUAAUAAUAAACUAACCCUAAUCUAAAUCGAAAUCUUCACAGGAAUCUUUUGUUUUUUUCUAAUAAAAAAAAAACUUAAGAUCUCCCCAAUUCCAAUAAUAAAUCAAAAUCUUAAAUUUUCACUAUUUGAUAUUAAAACGAAUUAAAAAAAUAAUCUAACCCUAAUCUAGAUUUGGGGUUUUCCAAAAAAAAUAUAUCUAAUGUGCUUGAAAUUAACUAAUGAAUCUAAAAUAAUAAUCUAGGGGUUAGAAACUUACCUAUAGAGGUUUGUUCUUCAAACCUUGAAAUCUAACCUCAACUUCAUGUUCUUUGGAAACUCUCUGCGAAUAGGAAUACGAUUAAAAAAAAGAACAGGAAGAAGAGAAUUUUCUAUUUAUACCUAGGGUAUUAUUCGUAAAAUUACCUUUUCACCCCUCUUCCAUUUUAUUAAAUUAAUUAAUUAAUUAAUUUAAUAUCAUUAUUAAGAAUUUCCUAAAUUACCCUUUAAAAAGAAAACUUGGGCGUUACACAUGUACUUUUAUCUCUUAACUAAACAAUUUAUAGUUUGUCAUGACGUGCAAUCACCCAUAAUCAGUGCCACUGAAUGCCUGAUCCCAUUCCCUCCUUCCAUGCUCUUGUAAUCUGUAUAUAUCACACAUGAGUGACAGGAAAAUAUAUAAGUUCAAUUCCUCAUAAAAAAAAAGUCGUACUUGUCAGUAGUACCCUUCUUUCUUUUUUGGGAAAAGGUAGAAUAGGAUAAAAGUUUGCACCCCGUCUGUUCCGGGAUGAAAAAGGCACUACAAAAAAAUCUGAGCGCCUACAACCGAGAAACAUUGGCUGGUGUUGUAGGCUUGGGAGCUGGGGCCCAAAAAGGACCUCACGUGGCUGCAAUAAACUGAUCGGAACAAUCUUGCCCUCAGACAUUGUCCGUUUUAGCCCAAGGGCCUCACGAUUUUAAAAUUGGGAAAGUUUUGUUUUCAUGGGCCAAUAUGGUAAUAAUAUUGUUUUUGGAACCCAGGUUUGUGAAAUAUGAAAAACAUCUGUUAAUGUGGAAAGUUAUAUCAUUUUCAUGCACUCUGAGUCGGUUGUAUUUUUUCUACCGAAAUUGCCCCUCUAGGUAUCCAGGUCAGCAGCCCAUCUCAGCACGGGCUGAAAUUGAACCGGUUGUCUUGUGCAAAAUCAAAUAUUGAGCUUCCCACAAAAACACCCUGGGCGACCGACCGUUCAUCCUCCAUUUCUCUCAUUUGGUACCCAUUCCUCUCAUCUUUAUACAGUCCGUCACCAAGGCGAAGCAGAGGUUCCCACAAGAAAACCCUAUCUGAUCGACCAUUCUUUCUUCCCUCUCUCUCAUUUUGGCACCCAUUCCUCUCACCUGUCUUCACUCGGUCACCAAGGAGAAGCAGAAAAUCCCAUAAAAAUAGUGUAGCCGAGGGUUCUUUCUUCCCUCUCUCUCAUUUGAUACCCAUUCCUCUCAUAUUUCUUCAUUCCGUCACUGAGGCGAAACAGAUUUCAAUUGAGAAGGCCUUAAUCUGAUUUGUCACAUCUUAGAUUUUCUCUGUCAAGGUAAGCCAUUCGUUCCAUGUUUUGCAUUCACAUUCUCAUUCAUGAAAAUCUGCUGUUUGUGUGGGUUUUUUUUGAACCAGGUGUGGCUCAAAUGUUGGCAUUUAGGAGUUGGUAUUGAAAUUUUAAAUCUGUUGGUAAUGAAUCAUCAUCGUCUUUUUCAAAUCUGAUUUUGUACUGUUUUAUUUGGAUUGGCAAAUUAUCGCAACUCUGUUGUUUUGAUAUAAAGUGAAGGCAAGAAUAUGGGUUGGGAAUUGUUUCGUUGAAAAAGGCAUUUGUUUUGGUUUUGGUUUGGAACUGAGAAAAACAUAUUUUGAAUUGAUUAGCGAAAAAGGAAUUUUUUUUCCCAGUGGUGUUUUUGGGUAUUGGGAAACAAUGCAUUUUUAGUGAAACCCAUUUAUUGGAUUGUGUUUUUGGAUUGAACUAUGCAGUGGAUGACCAAAAGGGAACAUUUUUUCGGGAUGAAGUUUUCAUUUUGAGAGCGAAAAAAGUUCUUAAGAAAUGGUGAUUUUUAGAAAGAUGAGGACCUUCCAGCUACUUGGUACUAACAUAUUGGUGCUGGAGCAAGGAGAAGCAAUGCGGCAUACUAUUGAAGGCAUGGGGGGGCGUGCCCUGGUUUUUGUGAUGAGAAAGACACUGACACGAUCCGAUGUGGCUGUGCAUCAGGGUCGGCUUUUCAUCACCAACGAUAAGGUGCUUCGGGGCCAGUUAUCCGAGGAGGAGCAGACGGAGCUGAAGACAUCAGAAGGGUACGUUAAUGUUGAAGUGGUGGAUCCGAGAGGGGAGGGGUAUGAGAUGAAGUUGAAGGAAUGGAAGAGUCUCAAGAUGUUUGUGUUAACUUCUGGAUGGAACAGGCUUGUCAACGAUAAUGAGCUGGAGGCGGAGAUACAUUGUAUUGAGCUGUGGAGUUUUAGGGUGGGUUUGAAGCUGUGCUUUGCUUUCGGUUUGCUUAAUUUGCUUUGUAUUUUGAUGUGGAGUCGCUCCUGUUGGGGUUUUUUUUUUUCCUUCGGUUUCCUUUGAAAUAUGCAUGUGUGAGUGAAAUAUGCAGAAUAACGAUGAAGAUUGUAAGCUAUGGGCUUUAGUCAUGAUUUCCGUUUUUAUGUUAUAAAUAAUUAAAUAGAUGAUUGCUGCAACGUUAAUUUGAUUCGUUGGGACUUCUUCUUCUGUCUAUAUCUCACUGAAUCGUUUAUUUUGUCCUCACAUGACUUCGCCUCACCUCACCCCUUUUUCUUAGUGAUUGAAGAUUGGACCAAGAUGUUCCCUAUACGGUGGAGACCAAUUGGCUUCACUUUUCAGAUGGAUUUUCUUUGUAUCAAAAAGGAAAGAGAGACAUGGAUAGAUUUCCCAUGGAUAUUAUCCAAAAACCCAAACAGUACGUUCACUACCUCUACAGCGAUUUUAAACCCUGUGUUCUACCCUUUCCAAAGCUUCAAUAUUUCACUGACUGAUGGGGCCAAGGGAUCAUUCUUUUGAUGCAACAGAUGCUUGAGUUUGUACAAAGUAAUUUCUUAUACCCAAAAAGGAGACUUACUAUUUUGGUCAAAAUCUCUUCCUAUAUUUUUUCCUAAUUAUAAAGGAAUAUAGAAAAUAAAGUGUAUAAUUGUCAAAGAUACAUUUUCCUAAAAAAGCUAGGAUAUUACACUUUCAAUAAUAUCUUAUAUUAGGAAACUAUCAAUAUCUUUUCAAAUCGACUCAAAAUACAAUUUAAGACACUUUCCAACAAUCUCCACAUUGGCUCAAAUUCCUAAGAUUUAAGCAAACUUGAAAGUCUUUCAAGUUACUUCGCUCUCACACCCCAUAAGGGCCUUCAGAUACUACUAACACCAAUUAAGUUCAAGCAAUGCUUGAACUUAAUCAUAGGAAUGGAUUUAGUCAUCAUAUUUGUGGGAUUGUCCACCAUAGGGAUUUUUUUCAGUACAAUAGCACCCUAUGCAAUCACAUCCCUAAUAAAAUGCAUUCUGACAUCAACAUGUUUGGUCUUCUCAUAGAACAUCUGAUUUUUAGUUAAAUGUAUGACACUUUGGCUAUUAAAAUACACAAUAGUCAACACUUGUUGUAAGCCUAAAUCACCAACCAAACCCUUAAGCCAAAUAGAUUUUUUCAUUGCUUCUAUGGUUGCCAUGUAUUCCGCUUCAGUGGUUGACAAAGCAACUAUAAAUUGCAGAGUUACUUUCCAACUAAUAACACUACCACAUAAAGUAAAUACAUACCUUGUUAGAGAUUUUUUUUUUGUCCAAAUCUCCGGCAUGAUCAUAAUCAACAUAACUAACAAUUUCUCCAAAGAUGUCAAUAUUUUUAUCAUAUACUAAGCCAACAUGUGAUGUUCCUCUCAAACAUCAAAGUAUCCAUUUCAUUGCUUGCCAAUGGAUUUUUUCAAGGCGAUCCAUAUAUCUACUCACCACACUAACUGCAUAUGAAAUAUUUGGCCUAGUGCAUACCAUGACAUACAUAAUGCUCCCAAUUGCACUAGCAUAAGGAACAUGUGACAUGUGCUCCCCUUCUUCUUCAAUCUGUGGUGAUAAAGCACUAGAAAGUUUGAAGUGAGUUGCUAACAGAGUACUUGCUAGUUUUGACCCUUGCUUUAACACUCUCUCAAUGUACUUUUUCUAUGAUAAGUACAAUUUCCCUGCUUUUCGGUCUCUAUGAAUCUCCAUACCCAAUAUUUUCUUUGCAGCUCCAAGGUUUUUCAUUUCAAACUCUCAUUGAAGUUGAGUUUUCAACAUGUUGAUCUCAAACAUAUUCUUGCAGGCAAUUAACAUGUCAUCAUCAUAUAACAAUAAAUAAAUGAAAUAACCAUCAAACAAUUUCUCAUGAUAAACACAAUUAUCAUACUCACUCCUAUGGUAGCCAUUACCAAUCAUAAAGGUAUCAAACCUUUUAUACCAUUGCCUAGGAGAUUGCUUCAAACCAUAAAAAAAUUUCUUCAAUAAACAAACAUGGUAUUCCUUCCCAAAAUAAUAAAUCCCUUGGGUUGAUGCAUAUAAAUUUAUUCUUCCAACUCACCAUGUAGAAAAACAAUCUUAACAUGAAGUUACUCUAAUUGUAAAUCAAAUAAAGCAACCAUAGCAAGUAAUACCCUGAUUGAGCUACGUCUCACCAUGGGAGAAAAUACUUCAUUGAAAUCCACACCCUCUUUUUGUGUGUAGCCCUUUGUCACCAAGUGUGCUUUGAACCUAGCAUCCUCCAUUCCUAGAAUUCUUUCAUUUCUUUUGAAGAGCCAUUCGUAAUCAACAAUCUUUUGAUUUUUAGGUUUCUUAACUAGUUGUCAAGUGUGGUUCUUUUGAAGAGAUUCAAUCUCCUCAUUCAUAGCAACAAUUCACUAUGUAGACUCUCUACUAGUGAUGGCUUUAUGAUAAGUUUGAGGUUCCUCAUUUUCAAUGCUCUUUGCCACACUAAGUGCAUAAGCAUACCUUUGUAGUGUUUUAAUAUGCCUACUUGUUCUAUCUCUAGCCAAACUAUAUUGUUGCUCUUGUGGUGCAUUUUCUUUAUCAUAAAGAAGUUGCACUUCUUCCUCCUUUAGCUUUAUUGAAAUUGUUUUUUCUAUGGUUUCUGAAGCUUUAGUCACAAAAUCCACUUUUUCUCUCACACCGAGGUUGUUUUCUGUAUGAAGUUGUUCCUUCCUAGGACUCAACAUUGUAGACUCAUUAAAAGUCACAUCCCUACUAAUAAGAAAUUUGGAGAAUUUUGAAUUUGGGUUCCGUAUCUUGUACCCUUUCACUCCAUCAACAUAUCCUAAGAAUAUGCACUUCCUUGCCCUUGGUUCCAACUUACUUUCAUUCACGUGAGCAUAAGCAAGACAACAAAAAAUUCUUAAAUUAGCAUAAUUAGAAAGGGAACCAUACCAUACCUCUUCAGGAGUCUUACAAUUAAUAGGAAUUGAAGGAGAUCUAUUCACAAGAUAACAAGCUGAAUUUACAGCUUCAACCCAAAAUUCCUUUGACAACCCUCAUUCGAAAGUAUGCAUCAUGCUUUCUCUAAAAGAGUUCUAUUCAUUUGUUUUGCAACACCAUUUUGCUCUGGAGUAUGCCUAACUAUGCGGUGUCUCACAAUACCUUCAUUCUUGCAAAACUCAUUGAAUUCUUUCCCACAAAAUUCCAUGUCAUUGCCAGUUCCCAAGCACUCGAUCUGUUUUCUAGUCUACUUCUUAAUCAUGGCUUUCCAUUGCUUGAACUUCCCAAAUACAUCAUUCUUAUGUUUCAAGAUAUAUACCCAAACCUUUCUAGAGUAAUCAUCAAUAAAAGUCAACAUAUAUCUUCCACCACCAUGUGAUACAACUUGAGAAGGCCCCCAAAGAUCCGAAUGGAUAUAAUCCAAAGUACAUUUAGUUAUAUGAACACCUUUAUUGAAUUUUACCCUGCAUUGUUUCCCGAAUACAUAAUGCUCACAAAAAUCUUGUUAUGUAUUUUCUAUCCAUCAAGCAAACCUAGUUUGCUCAAAAUUGUCAACCCCCUGUCACUCAUACGCCUAAGCCACAUAUGCCAUAAUCUAAUAGUCUCUAUAAUUAAUUCUAAGGUUGAAACUGUAGUUGCACUUGUAACCGUGCCACCUUCAAAUGUAUAAAGACCAUUAAUUUCCUUUCCUUUCAUCACAACAAGAGCAUCAUUUAAAAUCCUUAAAACUCCACCUCUAGUUUUAUAUGUGCAUCUGUUGGAGUCAAGUAUCCCUAAAGAAAUCAAAAUUUUCUUCAAUUCUGGAACAUGCCUUACAUCAAUUAAUGUCCUUAUAAUGCCAUCAUGCAUCUUAAUUUGAAUUGUGCAUAUCCCAACAACCUUAUAGGCAACAUUGUUUCUCAUUAGAACCUUCCCACCGUGUAUGGGUUGGUAGGUAUUGAACCAAGCCCUAUUGGGAGACAUAUGAUAAGAGCACCCUAAAUCAAGAAUCCACUCAUCAACUAAGUUUAUAAUAGUAACUGAAAAAACACCUGUAGUAUCUGAAUUUUCUUUUGAGACAAUGUCUGCAUAGGCAUUCAUUUUAGAGACGGAGACUUUCACCCCAUUCAUCUCACAUCUCUUUUUUCCAAAAUUAAUGAACUAGAAACCUAUCCUCUCUCAUCAUCCCAUCACCAGUCAGAUUUUGUAAACAUUUCCAAAUUCAUCUUCAUUAAAGGAAAGAUAAAACAGAAGCCAUAUAUGACUCUCCAUAACUAGAGGUGAGAAUCCAAGCACACAGUAAAUAGUCGAAGAAAGUUGUUUAAACUUCCAUAAAUCUUUUUUACACAAUGUGUGAUAAUCUUUAUAAUUUUAUUGUUUAUGUUAAUUUUCUUAAACAACAUCAUUCCAAAAGGUGAAAGAAUCACACAGACCAUCCUCAUCAUGGGCAAAUGAGUAAUCAAUAUACAAGAAACACCCUCUUUUAUGAUAAUUAAAAACUGAAUAAUAUAUCAUAUACAAAUCUUUGAUAUAUAAGACAAUAAAAGGCCUAUAAAUAAUAUUUCAUUACCUUCAAUUAUAAUCAAUAAUAACAUUGUGGCAGCAUUACAAACCAGGAAUUUGCUAGUGUGGUUACAAUAAAAAGAAUCAGAAAAAAUAUUUUUUACAUUAUGAUUUAGAGAGAGAAAGCACACCUUGUCUCUGAAGCAAGUAAGGAAUAGUAGGAGCCUUGGUGUUCAUUUCCUACCUCCAUUACUGAUGUGCCUUUUCAGCUUGGAGGGUGGGCAUUGCUUUAAAGGGUUUUAUUGCAAGUGAUUCAUACAAUACAAGCAGCUUACUGGGAUUACAUGUACAAACUGCCAUUCAUCAUCUCAUUUUCUAGUUGCCACAAGGGAAAAGUUCUCAACUACUACUAACUUCAAAUGAGUGAGACACAAUCUUGAAUAUUGAUAAAGGGCAUUCGAAAAUGCUAGUCUAACAACCUUCUUUACCACCUGCUGAUGUGUGUGACAUUCAAUGUCACCAGAAUAGUAAGUAGUAAUUUAUAUUUGAAAGUGCGUUAAUUAGUACACUAAAAUCAAUAUCUAUCAGUAAUUUGUAUUAUUUUUCUACAUAACCAAUCAGUGUUGAUUAAAACAGAAACUAGAGCUACAGAAUCAAGGUUCAAGUUGUCCAUUUUGAAAUGGUAAACCUUUAAUCUCCUUCAUUAUCAAGUUAACAAUAGGUAAGUGUAAUGGCCAAACAGGUUCUUAACUUCUAGAAGCAUAAUCAUUAUCAAGUUAACAAUAGAUAAUAAGCUCUGCAUGUUUCACAAGUAGAAAUAUUGUCUCACCUGAAGCAGUACGCAUAGUGGCAGUGCAGCUCAUUUUUAUCAUACAAUAUAUUUCAAGGCAUAAAUCAAUUAUCCCAUGCUCAUGAAAGGUCAAAGACCACUUAUCCAUCAUCACAUGCAAUCAGAAUUAGUAACUGAGACUCAGGCAUUGAGAGAACCAUGGGCAGAACUAUUGGUUACUGUUCAAAUUGAUAAAUGAUAGUUUUUUCAUUCAUAUUUUCAUUCGUUCAUGUACAGAGUAUAUAUAGAGGGUAUCGCCAUUCUAAGAAUGGGAAAGAAUGAUACAAGGAAAAAAUGACAUAAGGAAAUAACAAUUAAUAUCCUAAUAUCUCAACUUUCCUAAUAUCUCAAUAUUCCUAAUAUCUCAAUAUUCAUAAUAUCUCAACUUUCCUAAUAUCUAAACAUUCCUAAUAUCUCAACACUAAAUGAUAUAAGGAAAUAAUGAUAUAAGGAAAGCAUUCCUAAUAUCUCAACACUCCUCCUCAAGUUGGUGCAUAGAUGUCACACAUGCCCAACUUGUCUAAAAAUUUUGAGAACACUUGACUUGAAACAGCUUUGGUAAGGAUAUCAGCCAAUUGAUCUUCUGAUCAAAUCUUAUGCAAUUCCACAAUCUUAUCAUCCAACUUUUCCUUAAUGAAGAAUCUAUCCACCUCGACAUGCUUUGUACGAUUAUGUUGUACUGGAUUAUGAGCAAUGUCACACGCGGCUUUAUUGUCACAAAACAAUCGGAUUGGUUGCCUAGAUAGGUAACCUAAAUCCUGUAAGAGGAGUCUUAGCCAUAAUGCCUCACAAAGUCCUAGAGUCAUACCUCUAAAUUCCGCUUCUGCACUUGAACGAGCGACGACAUUUUGCUUCUUACCUUUCCAUGUUACAAGAUUACCACCUACAAAGGUAAAGUAACCAGAUGUAGAUCACCUAUCAUCCACUACACCAGCCCAAUCAGCAUUAGUAUAUACUUUUAUACUUUGAUGAUCAACAUUUUUAGCGAACAAAAUUCCCUUCCCAGGAGCAUUCUUCAAAUACCUCAAAAUACGCAUGACUGCAUUCAUAUGUUGCUCUCCAGGAUUAUGCAUGUAUUGACUCACUACACUCAAUGUAUAAGCAAGAUCUGGUCUUGUAUGAGCUAAGUACAUUAAUCUCCCCACAAGUCUCUGGUAUCUUCCCUUAUCGGUUGAUACUUGAUUAGGCUCAACACACAAUUUCAGACCACCUUCUUCUAUUGGUGUAUUAACAGGUUGACAUCCCGACAUUCCAGUCUCCUGUAAAAGAUCUAAGGCAUACUUUCUUUGAGAUAGAAAAAUUCUUUCACUUGAUCGAGAAACUGCAAUCCCAAGAAAGUAUUUUAGAGGACCUAGAUCUUUCAUUUCGAAUUCUCUAGAUAGAUAAUUUUGUAGAGCUUUUCUUUCUUCGGGAUCAUUUCCUGUAACUACCAUGUUAUCCACAUAUAUGAUGAGUGUCGUAAUCUUACCAUGUUGCUUUUUCAGGAACAAAGUGUGAUCUGAAUUACUUUGACGAUAGCCAAAAGCUCUCAUUAACUUUGUGAACCUUCCAAACCAUGCUUCGGGGAUUGCUUCAACCCAUACAAUGACUUCUUCAAUUUGCACACCUUCUGACAUUGCUUUUCUGACACCAUGCAUCCUGGUGGAAGAUCCAUAUAUACUUCUUCAGAUAACUCGCCAUGUAGAAAGACAUUUUUCACAUCAAAUUGUUGUAAUGGUCAAUCUAGGUUUGCAGCUAAAGACAGUAAUACUCGAACUGUGUUGAUCUUAGCUACAGGUGCAAAUGUCUCUGUGUAGUCAAUUCCAUAAGUUUGAGUGUACCCUUUUGCUACCAGUCUUGCUUUAAAUCGUUCAAUACUACCAUCUGCCUUGUACUUCACAGUAUAGAUCCAACGACACCCAACUGGCUUCUUUCCUGGUGGACAUUCUACGAGUUCCCAUGUUUCAUUCUUCUACAAUGAUUUCAUCUCUUCAUUCAUGGCUGUUUUCCACCUUGGAUCAGCUAAGGCAUCCUACACACUGUUAGGAAUAGCUACAGUAGAUAAUUGAUUUACAAAUGACUUGUUUGAUUCAGACAAACGAUGGUUAGACACAUAGUUGCUCAUGGGAUAUUUGAAUUUGGUAGACAAUUCAGGUUCAUAUGUGGGUUUAGGAAUACCUCUAUUAUGACGGUGUGGUAACCGUUUCAUGAAUGGAUCAAGUUCCAAAUUAAGAACACCCUCAACAGAAGACGAUUGGUUUGGUAUUUCAGUGAAGACAUCUUCGGACCCAAAUUAUUGACCACUCAUAUCCAACUCACCCAAUUUUUGGUUCACUAGUUCAGAUUGUCCAGAUUCAUCUUCCUUAGAUAUAUGAUAAUCAUAAUCGAGAGUCUGAAUUUCCUUAUGGUACUCCCCCUGAAGUUCAGACUCAGAUGAAAAAUACAUCGAAUCUUCAUGAAACACCACAUCCAUUGUAAUAUACAUUUGUCGAGUUGGAGGAUGGUAACAUCGAUAUCCCUUUUUGUGCAAUGCAUAUCCAACAAACACACAUUUUAAUGCAUGAGAAGUUAACUUGGUGCGUUGGUGCUUGUGUAGAUGCACAAAUGCCACGCAACCAAAAACACGAGGAGGUAGAUGUGGGACGAUUGGGGCAAUUACGGCAUUAGUAAGAGCUUGGAGUGGUGUUUGAAAGUUAAUUGAGCUAGAAGGUACCCGAUUGAUCAAGUAUGCGGCAGAUGUGAUUGCUUCUCCCCAAUAAGAUAUCGGUGUUUUUGCUGCUAUCAAGGAAACACGAACAACCUCUAACAAGUGCCGAUUUUUUCGUUCAGUGACUCCAUUUUGCUGGGGUGUAUUGGAACAAGUAGUUUGAUGAAUGAUGCCAUGUCCUUCCAAAUACUUUUGAAGAUCAGAACUUUGAUAUUCUCCACCAUUAUCACUACGCAGAACCCGAACCUUUGCAUUGUACUGAGUUUCAAUCACUUUAUGAAAAUUUUGAAACAACAAGUUCACUUCAUCUUUGGUCUUCAUCAAGCAUAACCAUGUCAUUCUGGUACAAUCAUCAAUAAAAGUAACAAACUAACGUGAGCCACUCAAAGUUGGGACUUUGGAUGGGCCCCAAACAUCAGAAUGUAUAACCAUAAAAGGAAACGAACUUUUAUUUAAAAUUAACGGAAACGAAGCACGAUGACUUUUAGCCAAUUCACAAAUAUCACAACGGAAACCAGAAAUAUCACUCUUUGCAAACAAACUAGGAAACAAUUUUUUUAAAUAACCAAAGGAAGCAUGUCCCAAACAUCGAUGCCACAACCAAAUUUCAGAUUUUUUCUUCUCUCCCUCAGAUUCAUCUACCAUCAAGGCUUGUUGCAACUUAUUUGAAUCCUUUGACUGCAAGUCCAAGUAAUAGAGUUUUCCCCGCUUAAUACCACAACCAAUCGUCUAUUUUGUUUGGAUGUCCUUAAUCACACAAAAUUCAGGCCAAAAAAUGAUAAUACAAGAUAAGGCUGCAGUGAUUUGAGAAACUGACAAAAGAUUGUAAUCUAAAGAUGGAACAACUAAAACAGAAUCCAAAUUCAAAGUAUCAGUAACAGUUAAGGAUCCUUCCCCAAUGACUAGGGUUGUGUUACCAUUGGUUGUGGAAACAAUUUUUUGUGAGGAAGGUCUAAGGGUUGAAACCUGUCUAGAAUCAAAAGUCAUAUGAUCUGUAGUACCAGAAUCAAUUAUCCAUGCACUAUUAAUAACAGGUGUAAAAUUAUUUAAAAACUUACCACCAUGAUCUGUAGUGGCUACCAAUGCAGAGGCUUUCUCAACAACAUUAGCCUCUGUUUUUAUUUCGGUAAUAGUUGCAGUCGAGGUUUUCUUGGAAUCCUUCUUCCGUUGAUCACGAUUAUUAUCAUUAAUAACAAAGUGUUGAUAACCUAAACAUGAUUUAAAGGUCCAUGGUUCAAACCCUUGAUUCCCCAUUUUUUUUCUUGAUCAUACCAAGAGUCGUUGCUUUGAAAUUGUGGGAUAUCCAGACUGGUGGGAUCAUUCUUAUUGCAGUGAGUGCAUUUGAAGGUUGACUUAUCAAUAUUAGGGCUUGUCUUAGGAUGGUUAAUCGCUGUCGGACUACCAUAGCGACAAAAUAUCCAGGAUUUCAGUUUCAUGGCUCUGAUACCAUGUUCAAAUUGAUAAAUGAUAGUUUUUUCAUUCAUAUUUUCAUUCGUUCAUGUACAGAGUAUAUAUAGAGGGUAUCGCCAUUCUAAGAAUGAGAAAGAAUGAUACAAGGAAAGAAUGACAUAAGGAAAUAACAAUUAAUAUCCUAAUAUCUCAACUUUCCUAAUAUCUCAAUAUUCCUAAUAUCUCAAUAUUCAUAAUAUCUCAACUUUCCUAACAUCUAAACAUUCCUAAUACCUCAACACUAAAUGAUAUAAGAAAAUAAUGAUAUAAGAAAAGCAUUCCUAAUAUCUCAACAGUUAUAUCACUAAAUUCUGAAGUUUCGUACAAACAGGUGGAAUUUGGAAGCGCCUCUAAAAGACAUCAAUUGAGAGGUUGAGCAUAAUUAAAGAAAGGGAAAAUAAAUAAAUAAAUAAGAAAAGAAAAAUGACAGAGGGAAAGGAUCGAUGAGCCUAAGACUUAGUUUUGACAGUUUUACAUAUUCCGAUAAAUUGAUGAAGUGCAAGUCGAGUAAAGAGAACUAAACAAGUAGCGAAACUUAAAACUGAAAAACAUCUGAUUUUCAUCUAAUUUUCUUACAUUUUCUCAUAAACUAGAGGAGGUGAACCGCUCUGCAAUUCUUCAUUUUUCCAAUUCUCUCUAUUUUGAAUUACCGAAGCCGAAGCUAAGUAGAAGUCAGGAAAUAAGAAGCGAAAAGUCUUGAGAGUGAAAGUUCUCCGAUUUUGGCUCAAUUUUCUCCAUUUUCUUGGCAACCAAACAGAGAAUAGACAUACUUGUUUCCACAAGCUAGAGCUUUCCACAGCUGGAGAAGACGACGACGGUAACAUUGACAUCGUAGAGAGCAAAAAGCUGAUGAGGUUUCUUGAUCAAACCAUUUCGCCUCUUGGAGAAGGUCACUUGGCGACUGCUCGUCUUUGACUUGUUUUUGAAAUUCCGCUAGCUAACGUGUCGAAAUCUUAUGCACACUACAUCGAAUCGCAGUGCACCACUACGCAGAUGUCCAGAUCCUAACCCAGACUUUUGAUUUAAUCUUACGUGUCAAAAUCUCAUGCACAUCGUAGAAAAUUGCAGUGCACUGCAUCGUAGAGGAUCCAAUCCCUCAUCCACACUUUUGAAUCCAAGCCUGUCCUAGCGAAGCAUGAACUUCUCAGAGCUCCGUUUGUGUUGUUUCUGAGGAGUGAGGAUUGAGAUUUGAAGAGGAGAAAAUGGGGAAGCGAAUGAGAAGAGAGAAGUCCAUUUGCUGCUACAACUCUCCUCUCGCUGAUUUCUCCUAGUACUUUCUCUCUGCAUUCUGCGAGUUUCGCUCGAAAAUCAGCUCGAAUUUCAUGAAAUUUUGAAUAUUUAGUUUGAAUUCUGCACAUUUAUCUGUAAAUCUAAACUCGAAUUUCCUGAAACUAUGAAUUUCAUAUAUAAUUUGAUAAAACUUCAUGCUAUUGUAAAACGGUUCCAGGCAAUGAAUAUUUAGUUUGAAUUCUGCAAUAUUUGAUGUAGAAAUCUAAGGAAACUAGAAGAAGUUGUCUCUCUCUACUCUCUUUCAAAAACUCUACGGAUUCCUCUUACAGAUCCAUGCGAAUUUCAUGAAAAUUUGAGCGGUCAUUUUAAACCUUGAUACAUCUAUCAAUCGAAUUCUCUUUCUCUAAUGUUUGCUUUAGAAAACAAUGGCACUGCAAAUAUGAUUUGAAAUUUGCUUGAGUUUUCAUGAAUAGGCAUAAUCAGAAAUAUGUAAACUAUUACCAGAAACUCUCUUUCUCUCUGUGAAAAAAAAAAAUUGGCUUUUGGACAUUUAUUAUCAUAACAGAUUUUACAGUAGGUCAGUACGAUUUUUUCCUUCCCAUUUUCUGUUUCGAAAAUAGUAAAUAGGGGAUUUAUUUCCUUAUGGUUGAUUGGGUAACUAAUUAGUCAAAAUUAGUUUUGGGAAACAAUAUGGAAUAAGAAAGAAGGUCUAAAUCAAUUGGGUAACUAGGUUUGUUGCCUACAAUUAAGGGUGGCAGAACACAAAGAGAAAAAUCAGGCAAGUGAGUUUGUGAUUUUGGGCUUGUAAUUUGGGGUUUACCUUGGGAAAAGUGUUCUGGUAUGUUUUUCGCCUUGUAUCAUUGACUGUGAAAUAGUGAAAUUGCUGCUACAAUCCCUAGAUGUAACUCAGUUUUGACUCUUCUGUGUUACGUGGGUAGUUUUGCAGCUGCAAGGAGUUUGUGCAUUGAAUUUUAAUAAGUUGGUUGAUUAUUUCUUUUUCAUAUUCCCACACUCUCCUUCACUUCAAGUUUGGUACAUUUAUGGAUAACUAUCUCUCACUUCCUGUGCAAUUUGAUGUGAAAGUGAAUAUAAUUUGAUGUUGUCUUGAACUGUUUUACAUUAUCAUAAUCAGAAGAAUGUGGAAGACUAGUGUUGAAUUUGAAUUCCCUACACUUAUCCAUUAAUCUUAAUACAGAGGUAGCAUUAGUUAAAGGUACUUGAAUCCUCACACAUUAGCAUAAUCAGAAGAAUUGUAGAACACCAGCAGCAGUUCUCUCUGCCUUGCUUGAGAACCCUAUGGAUUUCUCUGCCAAAUUGCUUGGAUUUUCAUGAAACCUUGAAUGUUUAUUUUGAAUGUUGUACAUUUCAAAUGGUAAAGUUUCUAAUAAUGAAAACAUUAUCUUUUUUCCUAAAAAAAAUUAUUUUCAGGGCCAUUGAAAGGAGUGGAUUUUUUUUUCUGAUUUGGAUCUCUAUACCUUUUACUGUUUUAAUUUUUAUAAAAAUUAAUAUUAUAUGAAUCCUAAAUUUAUCCUUCUCUCAUCCAAAUUCCUUGCAACAAAAUUGGUCAAAUGUUUCUUUUUUAUUUUGACCUUUUCUGUUUAUUGCUUUUAUAUUGCAUGCAAACAAGUAUGAAGAAGACAUAGGGACAGAGAUUGCAAAGCACUUGGAUGGUAAAUCUCUGGUGAUGUUGGGAACAACAAAUAAGUGGUUCCACUGUCUGAUCAUGGAGGACAGUAUGUGGAAGUUUGCUUGUCUGCGUGAUCUCCAGCUACUAGAACCAUGACACACAUUCCUCAAUCGGAUCAAGCUUUAUGCUUAUGCAUUUGGUAAUGAGCAGGGUGUUAAAUUUUCUCCAUAUUCAGUUAUGUUAUGGUUCUUAUAGUGAAUUAGUAUCAACAUCUGCUUAAUGGUUGUCCUACAAAUGGAAGUCACUCUUUCAUGUUCCGUCAACAGAAGAAACAUAUUGGUAAUUAUCCUUCCCUUUUUACUAUUAUCUAGAUUUUUUUGCCUUAGUUGCAAGAGAAACCAAUUAGUUCUCUUGGUUAAAGUAGCUACUUCCCUACUCUCUGGAGACUGUUUGAUUACUACUCAAAAAGAGCAUAUUUUAAAUAAUAAUGUUCAUAAGUUUCACAUCUUUUGAGUUGUAAUAAUGCCUAAAACACUCAAUUAACAUGUUGUUGCCCUUGCAAGAGUUACUAGCAAGUUUUAUGAAGUUUUGGAAUCAUUUUAAGAUAUGAUUUUGAUAAAUUGGUGACAAAAGAGAUAAAUCAAAUUGAAAUGAACAAAUAAAGUUGAUGAAGAUCCAAAUGCAUAAUGAUAGAAGUAAUGUAAUUGGUUUGAAUCGGGAUUUGGAGUUGAUUUGGAGGUGGUUGAGGUGGAUUCAAAGGAAAGAAAUGACAAAAAGGAGUUGAAAAAUAAAGUCAUGCAAAAUGGACCAAAAGGCAUUUAUACUGCAAACCAAAGGGAAAUCUCAAAGCUAAUUUUGCAUGACCAUGCGAAAAUUUUGCACAGUCAUGUGAAAUGCUCCAAGAAGGUGAAAAUUGGUGUUGAUGCAUUUUUUACUUUGCACAAUCAUGUGAAAUUGCUGGAUCUCGUGCGAAAUGGUCAUUUUAUUACUAAACUCUAGAUUUCUUGGUGAAAAAGCCUUCAGAAGACCUCUUAAAUGAUGCCAAGUAUCCACUUAACCUUGACCUAUAAAUAGAAACUUGAUUUUCUCAUUUAAAGGACUUUUAGCCAUUUCUAAUUGGAGAAUUUCCCAGAUUUUCUCUCUUUCUAUAGAAUUCUCUACUUUCUCUCAUUUUCUCACUAGCCAAAUAUGCCUUGUGAGACCAAAUCUCCAAGCAUGAGUGGCUAAAUCUCGUUUUUCUAGGAGGAGUGAGGAUCUAGAGGUAAGAUCUAUGGUGAAUUAGAGAAAUGAGCUUGAAUUGCAAAGGUAAUUUGAUCCAAGUGAUUAAUUAAUUGAAUUUUGGGGAUUUUUCUCUUCAAAUUGUCUUGGAUGAUUACUACAAUGCAAACUAGGUAGAUUCAUUAAAUUCUUAUAGUUAAAUUUGAUGAGAUUGAAUAGUUGCAUUGUGUGAAUCAUUGGAAAAUAAUUUAAGAUUAAUUGAAUAUAUGAUUUGAAUUGAUCUCUUGGAUUAAAUGACCUAAUUUGAACAGAAAUUAGAUCUAGAUCUAAAGCUAAAUAAAAAAAUUGCUUUAGAUGAAAAUUUAUAUUUUCAAUCUAACUUGAUGAAAAUUAGAUUUUAACAUCUAUUCACCAUGGAAAUUGUUUUCUAGAAAAUCCUAACUCCAAGAAUUUCAUUUUCUAUUAAUUUUCUUCUGUUUCACAUUUCAUUUUUCUUCUCAAUUUGAGACCAUUGUUAAAUUGAUUUUUUUUACCAUGAAUUUUCAAAUCAAUUUCACUUGAUUACAAUAAUUUCUUAUCCUCUCAUUCAAGCCUUAAUUACCAAGGAUAAUCCAUCCUAGUGGACGACGCCUAAAAACCACUAUACUACGGUAGUUUGUACUAAAACCAUUUUUGAUCGAGUACAAGCUACUCUAGAAUAGUGAAUUAGGUUAUAAAUUUUGUUUUGAUGCAAUAAAUGACGAAAAAUCAAGUGAUCACUGUUCUUAUGAACAAUUUUCAGUUAUUCAAUAAUAAUGCACAUUGUUUAGGGAGAAGGCUAAUUCAGUGCAGUUAAGGUGAGAAAUUGUUUGGAAAUCAUAAACAAUAAUUAUAUGCCAUUAAAGUAUUGUAAUUUUUCGUAUUGACUAGUCUUAAAAGAGUGAGAUGACUCAUUGUGCCACAUUAUGCCACUGCUUGUGCUUUAGCAGAGUAGGAAUGAUCAAUCUCAUGAGUCUCAAAAGAUAAGUUAGAUCAUUAUUUAGUUUUGGGUUCUGUCGUAGGGCAGGACUCAGGAAGCACUGAUUUUAAAUUUACCCUAUUUUUCAUCUACUCAGGGACAGACAAUUUGUAAAAAAAUUUCUUCUUAUCAUCAUUCUCACCAAAUAUCAUGAAAUGCAGUUUUUAAAAUAUGGAUUCAAAAUCUUAUCUCUAGAUUCAUAAUUUUUCAUGUAUUUUUUUUAAUGAAACCAAAUAGAUUGGAUGCGAAUCGAUGUUCUUUUAUUUUUCAUGCAUUCUUUCAUUACUCCUUUUAAGUAAACAAGUCUAAAGAAAAUAAAUAUUUUGAAUAUAUUUUAAGUAAAAAAAUUUAUUGUUCUUCAUUAUUGGAUUCCAAACGGAUAAUUAGAAUUAUUAAGGUAAUGUUUAAAUAUAUUUUUUAUUUUUAAAUAAAAUUAGUAAUAAAUGUCUUAUAUAAAAAGUAGCAAUUUAUAUGUUAUAUUGUUAAAAAUCUUUAAGUUGAUGAUGAAUUUGAAAAAGAUAAAAUUUUAAGUUAUCUUUUAGUUUGUGAUUUUAAGUAUUCACAAGGGUAUUUUUGGAAAUAAAAAGUGAAAAACACAAACAGCUUCUACGCUAUACUUUCAUUGCUAUGCGCGCAUUGCACCACUUUUUGCUUUGUCGUUCAAAGUUUGGAAAUUAAAGGUGAACUUGUUGGGUCCUGGGAAACCCACCAGCACUUUCCACCUCCAUAGCAUGGCACAACUCAAGGCUUCUUCGUUCUCUCAUCUUUUCUAUCAACUCCUCUCUUCUUUCUAUGAAUUCUUUUUGUCUCUGGUAAUUACAUGACGACCUUCAAGCUCUUUGGUACUGAGAUAUCGGUGUUGAAGGAAAGAGAAGACGAGAUACCACCAAUCCCAUCACCUCUCUCCCAAUUGCCUUGUCCAAUCUUGACUACUAUUGAAGGCAUGAAGGGGCGUGGAUUGGUUUCGGUGAUGAGAAAGACACUGACAACAUCCGAUGUGUUUGUGCAUCAGAGUCGGCUUUUCAUCACCAAGUGUAAGGUGUUGUGGAGCCAGUUAUUGGAGGAGAAGCAGAAGAAGGUGAGGGCAAAAGAGCACGUUGAAGUUGAGGUCGUGGAUCCCAAGGGGGGGGAGGACUGGGAUGAAGUUGAGGCUGUGGAAGAGUUUGAAGAUGCUUGUGUUGAAUUCCGGAUGGGUAAAGUGACAAAAGUUGUGGAAUAAAGGCUGAAAAUUUCUUAUUCUCCAGAAUGUGAAACACAUAUAACUUAUAUAGGAAGAGAGGUGGAUAUUUACAUAAAGAGUCCUACUCCCAGUUUAACUAAAAGGACAAACAUUCCUACUCCUAGUUUAACUAAAAAGAUAAACAUUAUAACUGAUAAACGUUUACAACAGAUGGACAUUAUCACUUAGUGGCUAAGUAUUAUAUUUUCUGUUACUCCCCCUCAAGUUGGUGCAUGAAGAUCUCGAACGCCCAACUUGCUUGAUAAGAAAAGAAAUUGUUGUCUUCCAAGUGCUUUGGUGAACAUGUCUGCUACUUGCAGCUUUGAAGGAAGAUAUGUUGUCACUAUCUCACCUGAUUGCACUUUCUCUCGAACAAAAUGACAGUUUAUUUCGAUGUGUUUGGUCCUCUCAUGGAAUACGGGAUUUGUUGCAAUGUGUAAAGCAGCCUUAUCAUCACAGUAUAAUUUCAUUGGCUUAUCAUGAAGCACCCCUAAUGAUGCAAGAAGUGAUUUUAGCCACGUUAACUCGCUUGCUGCCAUUGCCAUGGAACGGUACUUUGCUUCUACUGAAAAUCUUGAUAUAGUUCCUUGUUUUUUGCACUUCCACGAAAUUGGUGAUGUCCCAAGUUUAAUGCAACAUCCGCUAAUUGAUCAUCUUGUUAAUGGACAACUUGCCCAGUCCGAAUCUGAAUAAAAAUAAAGUUGAAGAUCAUUUUCUGCUUUCAAAACUAUUCCUUGACCUGGUCCUUUCUUCAUAUAUCGAACGACUCUAUAAGCUGCAUCUAGGUGUUCUUCCCGUGGGCUUUGCAUGAAUUGUGACAAAACAUGAACAACAUACGUCAGGUCUAGCCUUGUUACAGUCAAGUAUAUCAAUCGUCCCAUAAGUCGCAUGUACAUUCCUGGGUCAUUUAGCAAUCUCCCAUUAGCAAGUGCUAGUUUGUGGUUUUCUUCCAUUGGAAAUUCCACUAGUCUCGCUCUUAACAGCCCAUAUUCCUCUAUAAUGUUUAAAGCAUAUUUUCGUUGUGAUAAAAAUAAUCCAUCCUUGCCUCUUGCCACCUCGAUUCCAAGAAUGUAUUUCAAUUGUCCCAGAUUCUUGAUUUCAAAUUUUCUGUCAAGAAAGUUUUUGAAAGCUUCGCAUACUUUGUUGUCAUUCCCAGCCAAUAUUAAAUCAUCCACAUUAACCAAUAGGUUCAUCACUAUGUUUCCACGUCGAUAAGUAAAGAGUGAAUAAUCAGCCAAUGAUUGUUGAAAACCAUAUUAUUUCAAAGUUGUCGUGAGUUUCGCAAACUAUUGUCUCGAUGCCUGUUUCAAUCCAUACAACAAUUUUUGUAACUUGCAAACUUUGUUCUUUCCAGUGGCCUUGAACCCUUGUGACAACUUCAUAUACACUUCUUCUUCAAGGUCUCCAUGUAGAAAUGCGUUGUCCAUUUGGUGUAAUUCCCAUCUUUUCACCACUGCUACAGCUAGAAAGCACCUUACACUUGUCAUUUUUGCCACUGGAGCAAACGUCUCUUGAUAGUCUAUUCCUUCAAUCUGUGUAAAUCCCUGCGCCACUAACCUCGCUUUAUACCGCUCAAUUGAUCCAUCUACGUUGUAUUUUAUUUUGUAUAUCCACUUGCAUCCUAUUGCUUUCUUUUCUGGCGGUAUGUCAACUACUUUCCAUGUUUGAUUAGUCUCUAAUGCUUCAAUUUCCUUUGCCAUGGCUUCUCUCCAUCUGUUGUCUAUAACCACUUCUUUGUAAGUUCUUGGUUCCUUUUCAAUAUUUAUUGCUGCAAGAAAAGCUCGAUGGCCAACAUAAAAUUUUGUAUAAGUCACAUAAUUCGCAAUAGGAUAAGGCUCACCUGAGGGUACCUUUUGGAUUGAGCUUGCCUUGGAACAAAGUGUACUUAAGCUUCUAGCUGAAUAACAUAUAUAAUUUUGGAGAUGUCUCGGUUCUUUGUGUUGUCUAUGUCCCCUACCAAGCAUCUCCCCCUUGCUUUGAUCCUCUCAUGUCUCCAUAUUUUCUUUCCCUUUCUCCCUUUCACUAUUUUUUUCACUCUCUCUUUCACAUGUUUUCUUUACUAUGACAUCAUCAUCUUCAAUGUAAGAUUCUAUGUUCCCAUUGUUCUGGAAUUUUUGUUCUUUAUCUCCCUUGCUGCUUUGACAAAAAGGAAAAAUUGUUUCAUGAAAUAUUACAUCCCUACUCUCAAACUGUUCUUUGGUUUCUAGAUCGUGAAGUUUCCAUCAUUUCUUUCCAUAGGGAUAACCUACAAAUACGCAUCGUCGGCUUCUAGCAUCAAACUUAUCAUUAUUACGUGACUUUUUAUGGGCAUAACACAAACUACCAAAGACUCUCAAGUGCUCAUAAUUCGGUUUCUCGCCAAAUAAUAUUUCAUAAGGCGUCUUUCCAUCUAAUAUAGGUGUGAGGGUUCGAUUUAUCAAGUAUGCUACCGUUAAAACACAUUCUCCCCAAAAAUCUAUUGGUAGACAAGCUUGAAAUCGCAAUGUCCUAGCAAUAUUUAAUAUGUGUUGGUGUUUUCUCUCCACUCUCCCAUUUUGUUGUGGGGUGUUUACCAGGCUACUCUCCCUUAAUAUUCCUUCUCUCUUAUAAAAACUCAUCAUUUGUCCUGAGCAAAAUUCUAAUCCAUUAUCACCUCUGAUGCAUUUAACCGGUUUAUCAAAUUGCGUUUUGGUCAUAAAACAAAAAUUUUGUAAAAUAUCUUUGGUUUCGCUCUUUUCUUUCAUGAGAUAUAUCCACACCCCUCUACUAUGAUCAUCUACAAUGGUAAGAAAAUAAUGUGCCCCUGAAGUAGUGGGAGUUCGAUAUGGACCCCAUAUAUCUACAUGUAUGAGAUUAAAAACUUCAGAUGCUCUUUUAUUACUCAAUUGAAAAGAAUUUCGUACUUGUUUUCCACGACAACAUGAAUUACAAACAUAGUCCUCAAUUCCUUUCAUCACAUUAUUUCCUAAACUAUGAAUGAAAGCUAAAACACGAUCUGAAGGAUGCCCUAACCUCCUGUGCCACAAUUCAUACUUUUCUUCUACUUUCACUGCGUUCACCUUCUCUUCUUGUAAUGGCUUGUAGUAGUACACUCCAUUCCUCAACUCACCCACUCUAAUCGGAUUCCUCGAAGUGCGGUCCUGUAUCACACAAAACGAAUUAGUAAAUAUGACUGUAUAAACUUUUUCUUUUAAUAAUUGGCCUAUAGAGAUUAAAUUGCAUUUCAAGGUAGGGACGUAUAGAACAUUUUUUAAGCAUAAAUCUUUAGAGAGCUUCACAUAUCCCAUUUCAUUUGUUAUGGCUUUUGUUCCAUCAAGCAGUCCCACAUAUGCUGUCUCCCCUUUACGUAGUCAAUCGAACAAAUCUCUCAUUUCUGUCAUAUGCAUGGAUGUACCACUAUCCAAUAUCCAUUCUUCCAUAAUUUUAUUCUUAUCAGUCAGUUUUUCUGCAUUACUGCUUCCAUUUCUGAGUAGAGUCAUGAGUUUUUGGAAGUUGUCAUCAUUCAGUCCUGGGAUUAUACUAUGUUCCACAUCAUGUCCAACGCAUUGUCCUUUUUCUUGCGUAUAUGCUUCAGCAACUGCAUUUGCAUAAUGAACACGUCCUGAAGUUGCUCAUCUUCCAGCAUAACUGUUGCGGCCAUGUCCACGUCCCCUUCCUCAUUCCAUUUGGCAUGUUGGCCACCAGUCGGGAUAUCCUUUUAGUUGAAAGCAAUCUGCAACAUCAUGUCUCGUCUUUCCGCAAUGUGUACAGCUCCCACUUUUAUUUGUUUGUCCCUCAAGUUUCUCUGUCUUAGCUGCAAAAACUGUUAUUUUAGCACGAUCAGCUCCUCUGCCUAUGCUACGAUGGCGUUCUUCUUGUGUAACCAUUGCAUAUAUUUUUCCCAAAGUAGGUAAGGGAUCAAGGGCUAAGAUAGAUGAUCUCACGGUCCCGAAUGUAGUGUCAUCUAGACCCAUGAGAAACUGAUGUGCCUUCUCAUCUUCUCUGCUUUUCACUAUUGCUUGAGUUGUUCCACGAGUGCACUCAGGUAUCUCGAUGUAUUGAUUUAAUUCAUCUCACAUGCCUUUUAUUUUGGCAUAAUAUGCAGCAACUGUCAUUCAUUCUUGUUUCAAGUUCACGAUUUCACUUCUGAGUUGAUGAACCCUCAAAGCAUUUCCAACAACAUAUCUUUCUUUGAGAUCCUCCCACAUGUCUUUUGUAGUCUGCGCAUAGGCUACACUCAAAUGUAAACUCUUGUCGAUCACAUUAAACAUCCAUGAUAUAAUCAUCGAGUUACAUGCUUCCCAUGCAUUCAAUUCGUUUCCAUUUUCUCCUUUUGGUUUGUUUACUGUCCCAUCAAUGAUCUCAAGCUUGUUUUUCGCUCUCAAUGCAUUUCUAACAACCUUCUCCCACAUAUCAUAAUUUUCACCAUUGAACACACAUGUCGUGAUGGUUGCCCCUGGAUUAUCAAAUGGAUGUAGGUAAAGAGGUGAAGAUGGUUCUAUCAUCUUUGUGUGAGUCGAAGGUUUUUCUACCAUGAUACAUUUUCUUCAGGUAUCUGGCUCUGAUACCAUGACAAAAAUUGUGGAAUAAAGGCUGAAAAUUUCUUAUUUUCCAGAAUGUGAAACACAUACAACUUAUAUAGGAAGAGAGGUAGAUAUUUACAUAAAGAGUACUACUCCCAGUUUAACUAAAAGAAUAAAGAUUAUAACUGAUAAACGUUUACAACAGAUGGACAUUAUCACUUAGUGGCUAAGCAUUAUCUAUUCUGUUAUAAAUCUUGUGAAGGUUAACAAGCUGGAGGCGAAGGUGCAUUGUAUUGAGUUGUAGACUUUUAGGAUGAGUGACAAGUUGUUCUUCGCUUUGAAUGUCGAAAGACAACGACAAUACCAUCCAUGAUGAUGAUAUAUCAUUCAUUCUGAAGAAUCUAAAUCUAGCUAUAAUGGUAUAAGUGUGUUUGGUCCUUCAUAUUUGUGGAUUUUGGUUUGCUUAAUUUGCUUUGUAUCUUGAUUUGGAGUCGACCCUAUUGGUUUUUUUUUUUUCCUCCGAUUUCCUUUGAAAUAUGCAUGUGUGAGUGAAAUAUGCAAGAAUGACGACAAAGAUUGUAAGCUAUGGGCUUUAGUCAUGAUUUCCGGUUUUAUGUUAUAAAUAAUUAAAUAGAUGUUUGCUGUAACAUUAAUUGUAAGUCGAUCAUUCCCCAAGGCAGAUUUCCUUGUGGAUGAUGGAUUUUGUUACUUCAUUAUUAAUGUUCUUUUCAUGAUAUUCCUAAUCCUUAAAUUUCAACUAACGAACAUGUUGCUACAGCUGUUUAUUAUCAAUGAGCAACAACAGGGCCAAUAUCCAUUCAGUAGAAAGAAAAAAAAAAAUUGAAAAGUUGAAGUGCUCACACAUGCCGCCUUCUUGGUGGCACUCCCCCCUUGUGUGAGUGGAAGUGUGAACACCUUUCCAUGGGACUAUCACUGUUGUGGAGUAUACUCUCCAUGUAGAUUUUGCUUGUGAUAAUGAUCACUCUUGCCCUUUUAGCCAUGGAAAAUAAUAUCUUUCUCUCUUUCUCUCUUCUUCUUUUGGUCCUCUUGAUUGCGCUCCUCCUCAUUUUAGGUCGCUUGGCUUCUUGUUCUUUAGGAAGCUCCAUCUUCAUUUCUUCUUCUAUUUUAUUCGGCGACAUCUCCACUCCAAACUGUCUGAUGAUCUUCACUUAUUCUUCGUCGAGGCCUGACUCAAUCCGUAAGGGAUUGGUGUGGGAUGUGGAAAUAGAAAAUAUAUAUAUAUAUAUAUAUAUAUAUAUAUAUAUAUAUAUAUAUAUAUAUAUAUAUAUAUAUAUCUUUUGUCAAAGUUGCCUGCAACUUUCAAAGGUUUUUUUGUCCUUACUAAAUGUAGCCGAUGAAUUUUUAAGGGGAAAAGCCAAGAUGUUAGGACUAUGGGUCCAUGUCACGUGUGUUUGGUUUCGGCCUGAAGUUGUUUUCUUACACUACAAUAUACAGGUGCAGAUAUGGAAGACCGCAACUAAGUGUCACCAUAGAUGGCGCAGAUAAAUCUUAUAAUUGCGGCCUCAUACAAUUGUGCAAAUAUAAUGUUCAAGUUAUAGCUGGGCCAAUCUUUUUCCACCACCAAAUCGCUUAUAUAGCUGCUGCUCCUUGUAACCGCUACCAUAAGGCUGCUACAACAUUGCCAGAGUGCUCUAUGGCACAAACAAUUACUGAUUCUAAUGCCCUAUCAUGUUCAAAUUUUGCUCCUUGGAUCUAGAUUCCGAAGUGUUUGACCAUAUGACAAGUUUUUCUAAUCUUUUUUUUGACAUCCUUAUCAUUUCUUAUGAUGUCAAUAUCCACUUGGAAAGAAAAUAUACUAUCUAUGACAAGUGUAUUUCAAUCUCAUUUUUCUCCAUAUAUAAAUAGAUAAUUGAGAUCUUAUCAUUAUCAUCUACUUAUACCCUUUUAAGAGCUAAUUGUAAAAUAUAUACCUCUCCAAGGGCUAUUUGUUUAAACUAUAUCUCUUCAGGGGUUAUUUGUUUAAAUUGUACCUCUUCAAAGGUUGCUUGAAAAUGAUUAGUCCUUUUAUAUGCAACUUCUUCAAGAGUGUCACUUUUUUUUUAUAUAUUUCCUUGUGUUUUCCUCUUCCACGAAAUGUGUUUGCCUCUUCAAUGUCUACCACGUUUUAGGUGUGCCUUAAACUUAUUAUUUAAUUGUUUUUCAAGGAUAUCAACUCAUUAUUUAAUCGUCUUUUAGGAACAUCAAUUCAUAUUAGAAUAUUCUCAAUUAGUGAUAAUGAUUGUGUCACUUUCCUUGCAUCAAUGAAAGCAUUUGGUGGUUAAUUUGCAAGUCCUUGCAAACGAAUAAUCUUUUGAACUUCUAGUUCACAUUAAUUAGUAUAAGGAUCAAGAUGAGUCAAAGUCAAUGCAUUUCAAAUAAUUUCACGUCGUUAUUUUGGAAUUGGUUUUUCUCCCUUUAAAAGUGGGAAAAUUGUCUUAUUAAAAUGAUAAUCUGCAUAACAUGUCAUUAUACCUUUCAAGUGAAUAGGUAGACUAGUCACUAAAUAAAAACUUUUGGUUUUAUAAUGUAUGUUCAUACGACUUUACAAAGAAUUAAUGCAUUAUCUUUUACCUUAGGGGACAAAGUUGAUCUUACAAGAUUCUUCUGGAUCUAACAUAUUAUAAAGUGUCAUUCACAUGGAAUCAAAUACCAGUGACAUAGUAUAAGCUCUUCUAAAACUUUUAAUAAGGUUUCUAUCACUUGAUAGUUUUAACAUUGUUUGUCAUCAAUGUUGUGCAAUUAAUGAGUCAAGAGUUUCAUCAAAAUAAUAAGUUAUAAAACAUGUCAUAAAGACCUCACCUUUAUAGAGUUAAAGAAAUAUUAUCAUAAAGGAAGAGUUAAAAUUAACAAGAAAAUAUUAAUCAUCGAUGAUGACUUAGCUUAAUAAGUUGUGUAAAAUCAAUUAGAGCAUAUAUAAGACAACAAAACAAAUAUGAAAAAGAUAAUUUAAGUCAUAUACUUUUUAAAUAUCUAAUAGAUUUAAUUUUAUAAGUGUGGAGCAAGUUACACAUGAAAUAACUAAGAAGUAUUUCAAUAGUCAAACUAAUUGUAAUGAUUGAUCAAUAAUUUUAUUCAAAUAUUAUUAUGAUUUAAAUCAAUGUGCAAAAUUUAAUUCAGAGGUCAAAUUUUCAAGUGAGCAUAUAAGGAUUUAAAGUAUCUUGCAAUUUUUCCAUGUCUCAAAACUUUAAUUGAUACACUAGAAAUCCAUCUAAAUAUAUAUAUAAAGAUAAAACAAAAUAUAUUAAAACCAAUAGUUGAACUUAUUGUAAUUUCAAAAUUAUUCUUGAAUAAUAAAAUUAUUGCAUUAAUAAAAAUAUGAAUGAUACAUUCAAAUCCAAAUCAUAGAAAAUUAAGGACUUCAAUAAUUAAACUCUUGAAAACAAAAACAAAAAUUCAUAUUUUAUAACUUCAGACUAUAAAAAUAUUUAAAAUUCUUAUACCUCUAAACUAUAGGUGAAACAACAAUGUUUAUAUUAUAAUACUUAUAAUAAUCUUUAUUUAUAUAUAACAUAUAUUUUGUUUCACAUAUACGACUUUAGGUCACAAAUUUUCUAUAUAUUAUAGUCAUGAAAGAUUAUUAAAUUAAUUAUUCCACUUAGGUCUUAGUUAUAAGAAAUUAUAUAAUAUUAAUUUUAUUUUAUUUUAUUUUUUAUAUAGCUUUUAGCUAUAAUAGCAUAUGAAAUGAAAAUCUCUAUAGUUUUCAUUUAUAGGAAAUACAUAUUUUCUUUCACAGGACUUCAAGAAUAAAUUUAUGAGAACUCCUAGUCAUAAUUUUAUUACGAUAAAAUGAAAAUUUUGCAUAAUAUCAAAUUAGAAAAUAUUCUUUGUAUAGCUUCUAGCUAUAAAAUUUCAUAAAAUUAUUAAUUGACAAUUUAGUUUGUAUAACUUCUAGCUAUACAAAAUUAAAAUGCCAAUAUUUUCAUGUUUCUAUUUGAAGUACAAAAAAAUAUGUCUUAUAUAGCUUCUGGCUAUGAAAACAUUUUUUGUAUGGUUUCUAUUAUACAUUCUAUUUUAUUGUACUAUAAAUUUAUAAAUUUAUACAUAACUUCAAGUUAUGAAAUAUUCAUUGUAUAGUUUUGGCUAUAAAAUUUUGUUUUGUAUAACUUUCGGCUACACAAUGUAAUUAAAAUAAAUUUAAAAGUUAAUAUCUUUCAUAACUUUAGGCUAUGUGUGGACCCCGCAUUUCGGCUCAUGCGUUUCCCACUUGAUGACGAGCUCGAUUUUUGUUUGAAAAAUUGAUUUUUAUUUAUUGUUUGAAAAUGACUUGGAGUCGCCACUUAUUUUUGUUUUAUUUUAAAAGGGCAAACAAAAUAAGAAAGAAAACCCUAAGUGCGACUCCUUAUUUUGAAAAAGGUGAUCUACGAAAAACCGGAUCGGCUUCGAGGGUCAGGUUACUUAUCGGGAAGGUACGGUAAAGACCGUAGCACCCCUUUAAGUCCCUAAAGUCGGGCCUCUACUAAUGAGAUGAAGCAAUUAUGACAUCUAAUAAGGAAAUCAAUGAAAACUCGAAUCAAUCAUGCACGUAUUGAGAAUUAAAACAAGUAUAAGGAGUGACCAUGAUGUGAGAAAAUACGUACCUGGGUGGCGAACCGAUAUGCGCUAUCAAGAGGGGGGUUAGUAAAUCAAUUUAUUGGAUGAAUAUAUACGUAUCACAAAGCAGAACAAAUCAAUCACGCCCAACAAUUAAAUCAAUCAAUCAAUUAGUCAAUUAUAAAAUCAUAUAUGUCGGGCCCCCACCAAAGCCCGUUUAUUUUUGCAUGAAUUAAUUCCGUAAAUUCCAUCACUCGGAAUUACAGAAUUUAAAUUCAUGUUUAUUUUAAAAUAUUUUAAAAUUAUGAAAAAUUCGAAGGUGGCUCGCCGAAAAGAAAAUGGCGGCCAAAUUUUAUUAAAAAUGGGAUUUUUGAUACCUAAGAAUUCUAAAGGAUGGCAAUUUUUAAGACUUGAAAGUAUUUUAAAACCAGAACUUGGAAAAUCAUUUAUAAAACGAGGUUUGAAAAAAUCAUUUUCAAGAUCAAAAUGGGAAAGUAGGGGAUGACAUGUGGCUUAAAAAGAAAAGUUGCAUGCCAAAGGUGGCCAUGCAACUAGAAGUAUGCAACUGUAGGCCCAGGGAAGAAUGAUUUUUGAAGUGGGCUUUAGUAGUAGGCUGAUUUGAAUAAUGAGACAUGGUUUGGAUCAAGAGGCUGGCCCACAUUGACCGCAUUUACCAGUGCUUUCACAGUCAAAUCGCCUUUAUUUGAGAAGGUUUCUUUCUUAAGAACUGAUUCGUUCCCACUUGGUGUAUCAGCUGAUUCAUUUCCAGCUGGUGCUCCUUGAUUGAGGUAGUAAUCAACAAAAUUUAUAACCUAUUAUACCAUGAACUAGGGUAGCAAAGACAAAGCUACUAUAGCAUAGUGGCUCUAGGAUCGUUCACUGGGAAGGGUUUUCAACUCACAACUGAUACCAAUUCAAAGCUGAGUUGGUGCCUUUUCAUUUCAAGGUUAGCUUUAAAAGAAACCAUAAAGAUGUUUGAGUGAAAAGGGUUUGGUCUUAAACUAACCAAAAAGAAAGUAAUGGAAAUUACUUAUGAAGAAAAACAUUCCUUGGAGGUUUAGGUUCAUAGGGGAGGUUCCUUAUGCAAAAACAGAGCUCUGGUCAUUUGGUUCAUUUCCUCGCAUUAGAGAAUUAACAUAUAGUCAAUUCUCUAACCGGUGUGGUAUAGCUGCUUCCCUUUAAUGGGUUAAAACACUAAAUCCCUCUCACUGAUGCAACUUGCAAUGGCUCGUGCCUCUCACCUAGCAUUUGUCAUUCAAGGUGAUCUUUAACCUUGGACUUCCCUUCUCAAGCUCGCAAGAGAUAACUAAUGGAUGUCUCCUUGGAGUCCAAAAGCUUACCAAGUGUUGGCAAUUCUAGAAAAUCCUACCUCCAAGUCACUUCCCAAAAGCUCGCAAGAGAUAAACAAGUGCAUCUCCAUGGACGGAGAUCACGUGCCUUACCAAGUGUUGGCUCAAGUGACUUGAAGGUGUUUUAAGUUAACUAAAAACAUAGAAAUCAUUAAAGAAUCACACUUUCUCUUCAUUAAUGACUGAAACCACAAAGCUACUAAUUCUUGCACUUGGAACCUUUCCCGGCAACCUUAACUCCAAGGAACUAAAAGUCUAGCCACUCAUUCUCUGAGGAAACUUCUUUAAAGCUUGUUUGGCUAGUAAGAAAACUAACGAGAAAACAAUUAUAUGAAGGAAAAACAGAGCAAGUGCUCUGUGAAAUAUAUUUCUUUCUUCCGUCGAUUACAUAAUAAAUAUAUUUGUAAAGAAAAUUACAAACUAUAUAUAUGAGGUUAUUCACCUUUUGUACUUACUUAAAGACUAAGGAAUCCUAUGAUAGGUGGGUUACAAGGAGACUUUGGGGAUUUAGACAACAAAUAUCUAAAGCAAAAUAUCUCAAAACGUCGGUCGGAAAUAUCAGGAAGCUUCAGGAGAACACCGCUGCACAGUAUACUGAGAGAAAAACUCUGUGGGUAAGCGUUAUCAGAAAGUCCGGAUAUGUCUAUCCGGAGAAGUUGAAACGUCCUCAUUUCCCAUCCGACUGUGAGAUAUCCGGAUGUAAAAUGUCGGCGCACGGAAUUCCGGAUGUGAAAUGUCCCACACCGCUAAGAUAUCCGGAUCAAUUCCAUCCAGAUUCCCCAAGCGGAAAGGCGGCGCAAUGCUAUCCGGACUCUCUCAGGGAGAAGCACACGGCACUCGUGAACAUCACACCCGGACAAUAGCAUAUCCUAUCCGGAUAUGUUGUCCGGAUGGAAAACAUUGACUAAAGCGAGCAAGCCUUGCUACAGCCUACGUUCCGCCGCUCUCCAAUGGUGUGUCCGGACGCCUUGUCCGGACAUCUUUGCCAAGGAUUCCAAAGAACUCUCCUCAAUAUCUUAUUGCUUUGGUGAUAAAAAAGCUAUCAAAACACCAAAACUUAACACAAUUUUAUUAGAAUUGAUUGCAAGGGUCCUUAAUAUGUUAAUUGGGUUAAAAGGUGAUAACUACUACUCAAAAGCAUUUAAAAGAGUUAAUUAUUGGCUAUCAAAUAGCACUUUUUGAGUAGUAAUCAAGAACGAACUCUUCUUCAUCUUCUUCCUCCUCUCCCCUGGGUUUCUUUAGCUGAAGCUGGCUGUAUCAUCUCCAUGAAGCUCUAGUUCUUUUGCCCAGAUGGCUGAGAGGAUGAGAGAGAGCCGAAGCUGCUACGAUGGUUGGAAAGGGAUUGAGAUGGCCGCUUCGAUGUCUAUUGCUCCAAUUUCACCACCGACUUUAUUCUAAUGAAUUUUUCUACUACAUUCUUCUUCCCUGCCUUUCCUUUCUUUACUGUAGUUUCUUCCCACAAGGUAAAGCCAUUUCCAUAUAUGAUCAAGUAUGUACUCAUCUAUAUUUGUAUCAAAUCCAGAAAAUUGGCGACUGCUCCCCGGAACAAAGUUUCCCAUUGUGUCCAUGGUGGUUGUCAUUGAAAUAGAUAAGGCUUGCCCUUGGUCUCCUGAUGCUGAACUGAUGGUAUGCUGAGCUGUAACCAUGUGAUUAGUACAUCCCGCCUCCAUCAGACCUUGUUUCAGUUGGAGGAAAUUGAAUUUCUCUAGCACAAACAGGUGACCUUUUCGGGACUUUGUAGGGAUAUCCAACUCAACUUCUGAAUUUCUAAGCAAACCAUGUAUUAAAGACCCACUCCAACAGCCAGUUGCCACAAUAACAGCUUUCUAAGCUAUCUCCUUGCCAUAGCUGCAAUCUUUGCCUUCAUGUCUAUGCCGUCAUUCAAAAUAUACAUCUCACCCUUAGCAUUAGGUUCAGACUUCAUUCUUCCCAUAUCUCUAGCAUUUGGUUCAGCCCAUUCUCUUGAAACUUUAGCCACAUAACUCAUGAAGUUCAUGGCUUCCUCUGCUAUCUCGUAUUCAACAUGGCAUGCACAACUAGCAAUUUAUGAAUUAAAAACAGAGAAAACAAAAGAAAACAAAAGAAAAACAAUUCUAAAAAAAAAUUAAGGUAAACUAAAAAUUUAAUAAAAGGUAUACUAAAAUAUGAACAAAGGAAAAUAAACAAAUAAAAAGAGUUAGUAAAAGGAAAAGAAAAGUCACCAAACUUGUGAUGAAGAUCACAAGUACUUUGGAAAGGUGAUAUCACUGUAAAGUGGCACCAUCCCCGGCAACGACGCCAUUUGAUUCGUUCCCAAUUGGUGUCUCAGCUGAUUCAUGUCCUCUCAAUGGUCCCUGACAGUGGUACCAUUUGAUUCGUGUCCAACUGGUGUCCCUUGAUUGUGGUCCUCAGAAAGGAGUAAUCAACAAAAUUUAUAACCUAUUACACCAUGUACUAGGAUAGCCUUAGCUAGCAUAGCAUAGUGGCUCUAGGGUCGUUCACUGGGAUGGGUUUUCACUCUACAAUUAAUAUUAAUUCAAAGCUGAAUUGGUGCCUUUUCAUUUCAAGGUUAGCUUUAAAAGAAAACAUAAAAAUGUUUGAAUGAAAAAGGUUUGGUUUUAAACUAACCAAAAAUAGUAACUGAUUUUACUUACAAAGAAAAUUGUUUCUUGGAGUUUAGAUCACUAGGCUCAGGUUCCUCAUACAAAAAGGAGAGUUUUGGUCACUUGUUUCUUUUCCUCGCAUUAGAGAAUUAACAUAUAGUUAAUUCUCUAACCGAUGUGGUACAAAUGAUUCCCCUUAAUGGGUUCAAACACUAAAUCCCUCUCACUGAUGCAUCUUGCAAUGGCUCAUGCCUCUCACCUAGCAUUUACCAUUCAAGGUGAUCUUUAACCUUGGAUUACCCGUCAAAAGCUUGCAAGAGAUAACUAAUGGAUGUCUCCUUAGAGUCCAAAAUCUUACCAAGUGUUGGCUAUUCUAGAAAAUCCUACAUUCAAACCACCUCCCAAAGGCUCGCAAGAGAUAAACUAGUGUAUCUCAAUGGACGGAGACCACUUACCUUAUCAAGUGUUGGCCCAGGUGAUUUAAAGGCGUUUUAAGUUAACUAAAAAGAUAAAAACCAUUAACGGGUCACACUUUCUCUUCAUUAAAAACUAAAAUAACAAAAAUUCCAAUUUAUGCAUGAGGAAACUUACCCGGCUUUCUUCACUCCAAGAGACGAAGAGCCUAGCCGCUCAUCCUCUGAGAAAACAUCCUCAGAGUUUGUUUGGCUAGAAAGAAAACUAACGAGAAAACAAAAAUAUGAAGGAAAACUAGAGCAAGUGCUCUGUAAAAUAUAUAUCUUCCUCCCGUCGGAUUACAUGAUGAUAUGAGAACAACCUCCCGACUCCUCUCUUAUAAAGAAAAUUACAACUAUAUAUAAGAGGUUAUUCACCCCCUUUGUUCUUGCUUAAAGACUAAGGAAUCCUAUGAUAGGUGGGUUACAAGGAGAGUUUGGGGAUUUAGACAUCAAAUAUCUAAAGCAAAAAAUCUCAAAAUGUCGGUCACACAUAUCGGGAAGCUUUAGGAGAACACCGCGGCAUUGUGCAAAAUGGCUGCGAAAUUUUUGCAGCAAAAGGACAACAUUUUCGCAGCUAAAGGCUGAUUUCAUAGUCGUGCACCAUUUUGCCUUCAACUUGGAGUGAUCUUCUUACAAUGGUUGUAACUCCUUCAUUUCAACUCCGAAUUGUGCACCGUUUAAAGCAUUGGAUUUUUGACUUCCUGAUCUUCGAAACAACAUAUAGAAUGCAUAAAUUGGACUUCAGUAAGUGCUCCAAAAGUGGCUGACAUGACUGUCAUCAAGAAUGCUUCAUGUUAGAUUUCUCUUUGCUUCCCCUCCUUGCAUUCCGGAUUUCCUUAUGGCAAAGGACUUUAAAGCUUUGGUUCUUCAUGUUUUUGAGCUUUCCAUUGCUUUGCCAUGGAUUCCAAAGAACUCUCCUCAAUCUUGGAUUGCUUUGGUGAUUAAAAAUCUAUCAAAACACCAAAACUUAACACAAUUUGAUUAGAAUUGAUUGCAAGGGUCCUUAACAUGCCAAUUGAGUUAAAAGGUAAUAACUACUACUCAAAAGUGUUUAAAAGAGUUAAUUACAAGCUAUUAAAUAGCACUUUUUGAGUAGUAAUCACUCCCCCCAACCGACAUAUUGAUCUAACUCUCAACAUCAUGCUAAUCAAAAAACAAUUUUCAAGUGGCAUAAUGAUCUAACUCUCACAUGGAACAUUAAAGAAAUAAAACUCAAACUUUAACAAGAGUUAUCAAAUAACUUGUCUAAUCACAAUUCUUAAAGAGAAGACAUUAUGCAAAUUUAAGCUUUAAAAGAGUUUCCACUCCCAAAGGGUCAAACCUUACUCUUCCACAAAAAUCUAAGUGUUACUUAUUAGUUUCCGAAUAUAGUAUGUUGAACUAAUCUCUCCCCCCAACCUAGUUCUUUUUCAAAGCUUAGUAAACUGAUCAACCUCCAAUAGGUUAAGAACGCACCUCUUUUUUCACAAUUUUUUUUCAUUGUAGGAGUACAAGGCUAAAGUUAUUCUUUUCUAAAUUUUCCAUGUAAUGGGGGUCCAUCAAUGACUCCCAACCAAUUAAGGUUUAGGGCAUCAAGCUUUAAGGAUCUUUCAACCACUAACUCCUCGGAUUUUACCCCGGACUUUUGAGAAUGAAUUUUUAAUACCUAAGCACCUAUAGUAUGUUAAACUCCACCUAUUCACCCUUGUAACGAGCAUUGAGGUCGGUGACUCCCAACCAAUGAAGGCUUAGGGCACUAGGUUUUAAAGAUUUUCACCAUAUACCCCUCAGACCUUGCUCGAGUUUCAAGGCAAGCAAACAUUUUUCUUUCUUUCUUUUUUUUUCAAAAGCUCAUUGGCCUUUUAUAAGGUGUCCCAACACUAUUAAAUGAAGUCAAAGGUACCAAGUCUAAAAUUUUCCUAAGUCAAGAGGGAAAUAGUUUUUCAUCUUAUAAUCGGAACCUAUUGUACACAGUGUGUGAAUGGCUUAAAGUGGAAGAACUGAGGUUGAUUUCAAUAGAAGUUUCAACAAUUCAUCAACUUUAGUAAGCAUAAUACAAACUCUAAGUCAAGUAAAAAGAGAAAAAUUCAAUUUCUCCCUUUUCAUUUUGAAAAUUUUUCCUUAAUAACCAUGGCGAGUAGAAUAAAAAACUUUAAAAAUUUUAAAAUUUAAGCAAAAAGCAACUAAAUUACCAAAAUAACUUAGCAUUAUUAAUAAUACUUACUUUCUCAACUCUCCCCCCAACCAAGCUGAACAUUGUCCUCAAUGUGACAAAAGCGAUUGAAAAAUAGGGAGGAAGUGGUACCUCCUGAGUGACAUGGAGUCUAAGUCAUAUAGGAGAAACCACAUGUUUCAAAAAAAAACAAAAGAGUUAGUGAGUAGAGGAAAUAGAAAAAUGCCAAGUUGAAACAAAAAAUGAUGUCUAUAUAUGAUGCAUCAUCAGUAAUACAUCCAAUCCCAGAAUAUAAGACAUCAAAACAUGGAAUUAUGUAUACUAAUAUGUAAAUACAAAAAAUGAAGAGAUGAUCAAGUAAUGGUAGAGUCCUGUGGAGCUGAUGCAUCUGUGGUGGCCUCUUGAGUGGGUUGGAUCAGGACUUUAGCCUCUGUUCUAGUAGUCUCCUUAGAUGGCAUAGUCUCCUUAGCUGGAGCUCUCAGUUAGAGCUAUGGGCUUUUGAUGGUUUUAGGAGGUAAGAAAUGGAAUGAGAGGCUUUGUGUGUGAUCUCAGUGAGAGGGCUCUCCUCUUUAGAUGCAUGGUUAUGUGGCUCUAUUGGCAUUUUUACAAAUUCCUUUGGCUUUGCUAGGUGUUUUUGCAAACCUCUCUUCAUUUUGGAAGUCAUUUUUAUAGCUUGGAGGUUAAUUCGUAGCUUAGAGAUCAUCUUGCAGUCAAAAGGAAAAAAGAAAAACAUUUUCCACAACCCAAGGGGAAUUUCACAGGGGGAAAGUGGAAUUUUGCAGCCCAUUUUGAUGCCAAAUGCCAUUUUGGCAGCCAAUGGAAAAAAUAGAAACAUUUUAGCAGCCCCUUUUGAAGCUUGGAAAUCAUUUCGUAGCCAUUUUGAAGCUUGGAGGCCAUUUUUGCUGUGGGAGGAGGAUUUCGUAGAGAAGGGGGAUUUUCGCAGCCUAUUUCAAAGUUUGGAAAUCAUUUUGCAUCCAUUUUGAAGCUUGGAGAUCAUUUUGUAGCCAUUUCGAAGCCAAAGGGGAAAAAAGAAACAUAAAAAAGAAGAUCGCAUCCCAUUUUUGAAGCUUGGAGAUCGUUUUCGCAGCGGGAAAAGGAUUUUGUAGAGGAGGGGAUUUUCGUAGCCCAUUUCGCAGCUGUGAAAUGGGCGUACGGCGCUGCGAAGUGGUACUCGUGUGCCAAAGGGUGGUUUCGCAGCUGCGAAACACCCUUCGAAAUGGGGGCUUGGCUGCGAAAUUCCCGCCCAACUUUGCGCGCUCAUCUUCAAACGGCCAUAUCUUUUUCGUUUCAACUCCAAAUCAUGUAUCGUUUGAAGUAUUAGACUUCUGACUUCCCAAGAUUCGAAUCGACAUAUGGUAUGCAUAAUUUGAGCUCCAUGAAGUGCUCCAAAAAUGUGUCCAACAGUAGCGAAAUGGGGUACGGCUGCAACAUUUCCGUUCAACUUUGCACAGUCAUCUUCAAAUGGCCAUAACUUCUUCAUUUCACCUUCAAAUCAAGCACCGUUUGAAGCUCUGGACUCCUGACUUCCCAAUAUUUGAAACAAGAUAUAGUAUACAUAAUUUGAGCUCCAGGAAGUGCUUCAAAAAUGUAUCCAACAGUAGCGAAAUGGGGUGCGGAUGCGACAUUUCAGCUCAUUGUUUGCACAGUCUUCAAACGGUCAUAACUUCUUUGUUUCAACUCCAAAUCAAGCACCGUUUGAAGCUAUGGACUCUUGACUUCUCAAUAUUUGAAGCGAGAUAUAGUAUGAAUAAUUUGAGCUCUAGGAAUUGCUUCAAAAAUGUGUCCAAUAGUAGCAAAAUGGGGGUGCGAAUGCGACAUUUCAGCUCAAUUUUGCACAGUCGUCUUCAAACGGUCAUAACUUCUUCAUUUCACGUCCAAAUCGAGCACCAUUUGAAGCUAUGGACUCCUGACUUCCCAAGAUUUUAAAUGAGAUAUGGUAUGCAUGAAAUGAACUUUGGGAAGUGAUUGAAAUAUGUCCAGCAGUUGCCUAAAUGGGGGUGCGGCUUCAUGGUGUGCGCGCUGAAGGAUUUUAAGGCAUGGAGGAUUUUGCAACCAUUUCGCAGCUGCGAAAUGAGUGUACAGGGCUACAAAAUGGCACUCGUGUGCCAAAGGGUGGUUUCGCAGCUGCGAAACACCUUUCCAAAUGGCUCAUCGACUGCGAAACGGAGGAUCUCAAGGCGUGGAAAGCUCGCAGCCAUUUCACAGCUGCGAAACGGGUGUACUUGGCUGUGAAAUGGCACUCGUGUGCCAAGGGGCCUCUUCACAGCUACAAAAAGUUUCGUAGAGGGCGCUUGGAGGCUGCGAAAUCAUUUCACAGCGAGGGCGCGAUUUUCGCAGCGGCUCACUUUUGCUGCGAAAUUUCGCAGCCCAUGCUUUCUCCUUACUUUUUGAGCUCCUCUUGAUUCCCAACUUCCUUCUUUCACCUUUUUUGACAUUCCUCUUGAUAUUGAUCAUCCAAAAACCUAUAUUACAUCAAAACAAAUGAGAAUUAAAGCAUUGAAAUCAAAAUUAAAUCAUUGAAAUCAAAAUUAAAACAAGUAAUAAGCAAAACAAAAAGAUAUGGACUAGCUAGUCUUUAGAAAGACUAAGUCCAUCAAAAAAUUUGAUCCUGAUUUAGCUUGCCCGGAUCUCAUAUGAAGUUUGCAUCCCUCACUUGAGACUUGCUUUGUAUGAUUUUCCCAUACAAAGCUUGGAUGAAAGGUGGAGGCAUGUGUUUCAUCAUUUCUUCCUUGAUGACUACCCUUUGUGGUUCUCCUUCUAUAUUAACAUCAUAGCCAUCUUUCUCUAUGCUUUUCCCCUUUCUCUUUCCUUUGAUUUCCUCCCUCUUUUCUUUAUCUGUUUCACUCUCUUCCUUAUGCUCUAGCUUGGAUGUGGGCAAAUCAACCUCUUUAUCUCCCUCCUUAGCCUCCAUUUCAUGGAUACCCUUUUGAUUUUGAUGAGGUUGAGAAGGAGAGUUUUCUUUCUCUUGCACUGUGUUGAGGUUGGCAAACCUUGAGAUAGAAUAUUGGAGAGUAUCUAUCUUCUGAGAUAGAUCAUUUUGCACUUCAUCCAUCUUUUUGUUCAAUGAACUCUCUACACUGUCAAUUCUUUGACUGAUAUGAGCAUUGAUGGAUUUCUGAGCUCCAACAAAGUCUCCCAUAACCUUGCUAAGAUUCACCAUAGCUUAAUCAAGGUUUGAGGCUUGCGGAAGUGCUUGAGCGGGUUGCUUAUGCUGAGGUGGCUGUGGUUUCCAAGAGAAAUUUGGAUGGUCUCUCCAAUUGGAAUUGUAGGUGUUGCAAUCACCAAACAUUUCCUCACGGCUGGAAUGGUAGGACACUCUUCCACCAAGUGCUCAUAAGAUAGACAAAUGGCACAAGGCAUAGCUUGCAAUGGUGUUUGAGAGAUGGCUUGCACUUCUUGCAUCUUCUUCAUUUCUAGCUCUUCCAAUCUCCUUGCCAUAGCUGCAAUCUUUGCAUUCAUGUCUAUGCCGUCAUUCAAAAUAUACAUCUCACCCUUAGCAUUAGGUUGAGACUUCAUUCUUCCCAUAUCUCUAGCAUUUGGUUCAUCCCAUCCUCUUGAAACUUCAGCCACAUAACUCAUGAAGUUCAUGGCUUCCUCUGCUAUCUCGUAUUCAACAUGGCAUGCACAACUAGCAAUUUGUGAAUUAAAAACAGAGAAAACAAAAGAAAAAAAAAGAAAAACAAUUCUAAAAAAAAAUUAAGGUAAACUAAAAACUUAAUAAAAGGUAUACUAAAAUAUGAACAAAGAAAAAUAAACAAAUAAAAAGAGUUAGUAAAAGGAAAAGAAAAGUCACCAAACUUGUGAUGAAGAUCACAAGUACUUUGGAAAGGUGAUAUCACUGUAAAGUGGCACCAUCCCCGGCAACGGCGCCAUUUGAUUCGUUCCCAAUUGGUGUCUCAGCUGAUUCAUGUCCUCUCAAUGGUCCCUGACAGUGGUACCAUUUGAUUCGUGUCCAGCUGGUGUCCCUUGAUUGUGGUCCUCAGAAGGGAGUAAUCAACAAAAUUUAUAACCUAUUACACCAUGUACUAGGAUAGCCUUAGCUAGCAUAGCAUAGUGGCUCUAGGGUCGUUCACUGGGAUGGGUUUUCACUCCACAAUUAAUAUUAAUUCAAAGCUGAAUUGGUGUCUUUUCAUUUCAAGGUUAGCUUUAAAAGAAAACAUAAAGAUGUUUGAAUGAAAAAGGUUUGGUUUUAAACUAACCAAAAAUAGUAACUGAUUUUACUUACAAAGAAAAGUGUUUCUUGGAGUUUAGAUCACUAGGCUCAGGUUCCUCAUACAAAAAGGAGAGUUUCGGUCACUUGUUUCUUUUCCUCGCAUUAGAGAAUUAACAUAUAGUUAAUUCUCUAACCGAUGUGGUACAAAUGUUUCCCCUUAAUGGGUUUAAACACUAAAUCCUUCUCACUGAUGCAUCUUGCAAUGGCUCAUGCCUCUUACCUAGCAUUUACCAUUCAAGGUGAUCUUUAACCUUGGAUUACCCGUCAAAAGCUUGCAAGAGAUAACUAAUGGAUGUCUCCUUAGAGUCUAAAAGCUUACCAAGUGUUGGCUAUUCUAGAAAAUCCUACCUUCAAACCACCUCCCAAAUGCUCGCAAGAGAUAAACUAGUGUAUCUCAAUGGAUGGAGACCACUUGCCUUAUCAAGUGUUGGCCCAGGUGAUUUAAAGGUGUUUUAAGUUAACUAAAAAGAUAAAAACCAUUAACGGGUCACACUAGCCGCUCAUCCUCUGAGAAAACAUCCUCAGAGUUUGUUUGGCUAGAAAGAAAACUAACGAGAAAACAAAAAUAUGAAGGAAAAACAUAGCAAAUGCUCUGUAAAAUAUAUAUCUUCCUCCCGUCGGAUUACAUGAUGAUAUGAGAACAAGCUCCCGACUCCUCUCUUAUAAAGAAAAUUACAACUAUAUAUAAGAGGUUAUUCACCCCCUUUGUUCUUGCUAAAAGACUAAGGAAUCCUAUGAUAGGUGGGUUACAAGGAGAGUUUGGGGAUUUAUACAUCAAAUAUCUAAAGCAAAAAAUCUCAAAAUGUCGGUCGUACAUAUCGGGAAGCUUCAAGAGAACACCGUGGCACUGUGUAAAAUGGUUGCGAAAUUUUCGCAGCAAAAGGACAACAUUUUCGCAGCCAAAGGCUGAUUUCGCAGCCGUGCACCAUUCUGCCUUCAACUUGGAGUGAUCUUCUUGCAAUGGCUAUAACUCCUUCAUUUCAACUCCGAAUUGCGUACCAUCUGAAGCAUUGGAUUGUUGACUUCCUAAGCUUCAAAACGAAAUAUAGCAUGCAUAAAUUGGACUUCAAGAAGUACUCCAAAAGUGGCUGACAUGAUUGUCAUCAAGAAUGCUUCAUGUUAGAUUUCUCUUUGCUUCCCCUUCUUGCAUUCCGGAUUUGCUUAUGACAAAGGACUUUAAAGCUUUGGUUCUUCAUGUUUCUGAGCUUUCCAUUGCUUUUCCAUGGAUUCCAAAGAAGUCUCCUCAAUCUUGGAUUGCUUUGGUGAUCAAAAAGCUAUCAAAACAUCAAAACUUAACACAAUUUGAUUAGAAUUGAUUGCAAGGGUUCUUAACAUGCCAAUUGAGUUAAAAGGUAAUAACUACUACUCAAAAGUGUUUAAAAGAGUUAAUUACAAGCUAUCAAAUAGCACUUUUUGAGUAGUAAUCACUUGGAGAUAGACUACAACGAGGCAUUUGAAAAACUUGUGCGCUUCAAUGACAACCUCGGUAAAUGGGUUGCGGAAAACAAUCCGGAACAUUGGGCAAUGUCAAAGUUUCUAAAAAAACAAUGGGAUAAAAUGACAAGUAACAUUGUAGAUUCCUUCAAUGCGUGGUUAAGAGAUGAGCGUCACAAAACAAUUUAUACGUUAUUGUUAAUGCACAUGGAUAAGCUUGUAGCCAUGUUGGACACCCAUAUGCGUGGUACAGAAAAGUGGAAGAGCAUGGUUGGACCGAAAACUGAAAAGAAGCUAAUGUCAAAUAUCAUGAGGUCUGGUCCGAUUAGUGUGUUGCCAUAUUUGGGGGGGGGGGGGGACGUUUAAGGUGUUUAUCGGGGAGGUUUAUUUGGUUGUCGAUAUCAAUCAACGUACGUGUACUUGCAUGACAUGGCAAAUGUCCGGCUUGCCGUGUUCACACGUAUGUGCUGUCAUCCGCACACUCAGACACGACGUGUAUGACUAUAUUGACCCAUGUUUUAAUGUCUCCAUCCAACAUUUGAUUUACUCUGGUCAGUUUCAACCAUUUCCAACACACAAUAUGCUGAAAGUUUGUGAGGAUGGGAGUCUGCAAGAUUGCGCCGAUAACUUAUUUUUUGCUCUCCAACCCCCUCAUGUCAGACAUCCUCCAGGAAGGCCCCGCCAAAGACGCAUUGAGUCACAGUUUACUCAUAAGAGAGCAAUUCAUUGCUCUCGAUGCAAUGGCAUAGGUCACAACCGCUCUAAAUGUAAUAAUCCGUUGCCAUGACAUGUGGCUUGUAUGUGCUUGUACGAUUCUCAUACUUUGUAUCAACCCAUACAUUCUAUUGUAGGGUAUAUGGUACGGUAUUGUUGUUUUUCAUUCAUAUGUAUUGGCCUGGUUAUAGCCACGAUGCACUAUCUUGUUAUUUUCAUGAUUUAUAGUUGCUUUGUUUAACCUACUUAAUUAAAAGUGCAAUUUGAAUGUGGUUUCUUUUAAGUUGUUAUUUAAUUCCAUCAAUGUGUCUACAUUAUCAAGCAUUUGUGGUUCUACCUACUAAAAAAUGUCUUUCUAUUUGUCUUAAAUGAGAUAUACUUGUUUCACACGUUGUAAGCAUUGCAGUUAUUAUCUUGUAAUUUAUAUGAUCUGUUGGCAGUAGCAUAGUACUUCACUCACAUGUUUGCACCCAAACUGUUAGCGCUUUCCUCAAAUGGUUUUUUUUUAUUUUUUUUAUUUAUUUUUACCUUAUACAUCUGAAUAUGGUAUAGCCUUACGAAAUUUAUCCAACUGAUUAAUGGUACGAUAGUGAAAUGACCUUUCCCUUUAUUAUUAGUCUCUCCAGCUCAUCGAUAACUACUAUAGUACCCUUUGGAAGUUACCGAUUAUUCUAAGGUUCAAACCUCCAACAAUAAAUUCAUUCUUCAAUGGCCACUGUGGAGGUAUUGCAUUAUUUCUUCGUUAUUAUUUUUCAUUACUUAUUUUGGAUACUUGAUAUUUUAACCUACUUAACACAAUUACUUGUUAUGGGUCUUACAUAUUCAUUAUCAGAUAAACAUCGAGUUGUAAAUUAUUCAUCCACAUUAUUUUGUUUGUUAGUUCAUUCAAUUGUAUUUCUUUUUGCACCACGUUUAUGUAUUCAUAUUAUCUUUUUUAUUUUUAUGUUGAUUACUAAAAUGCAUGUGUAAGAUACUAAUUAUGUCCUUCACUUUUAAUGCAGCCCACAAGAUUGUUCACACGUUGUUCAUCUUCGAGAUUCUUAAAACUAUGCAACAGGCUGCCAGUUGAUAAAUUAGAAGUUGUUCGAGACCUUCAGUUUGGAGGUCUUCUCAACUUAAAUUGUAAGGAGAUACGCCAUAAUAUAUGUCUAUGGUUGAUCGACCAUUUUAACGUUGGCUUCAGAUGCAUAGACAUAUCAUCCAACAAAAGCUAUGAUCUGACUGCUACAAAUGUUGGCCUUGUAUUUGGCCUCCCGAAAAGUGGACGGAUUUUACAAAUUGCAUCAACCCCAUCUGAGCAUCCAUUCGGUACACUCAACACUUGUGAGGAGAGACUCCUCAACUUACCUGUCGGGGAGGAGUUCCGUAGAUGCUUCCUUUACUACGCAUGUACGACGAUAUUGGCGCCAAUGUCAAGGAUAGAUGGAUGCCGAAACUUAUGGCAUACCAUCCAUGAAGAUGGUUUUCGAAACGAUGUCAACUGGGGCCAAUUUGUUGUUGACCAGCUGGUUGAGGGUAUUAGACGAUUUAAACAACGGAAGAGUGUUUGGGUACAUGGUUGCAUCCUCUUCCUCCAGGUAUUGCCCUUCUUUUACAUUGAUAACUUGGUCACUUUUACAUUGUUCACAUCACUACCAUCAAGUAACGAAUCCACAUAUGUUUAUUUCCAUUGUGCAGUUCCACUACGUAAUUAAAUUCAAGAUUCCUUCAGUUCAUGUUCCCGUGACAGUGUCCCUUCUCUCUGCAUGGUCAGAUGAGUUGAUAAAUGAGCGCUUAGCUGCUAAGAUAAGUCAAUUUGGUAGUUUCGGACAUGGCAAGGUAGCCAUUUACUCUACAUUCAUUUUGUUAUGAAAUUUGAUGACAUCGAAAUUGAAUACCUUGAAGGUUUAUACGUUCUUAAUUUGCGUCAUGAAAUCAAUUGUAGGGGUUUGAUAAUUCGUCACCGCCUCGUACACAUGUGGAGUCUGAUAGUGGCCCAACAAGUAGUCAUGUACGGAUAUUGUUUGUUACUUUAUGAAUUAACUCUGUCUGAAUGCCAUUACAAUUAGGUUUACUGACUCAAUUGUUUUAAAUCAUUGGUUAUAAAUAUUUUCUUCAAUAUUUUUAUAGUAAUUUAUGUGCAAGCUAUUCAUUAACAUGUCACAGGAACUACUUGAACAAUACUAUGGAGCAGAACAUGCAAUAAAUCAAUAUCAAAAUGGCAUUCAGCACCAGCUAGGCGUCUUGCAUGGUCUAAUGCAUACAUUGGAUGGCCGAAAAGAACGAAGUCGACCUUCGCUUGCCGCUGGUGACUUAAGCUAUGCAGCCCAUGAAUUUUCGGAGCCCGAACCGCAUUCAGACUAUGGCGGAGAUGACAUGGCAUCCCAUGGCACUACAGACGUACCUGACACACCAAUUCGGCAUCCAUCAGUUAUUGGUAACAGUAUGUGGGACAUUCAUUACUGCAUGAAUGUGUACAUAAUAACUCAUAUUAUAUUACUCUACAUUACGAAUUAAUUGUUGUUACUCCAAACUAAUAGCCGAUGAAAAAGUAGUCAUCCUUGAACAGUUGCCUUUGUGUUCUAUGGUUGUGGUUCCAUCUUAUAAGAGUGGGAGGCGACGAAGAGUGCAUCGGUUGGCUCCCAAUCUAUUGUCGCCAUUCAUAGCACAACCACAAACCCGUCAGUCUACCAUCAAGAUGGACCUCAAACAAGCAGCUGCAAUUGUUUUUUAUGGGGCCUUGGACCCGAGGUUUGACUUAGCAUAUAAUACUCCACUUUCAAAUGUAUUCACCUCCACAUAUUUGGUAUUACCCUAACGUUGAUGGUUUUUUUGACAGUGAGGAACUUGUUUCAAUGCAUGACACGAGUUUAAGCAGAGGCAACCUCGCCUCUUUCCAAGGAGACAGCUAGAUUGGCAAUCAUGUUAAUAUAUCAAUUUCUCCAUUACUUUGCAAUAUUUUUAAUUUAAUAUUCAUGUACCAUCUUGUCAUUAGUGGCUCUGAAUAUUGCUUACAUAUUAAUCACUUCUUGUCUUAGGUCGUGGAUACGUAUUGUAGAAUGUUGCAAUUCAACGAUGUAUCAAGGACCAAACUCUUUCUUUCGCCAUACAUAGCUGUAAUGGAGGGCUUUGAUGGACACUACAAUUCAAUGUUUUGUUGUUAUAACAUGUCAACAAGUUUCCUUACCCUUUAAAGCUUAAACUUUUUUCAUAUCAUAUGCAGAAAAUGGUCAUGCAUUCCAACGCCAAACAUUUGACGCACGAUGCAGUAAUUGGCCGUUUUGAGCCAUAUUUGUAUCCCUUAGAUGUUUCCUAUCAGAAUGUUAAUGAGGUUAGCUUAAAUGCAUUGUUCGAGGUUUCUACACUUGUCAUCUCCUUCACCCAAUAUAUGUUGUAAUCCAUUCUGAGUGGCAUCAUGCAGGUCUACUUACCGGUUCUUCUCAAAAACCAUUGGACGCUUUAUGUUUAUGACUUGCAUAACAAACGAAUCCAGCUCUUGGAUUCUCGACUAGGAAGGAGAAGGAGUUGUAUGAGUGGGAUACAACAAAAUUUGGUAAAGUAGUUAUUAGUUCCAUAAUAUUUUUUGCUUCCAUUGUACCUAAGAUGGGAAGUUUUAAUGCAUCUACAUUCUUUAUUUAAGGCCAAGGUUGUUCUAUGGCUUGUUGCCUACAAGAAACAAAUGGUGGAUGUAGACUUGAAGAUGUUCCGUUUUGUCAUGCCAGAUGUAUCAAGUCAACCAAAUGAGUUAGUGUUUACUUUGCAGUCUGUGACUAGAUUUAAAUUUUAUUGCAAGUCAAUUUAUGUAUAUUAUCGUUGCCAUGUCACGCCUAAUAAGUAAUUACCCGUUACGUUGUGUUUUAGCAAUGACUGCGGAGUAUUUGUUAUGAAAUUCAUGGACAAUUGGUUAAAUGGAGGACUCUCCAAAUCCAUCGAUGUGGUAUGUCCGUACACAAUUUUAAUAUACCAUGAUUAUAUCAAAGUUGCAUUCCAUGGCCAAAAUAUUUACCAUUUCCUAAUAUGCCUUUUAAACAUUAAUGAAUGCAGGGCAAGAUUAAGAAGUAUAGAUUGAAGAUAUUGGGGAGAUUGUUGCUUUCAUCACAUAAUGCACAUCGACAUCGCUUUCUCGUGGAUUGAGGGACACUAUUCAAUUGGCUGUGCCAAGGAUAUUUUCAAUUGAUUGUACAUUAUUUUGUGAAACCUAACUAUUUUCAAUGUAUUGCAUAUAGAAGUUAGUGAUGAAUGCAUAGCUAAGGUUAACAACAGUACGAUUCAUGUUUAAACCAAACAAGUUAAGCGUUGAAAAGCCUUUGGCUUCAAAAGUAUUCACAAAUGAAAUUGGGAUCGCUACUUCAAAUGUAUACAUUAUACAAAAUUGCGUCGGAAUAAGAGUCGUACUUUAAUUGGUCAUUGCAUGGAUCACACAUUGCUACUUCAGUUUACAUUUUUUACUUAAAUCACAUCUUAUUUCGCACACAUUUUUAUGGUAUAGGGAUCGUCGUCGGAGAUCGACCGGUUCUCGACCUAAUGCCCUUUUUAAACUUUAAGACCAAGAUCAGUCCCUAUCUACAAUAGAAAAGAAAAGAAAAGAAAAGGAAAAAAAAAACCAGGAUGUAAAGGGUCAUCUUAACUUAGGCUUCUUUUUGUCUUUUUUUUUUUUUUUUUGGUAGUCAGUACAAAUUGAAUCUUUUUCUCCUAUCAAAAACUUAAAAGAAUAUACUCAAGGGAGCUAAAAGAGAAAUAAAAAAAAAUGAAAAUAUUAUCUAGGGCCGAGAACAGUUUUCUCUUAUUUAAAAAUAGGAAAACACGUGUAAUGAUUAAAAACUGUUUUUUAUAAGUGCUUUUAGACAACAUCUUUUUUUAUGACUGUUUAAAAAAAUAAUUAUACAGAAUAUAUAAAAUGAUUAAAAAUAAAAUAUUAGAUAUAAAAACUAUUUUUAAAACAUAUUUAAAAAUAUUAAAAAUAAAUUUAAAAUAUUUUAAAAUUUCAAAUAAACUUUUAUUUUAUGAAAUAUUAGAUAAUAAUUCAAAAAGACUUUUAUUAAAAACUAUUUUCAAAAACUUUUACCAAAUAUACCCCUAAUUUCCAUUUUCAUAAAAUUGAAGAAUAAAGCUUAUUCUCAUCAAAAUUUGGAUUUACAUCAUGGGUUAUCUUUCAUUUUAUUUUUAUUUUUUUAUUUUUUUAUUCUUGUUUGCAUGAGACAAACACACUCCAUAUGGGUGUUUAUAUUCUAUGGUGAAAAAAGAGAGGAGAUAAAGGUGGGGUCAGUGUCUACCCUCAAAGUUGAAUAUCGAAUGUUCAAACAUUUCAGCUAUGCCUAGACCUUUUUGACUAAUAGUCCCUCUUGUUGGUUUGAUCUUCUUUCUCAAGACCCAUGGUAUCUUAAGCAGGAGUUGAUGGACUACUUCUCUUGAAAUUGAAUUUGUAAUACAUAUCUUAACUUCCCAGGUCGGCCAGUCGUUUUUGUGAUAGGCCUCACCAAGGAAGGAGUAUUAAUUAAUUAAUUAAAAAGAUAUUGGCAAGAUUUUCAACCGUUGGUAACACUUUCUUUCUCAAGACCCAUGGUAUCUUAAGCAGGAGUUGAUGGACUACUUCUCUUGAAAUUGAAUUUGUAAUACAUAUCUUAACUUCCCAGGUCGGCCAGUCGUUUUUGUGAUAGGCCUCACCAAGGAAGGAGUAUUAAUUAAUUAAUUAAAAAGAUAUUGGCAAGAUUUUCAACCGUCGGUAACACACUUUUUAAAAAAGAUCUUUUAAAAGGGCUUAUAAAAAAAUUGAGCUCAAGUCAUCAUUAGGAAGUCCUUAUUAUUAUUGGUCAAGGCUUCAACGAUUCAAGUCGAUAGAGCUUUUCAAACAUCAAAAGUAAUAUUUAAUGGUUAAAUAUAAUUUUUAAGAAUGUUCAAAUGAAAUUCUGAAUCAUGGAUCUUAUACUUCUAAAUGUAAUUUAUCGGGUUUUAAAGAAGUUUAGAAACCUAUGCUUCCUCUAUGAGGUGGGAGAAGCUUGUUUUUAUUUGAUUAAAAAUUUUUAAAAUAUCAUAAUUAUCUUUGUAUUUAACAAAAAUAUUUUAAAGAUAGUCUUUUAAAAGUAUAAAAUUUAAUCACGGCAAAGUACUAAUUAUUUGUAUUUCUACUUAUUUUAUUAUUAAAAAUUAAAUUUUAUCAGAGAUAAAAACGAGCUUAGAAGUCUAAAAUCAAAAUAUUAUUAAUAUGGUUUGAUAUGGCAUUAUGGUAAGUUUAUUCAAAGCUAUAUUGAUUCCGAAAUCAAAUGAUAAUUUAACAUAUUAUAUUCAUUGAAUUCAAAGUUAGAUGAUAACUAUCCAUAUGUUGUAUUUUAAAUUUUUUAUUAUCCGCUCAAUUAUUUUAUUUGUCACGGACCAAAAAUUAUUAACAUGAUGAAAACAUUAAGACAUGUCUCAUUGUCUUAUUUGUAACACUAAGUUUAACCUAACAAUAGUGUUUGACAUAUAUGAUUCUUGUUUGAUAAUUUUAAUCAAACUUUGUUAAACAAUGAAUAAAAUUUAUUUCCUAUCCCAUGAUAACAUGGGGUUUUGUCCUUUAUAUCACAUGGUCCUCGACCAAUUAAUUGGAAGCGAGGCCAUGUGAUUGAUUAGGGUUCAUUAAUCCGUAAGUAAGUUGAUUACUAAUCCUAAAGAAGGGAAACCCAUUUUUUUUAUGAUAUUGAUAAGAAGUUUUUUUUUUUUGAAUAAAUAAUUUUAAUUUAAAUAUGAAAAUUGUCUUUUAAGAAGAUAAUUUCAAAAUUCUAAUGAAAUUGUUUCUAUUUUUUUUUUUUAACCUUUAACGGAUUGCAAAUUUAAAAAAAAAAAUUGAAUUAUGAUAUUUUAAAAAUUAUUUUUAUUUUUAAAUUAGUGUAUAUUUUUUUAAAUGCUUGAAUUCCGCAUGUUUUACAGAGAGAAGAUGCCAUCGUCUUUAUUCUUCAGCACAGCAAUGUGAAUUCUACUUGUUCUAGAGAGAGAAGCUGUUGUUCUUCACUUUUUUCCACAGAGAAGCUCACGUCCUCUUACUUUAGAGGGAAAGCAAAAUCUGAGAUGGAUGCAGCUACACUCAAGAACCUAAAAUACCUCAACCGAAAGCCCUAUAAAAACCAGUCUCUCCGUCCGCUUGAACUCCACCACCAAUCAUGUCUUAUAGGAAGAUUUUAUGGGCUGCGAUUAUUAUAAUCUAACAUCUAUUUCUUUUUUUUUAUUUUACCAUCCAUAAAAUGAAGUUAGAAAAGAGUGCAUAAAAACAAUAAUAUUUUUUCUUUUUGACAAUCAAAUCUCCCAAAGAAAAAAGUGCAUAAAAAUAAUAAUAUUUUUUCUUUUUGACAGCCAAAUCUCAUAUUCUAACCAAUUUGAAACAUCUCAUAUUCUAACCAAUUUGAAACAUGAAGUUCCCAACUUUUAUCCUAUUGGACCUUUUCCCAAAAAAAAGAUGGUACGUAUUCACUUGUACGUCACUCGCCAACUCACUAACAAACUAUUUAUGAGGAAUUGAAAUUGUUUCCUUUUAUUCUUCACAAUCAAUUAAAUGAAAUUUAAAAAGAAAAUAAUUAAAGUUAAUUUAUUUUAUUAUCUUGUUUUUCUCACAGAUUUUUACGUAGAUGCUUAUUAAAAUUAAUUUAAUUAAAGCUAAAUCGUAAAAAUAAUAAUAUGUAAUACAUUCCUACAACAGCACAAAAGAUCCGGAAUAUCGCCCACGUUUGUUUUCUUCAGUGCUUGUACUCUAGUUUGAAUAUGUCGAUUCUAUUUCAAAUAGUCCACCAAGACUGCUAUGGGACCAGAAUGACAGAUUUCGGUACCACGACGUGGUACGAGAGAGAUCACGGUGACAGUUGACCAUGAACUGAUGUUUCUUCCAUCCAACUCCACACACUCUCUAUAUAAUCCGCCUAGGCCAGAAGAUGCCAGCCAUCAAACUCUUCAUUCCUCUAUUUGUUUCUGUCUUUUAUUCUUUUUCUUCUGGGGAGAUGAAGCUGUUUGGCGUGGAGAUGAUACCGCAUGAAAAAGGCAAGACAACAAAGAAGAGGAAGUCCAUAAGGCUAUUUGGAAAGGAUUUGGUGCCUCAGAGGAGAAAGAGCAGGAUAAAGAAAACCGGAAGCUCAUCAACUGCCUCCCCUCCAGAUUCGCUGCCUUUUGCAUUACUACAGACUGCUCAAGGCAUGGGGGGGGNNNNNNNNNNNNNNNNNNNNNNNNNNNNNNNNNNNNNNNNNNNNNNNNNNNNNNNNNNNNNNNNNNNNNNNNNNNNNNNNNNNNNNNNNNNNNNNNNNNNGGGGGGGGGGGCGUGAUUUUGUUUUCCUGACAAGAAAGAUAUUAGAAAGAUCCGACGUAGAUGUGCAUCUCAACCGCCUUUUCUUACCCAAGACUCUGGUGCUGUUAGGGGUGCUGUCGCCUGAGGAGAGGAGAGAGGUGGGAGGAGGAGGGGGUGUUGAAGUUGGGGUGGUUGAUAUGAGGGUGAAAGAUACAGUAUGAUGUUGAAGAAGUGGCCGAGUUUGGAUCAAAUUAUCUUUAAUCGUGGGUGAAGAAAGCUCGUCGAAAACAAUGGGUUGAGGGCAGAACUCGACACUAUCGAACUAUGGACUUUUCGGGCGGAUUUGAAGCUGUGUUUUGCUUUGAAUGUCAAGAGCGAGGGAGACCACCAUUAAUCAUUGAUCAUCUUUGAAGAUGAAGCUAAUAAUGAUGUUAAGUGCAGUUGUUUUAGUUACCUUGAUAUGGAGUUUUAAUUAUUGUUUUCUGUUAUUGUCGAGUCUCCUGUAGUUUGUUUUUUGCAUCUUUGUAGCAGUUGUGUUCGUGUUUGUUUUUGAAUUAUUGUUCAAUCGAUUUCAUGUGGCAUUUGAAUUCUUGUUUUUGUUCGUCUUUUUUUGUUUUUUUUUUAUUUUUUUUAUUUUGAUGUAGUUUGGAUGGUAUAAGAAAAAACGUCAAUAUAAACAUAUGACAACCUUAGCUUGAAUAAUCAAAUGCUAAUAUCAAUUUAUUUGAUCGGGAUUUAAUAUAUGAACUAUAUAUAUAUAUUUUUUAUUAUUUGUCAAGGCUCUCUAAUAUAUACAAGGGAAGACUUAUGCUUUGCCUAUUAAAUUCCCUAAAAAACCUGGAAAUCACACUACCCUUCAAACCCUUGUUCACUAAAAACCCAUCUUGACUUAAAUCGCCAAGUUAAACCAAUCCAACCUCAAGGUUCUUCGGUUUGUUCUUCAAUUUAUCCAAAUUUGCAGCACAAGAAAGCCAUGGAAGCAAGAUCUAACCUUGCUAGGGUUCUGCAUAGGAGCUGUUUCGAGGAUGACGAUGAUAAGCUUCAGUGGCUGAGUUGGAAUUUUUGUGGGUUAGAAGGUUUUAAUAUCAGCGUAUUGUUGUAUAAAUUUAGGGGGCCUCCAGAUUGGGAAUAGUGAAUAGUAGAACUCCUUCAUCUUUUGACCAUGGAAAAUAAUCUCUCUCCCUCUCUCUUCUUCUUCUUCUUGAAAUGAACUCCUUAACUCAGAAACAAACUAACACAAUGAUCUAAUUUCUUGGGAUAUUCAAACAGCCCAAAGAUGAAUUUGUCAUCCACAGCUAGCCUUUGAUGAUGGCAUGCUGAUAAGGAAAAUAAUGCUCCAUAGCUGUUAUCAAACACUGAUAAUAUACCCAUAUUACAAUGAAAGAUACAGAAGCUUGUGGCAUUCAUACAUGCUCACUUGCGCUGGCUGUUCUUGUCCCCGCCUGUUCUGGGACACAAAAGAACACGGCAGAAAAUCUGGUGGCCACCUAAAGCGAAUGCAAAGAGGCUAGUAAAAGGAGGGCCAAGGAAACCACGGGGCUAUGGAAGUGGAAGAAAGGAAACUUUUUUUAUUGAUAUCAAGGUGAGUUUGACAGGCUCACUGUUAGUAGCCAGUAAUACUAGACUAUAAUAGGUGGCUAUCACUAUCAGUUGGGCAUCCCAGCCUUUUUUUUUUCUUUUCUUUUUUUUAAUCACUAUCGAAAAUAGUAAGAGAAGAAAAAUAAGAGGGAGAGAAUCAAAAGAAGAAAAUUAGAGAGAGAACCAAAAGAAAAAGAAAAGAUCGUGCGUGUUGCUUGGGCUGACAUCUCCUGGAUGUCAAUAAUGAUUUAAAAAAAGAAAAGAAAAAAAGUCUAGGUAACAUCUUUGAGAGAAUUCACAUCCUCUUGUUGAGCAAGAGGAUGUCCCCCCAGUGUUCUGGGAUGAAAAAGGACCAAACAAAAAGCAAGAAUUUAGAGAGAAUGAAAAGUUUUUUGGCACGAGGCGUUGAGGCCAGACCAUAAAGCUUUGAUUAGAUAGUGUCAAGCGCGCUGACAGCGGCGUUACGUAUGCCGCAUCGGUUUUAUUUUUUUAUUUUUUUAUUAUUAUGAUAUUCGUUGAAGGCUUUUAGAGAUAUGAUGAUGUUGUUCGCUUGCUUGUUAGUUAGUAGGGGAAUGCCAUACCGGUCUGUCCUUUUGGGAAAAACUAGAAUAGGACAAAAGGUAUCCCCUAUUCUUCUGGGAUGAGAAAGGACCAAGCAAAAAGCAAGAAUUUAGAGAGAAUGAAAAGUUUUUUAGCACGAGGCGUUGACGCCGGCCGACAAACAGUGACUGUGUGGUGGGCCCGGGAGCUGGAUUCUCUUGUCUCGUGCUUUCUAUUAAUUCACAAUUUGCAUCCAUACUUCACAAUUGUGUGCAGUGUAGCUCAUGUGCUUAUUCUCUCGUCUCUUGCUUUCUAUCGAUUCCUUGUUCUCUCUGGUAAUUAAGAUGAGGACCUUCUAGCAACUUGGUACUAUUUUCAAUUUUAUACUACUUUGAUAUUAAAAAUAUGGUUUUUAAAAAUAUUUAAUAAAAUAUAUUAAUUUUUAACUAUUUUCAAAUAUAAAACAUUUUUUUAUGAUAUUAAUAAGAAGUUUUUUUUUGAAUAAAUAAUUUUAAUUUAAAUAUGAAAAUUGUCUUUUAAGAAGAUGAUUUCAAAAUCGUAACUAAUUUUUUUUAACCUUUAACGGAUUGCAAAUUUAAAAAUAUUUUUGAAUUAUGAUAUUUUAAAAAUUAUUAUUAUUUUUAAAUUAGUGUAUAUUUUUUGAGCUUGAAUUCCGCAUGUUUUACAGAGAGAAUAUGACAUCGUCUUUAUUUUCCAGCACAACAAUGUGAAUUCUACUUGUUCUAGAAGAGAGAAGCUGUUGUUUUUCACUUUUUUAGAUUAUUUUAGUAUCUAUUGAUCUCUUAAUUAAUUGUCACGUUUGUUUCACCUUAUUUAAUAGAAACUCGGUGCUUUCGGUAUUUUUUACCGUAUCUUCUUAAUAAGUAACUUGACUCUUGAGUCCAUACUCGAUUUUUCACAGACAUAUUUUUUUUCUUUAAUAUUUUUAUUUCUUAUUUUGUAUUUCUCUUAAAAAAUAAAAUAAAAGUAAGUGACAAUUUUAAGUCUUUUUCAAAAAAUCAUAUUUUUCACAAAAUAAAUAAAAAAGAGAAUUUGUCAUCGGGUCAGGAAUGCAUCGAGCAAAAUGCAGGAUCCACAAUUGGGUUUUGAAAUGUCUAUUAUUUUGGGAUUAACAGCUCAUAAUGUAUUUUCCCAUAAAUUUUUAAUUUUAUAAAAAAAUAAAAAUAUGGGCCUUAUUAUCUUCAACAAUUCUAAAACAGAAAUCAAUAACAAAUUUUUUUUAAAAGAGCUAAAAGUAUUUUCUUUUCCAUAUUAUAUUAAAAAAAUAUAAAGAGAAAAUGAUUGAUGUGUAUACUUUAUACUCUUUUUUUUUAUAACUAAUAUCAUGUAUCCAUUCAAGUCUCUCUUACUUUUAUUUUUUUGGUAAAUAUAUUUAUCUAAAAUUCUUUAAUUUUGCUUUACAUUUUUUUUUUUAUGUAAUUUAAUACGUGACCCCAUCGUCAAAAAUUAAAGCAAAAGAUAUUCAAAAUAUUUUAACAUAAUUAUAUAAUCUAGGAAUCUUUUAAGAGGUAGGAAGUCGGCAUUGACGUGCACUACGGGAGAUAAGGUCGCAUUCAUUCCCGACACACAUGAUGCAUAACGACGUAUACCUUUCUGCAGGCGUUUUCCUGACAGAACAAUCAUAAGGCUAACAUAAAAUCUCGUGUUUUCCUGUACACCUUUUGUCGCAUUCAUUCCCUACGUGAAAGUACUAUUAUUCCUAUCAAGCAAACAUCUCUUUCUACUAGUUUUAAAAAUUAUAAUUAUAUGCUUUAAAAUAAUAAAAAAAAUCUAUAUAUGGAAAGUUAAAAAUAUAUUAUUAUUAAAUAAAGAUAAAUUUAUCAUAAUAUAAAUAAAUUAAUAUCUUAAAAAUAUAAUAAAUUAAAUAUUUUAAAUUAAUAAAUUAUAUAAUUUUAUAUCUUAUUUAUAUAUCAUAUAAUUUUAUUAUUUUAAGAUUAUUGAUUUAAUGACUUUUAUUGUUAAAAUAUAUAUUUUUAAUUUUAAUAAUAAUUUUUAAUUUAAUAUAUUUAUUAAAAUGUCAUGGUUUUGACACUAUUUCCAAAUUUAUACUACUUUGAUAUUAAAAAUAUGGUUUUUAAAAAAUAUUUAAUAAAAUAUAUCAAUUUUUAACUAUUUUCAAAUAUAAAACAUUUUUUUAUGAUAUUAAUAAGAAGGUUUUUUUUUUGAAUAAAUAAUUUUAAUUUAAAUAUGAAAAUUGUCUUUUAAGAAAUAAUUUCAAAAUUCUAAUGAAAUUGUUUCUAAUUUUUUUUUUAACCUUUAACGGAUUGCAAAUUUUUAAAAAAAAUUUGAAUUAUGAUAUUUUAAAAAUUAUUUUUAUUUUAAAAUUAGUGUAUAUUUUUUGAAAUGCUUGAAUUCCGCAUGUUUUACAGAGAGAAGAUGCCAUCGUCUUUAUUCUUCAGCACAGCAAUGUGAAUUCUACUUGUUCUAGAGAGAGAAGCUGCUGUUCUUCACUUUUUUCCACAGAGAAGCUCACGUCCUCUAAAAUCUGAGAUGGAUGCAGCUCCACUCAAGACAAAAGUUAAUAACCUGUGCUUGUGUUGAAGUGGUGGACCCGAGAGGGAACAGGAAUGAGAUGAAGUUGAGGUUCUGGAAUGGCAAGAAUGGCAAGCCUGUGUUUGUGUUGAAUUCGGGCUGGCUCCAGCUUGUGAGGGAUAAUAACCUGGAAGCGGGGGUCGAUUGUAUGCUGUGGAGUUUUAGAAUGGGUUCGAAGCUGUGCUUUGCUUUGGAUGUCGAGAGACAAAACAAUCCGUGAGAUUAAUUUUGAAGAAUCCAGCUAUAAUGGUACAAGACUAUCUCCGUCAUAUGGCUUUCGGUUUGCUUAAUUUGCUUUGUAUUUUGAUGUGGACCUGUUGGGUUUUUUUUCUUCGGUUUCCUUUGAAAUAGGUAACGCGUGUGUGAUCGGCCUUAUCUAUCUUAUUUGUUCUAUUUUCUUCCAUUAAUUUCAUGUUUUAUGUUUUGUUUGUUUUUUUUAAAUUAAAAUGUAUGGGGGUACUCUUCUUCUGUCUCACCGAAUCUUUUAUUUUCUCCUCACAUGACUUCGCUUCACCUCACCCUUUUUUCUUAUUGAUUGAAGAUUGGACCAGGAUAUCAUGAUUCCCUGUACGGUGGAGACCAGGAUAUCACGAUUCUUUACAUCGAUAGAUUUGCCUCACCUCAGUACCUUACACAUUAUUUUAUUUUUUUGACAAAUAAAUAAAAAAUUAUCUACAUAAAAUCAUAUGGACCAAUGGGAGAUGAUUAAUCCACCCUCUGCCUUAUUAAUUUUAAUUUUAAUAGAAAAAAAUGUAAAUCCUAAAACAUCAAAUCUAAAAACUAUUAUAUUUCUAUAAAAUCUAUUAGAAAGAAGUCUAAAGAAGACAGGAUUAAAAAUUAUAUAAUUAUGUUAAAAUAUUUUGAAUAUCUUUUGCUUUAAUCUUUUAUGUACCAUGAGUUUACAGAUUAAAUUACAUAAAAAAAAUGUAAAACAAAUUAAAGUGGUCAGUAAUACUAGGCUACUAUCAGUUGGGCAUCCCAGCGUUUUUUUUUUUUUUUGUAUUUUUUUUUUGUUUUUGUAAAUCAAUAGCGGAAAUCUUAAGAGAAGAAAAAUAAGAGGUCAAUAAUGAUUUUUUUUUUUAAAAAAAAGUCUAGGUAACAUUUUCAAAUUCAGAGUUUUUGAUCAAAGUAAUCUAAUAAUUUUAAAAAUAUCUAGAAAUAUCUACCAAAGUAGUGCAAUCCUGUACUAUUAAGUUUCACUUCAUUAAUUUUUAUUUUAUUUUUCUUUUUAAAAUAACAAUUGAUUACUCUGGUUUUAAUUUUAAAUUUAAAACCACAAUCACCAAUUAUAAUUUAAAAAAAGUUGAAGUGGCAUAUUCAAAUUCAGAGUUUUUGAUCAAAGUAAUCUAAUUUUUUAAAAAUAUUCUAAAAAUAUUUAUCAAAGUAGUACAUUCCUAUAUCAUUAAAUUUCACUUUUUCAUUUUGUUAUUUUAAAAUCAUAGUUAGUAAUUGCAUCAAUGAUAAUUUUUCACAUUAAAAAAAAAAGUCAUAUGAAUGAUUACGUGACGGUAAAGACUAGAUUAAUAAAUAUUUUAGACAAAGAGUUAUUUUCAUUGCUUUUUUUUUCUUUAAAAACACUAUUUUGGCCCAAAAAAAGAGUAUCUUGUAAAAGUUGCUUGGUAACUCCCCAAGUUAUAUGUGAGGACAAAGAUUCAGAUAUUUACAAUGAAAGAAAAGUAUCCUCACAUUUUUUAAAAUUUUUUUACAUAAAAUAUGAAAUUAAUAGGAGAAAAUAGCACCAACAAUGGUCCAACGAAUUACAAUUAAUGUUAGGCUUGAUUCCACUCCACUAAAAAAAGGACAAACAACCAACUUUUUGUAUCAGAAAAUCAUCCUAUUCCACUCCCCUACAUAAUGUUUUCUAAACUUUUCUUAUCUAAGCAAGAGGGAAGGAAAAGACAAAAAGAAAAAGAACAAAAAAAGGGGGACAAACAACCAACCUUUUUUAUCAGAUCAAAAUCAUCCUAUUCCACUCCCCUACGUAAUGUUUUCCAAACUUUUCUUAUCUAAGUAAGGAGGAAGGAAAAGAGAAAAAGAAAAAGAAAAAGAAAAAGAAAAAGAAAAAGAAAAAAACAAAAGGGGGCCCCGGGACAAACAACCAGCCGUUUUUUAUCAGAACCAUCGUACUGCAUCAUCCAAAGUCCUACCAUCUUCAUCAUUAUUCUCACACGUUUCCAAGGAAGAGUAUCCCCACGUUUUAUUUAAAGAAAAAAAUGCAUAAAACAUAAAUAUAUCAGGGGCUCGAUCGAUUUCUGUCAAACUUUCAGCGUUCUCAAGCGUGCAUGCCGACAGAUGAAAGACCCUAGACGCCAAGUGAAGUCAUCCAAGAAAGGUUUGCUGGCAUCAAUCAACGUUACUCUUAUCUAAUAUGUUUGACUUUUUCAACGACAACUCUAAGGCCUCCAAACCAUACCAUUAUAAGGUACAGAAGAGAUUCUUGAUUGAAAGGGAUGGUAGUACUUCCUUGGACUUAAGAUCGUGUGUGCCACAUGCUAGAUAAGUUAUAGAAAGAUGAGUCACAUCCUCAAAGAUGGAAGAUGUGAUCUGUCUUGAUGUUGACAUCCCAUCUUUAUAAGUUAUAGAAAGAUGGGAUGUGUCCCAGAAUAUCUUUAAAUAGUAGAUUCUAUGUUACAUGUAUUUUUAUCUCUUAACUAAACAAUUUAUAGUUUGUCAUGACGUGCAAUCACCCAUAAUCAGUGCCACUGAAUGCCUGAUCCCACUCCCUCCUUCCAUGCUCUUGUAAUCUCUAUAUAUCACACAUGAGUGACAGGAAAAUAUAUAAGUUCAAUUCCUCAUAAAAAAAAAAAAGCCGUACUUGUCAGUAGUACCCUUCUUUCUUUUUUGGGAAAAGGUAGAAUAGGAUAAAAGUUUGCACCCCGUCUGUUCCGGGAUGAAAAAGGCACCACAAAAAUAUCUGAGCGCCUACAACCGAGAAACAUUGGCUGGUGUUGUGGGCCUGGGAGCUGGGGCCCAAAAAGGACCUCACGUGGCUGCAAUAAACUGAUCGGAACAAUCUUGCCCUCAGACAUUGUCCGUUUGAGGCCCAAGGGCCUCAAGAUUUUAAAAUUUCAUGUAAUUUAUCCAAAAAAAAAAUUGGGUUUGAUUUCUAUAUGUUUUCUGUCUUUUAUUAUCAAUAACAAGAAUGAGAUGUCUUAAAAUAACAUUUUUAGUUAUUUUUUAUUAUUAUUUUAAAAAGUAAUUACAUAUGUCAUUUUCAAUUAUCUUUUUAGAAUUAUUUAAAGGCCAAACCUUUAAAUUUUAUCUUUUGAUCCAAAAUUUGAAUAACAUAUUUAUUCGAAUCUGUCAAGUUCAGUCGAUGAAUCCACCCUCAGUGGGAUUUUCUCAAUCCAAAGUGGACUUUUGAGUCAAAUCGCCAAUAAUGUAAGGAGAAACGAUUUAUGAGAAAAUCAUGUAGUUUCCUUUUAGACUUAUAUUGGCACGUGCCAUUUUUGUGAAUUAGGGCAUUUCCUCCGCAUAAUCAUAAUUAGUUAAUACCUCAUAUACUGCUUUCCCUUCUCAAUGGAAAUAAAAGAUAGAAUAAAAAUAUGAAUACAUCAAUAAGAUAAGAAUUGCGACUACCCAAGGCUUGGUUUAGCGAAAGAUGGGAUUCGCUACUGAUUAAUCUCCCUACGCUAUUAUUUUAUUGAGAAUGUCUUCCUUUGGAUUCAUAAAUUGAACUUGAUAGGUUCGGACAAAUGUGUUAUUCAAAUUUUGGGUCAAAAAUAAAAUUUUAAGGUUUGACGUUUUAUAUUUAGGUAAAAUAUUGAAAAAUAAAACCUAAAUGAAUAGAUCAUGCUAAAGUAUUUGAAAUGCAUUAAGACUUCACACUUCCAAAAAUAAGUAGGUCUUAGAUUUUAAUAACAAUAGGAAAUAUUUUUAUUGUGUAAUAAUUAAAACAUUGACAGGGCUUUAAGAAGUCAUUGUUAUUUGUAGAGUUAUGUGAGGAAUUCAAUAUAAAUAUUUAUUAAAAUGUCACGAUUUUGAGACCAUUUUCAAAUUUAUACUACUUUGAUAUUAAAAAUAUGGUUUUUAAAAAUAUUUAAUAAAAUAUAUCAACUUUUAACUAUUUUCAAAUAUAAAAACAUUUUUUAUGAUAUUAAUAAGAAGUUUUUUUUUAAUAAAUAAUUUUAAUUUAAACAGGAAAAUUGUCCUUUGAGAAGAUAAUUUCAAAAUUCUAAUGAAAUUGUUUCUAUUUUUUUUAACCUUUAACGGAUUGCAAAUUUAAAAAUAUUUUUUAAUUAUGAUAUUUUAAAAAUUAUUAUUAUUUUUAAGUUAGUGUAUGAAAUCCUUGAAUUCCGCAUGUUUUACAGAGAGAAGAUGCCAUCGUCUUUAUUCUUCAGCACAGCAGUGUGAAUUCCACUUGUUCUAGAGAGAGAAGCUGCUGUUCUUCACUUUUUUCCACAAAGAAGCUCACGUCCUCUUGCUUUAGAGGGAAUGCAAAAUCUGAGAUGGAUGCAGCUACUCUCUUUGAAAAACUCUACGGAUUCCUCUUACAGAUCCAUGCGAAUUUCAUGAAAAUUUGAGCGGUCAUUUUAAGCCUUGAUACAUCUAUCAAUCGAACUCUCUUUCUCUAAUGUUUGCUUUAGAAAACAAUGGCACUGCAAAUAUGAUUUGAAAUUUGCUUGAGUUUUCAUGAAUAGGCAUAAUCAGAAAUAUGUAAACUAUUACCAGAAACUCUCUUUCUCUCUGUGAAAAAAAAAAAAAUCGUAACAGAUUUUACAGUAGGUCAGGACGAUUUUUUCCUUCCCAUUUUCUGUUUCGAAAAUAGUAAAUAGGGGAUUUAUUUCCUUAUGGUUGAUUGGGUAACUAAUUAGUCAAAAUUAGUUUUGGGAAACAAUAUGGAAUAAGAAACAAGGUCUAAAUCAAUUGGGUAACUAGGUUUGUUGCCUGCAAUUAAGGGUGGCAGAACACGAAGAGAAAAAUCAGGCAAGUGAGUUUGUGAUUUUGGGCUUGAAUCCUCGCACAUUAGCAUAAUCAGAAGAAUUGUAGAACACCAGCAGCAGUUCUCUCUGCCUUGCUUGAGAACCCUAUGGAUUUCUCUGCCAAAUUGCUUGGAUUUUCAUGAAACCUUGAAUGUUUAUUUUGAAUGCUGUACAUUUCAAAUAGUAAAGUUUCUAAUAAUGAAAACAUUAUCUUUUUUCCUAAAAAAAAAAUUAUUUUCACGGCCAUUGAAAGGAGUGGAUUUCUUUUUCUGAUUUGGAUCUCUAUACCUUUUACUGUUUUAAUUUUAAUAAAAAUUAAUAUUAUAUGAAUCCUAAAUUUAUCCUUCUCUCAUCCAAAUUCCUUGCAACAAAAUUGGUCAAAUGUUUCUUUUUUAUUUUGACCUUUUCUGUUUAUUGCUUUAUAUUGCAUGCAAACAAGUAUGAAGAAGACAUAGGGACAAAGACUGCAAAGCACUUGGAUGGUAAAUCUCUGGUGAUGCUGGGAACAACAAAUAAGUGGUUCCACUGUCUGAUCAUGGAGGACAGUAUGUGGAAGUUUGCUUGUCUGCGUGAUCUCCAGCUACCAGAACCAUGACACACAUUCCUCAAUUGGAUCAAGCUUUAUGCUUAUGCAUUUGGUAAUGAGCAGGGUGUUAAAUUUUCUCCAUAUUCAGUUAUGUUAUGGUUCUUAUAGUGAAUUAGUAUCAACAUCUGCUUAAUGGCUGCCCUGCAAAUGGAAGUCACUCUUUCAUGUUCCGUCAACAGAAGAAACAUAUUGGUAAUUAUCCUUCCCUUUUUACUAUUAUCUAGAUUUUUUUGCCUUAGUUGCAAGAGAAACCAAUUAGUUCUCUUGGUUAAAGUAGCUACUUCCCUGCUCUUUGGAGACUGUUUGAUUACUACUUAAAAAGAGCAUAUUUUAAAUAAUAAUGCUCAUGAAUUUCACAUCUUUUGAGUAGUAAUAAUGUCUAAAACAUCCAAUUAACAUGUUAUUGCCCUUGCAAGAGUUACUAACAAGUUUUAUGAAGUUUUGGAAUCAUUUUAAGAUAUGAUUUUGAUAAAUUGGUGACAAAAGAGAUGAAUCAAAUUGAAAUGAACAAAUAAAGUUGAUGAAGAUCCAAAUACAUAAUGAUAGAAGUAAUGUAAUUGGGUUGAAUCGGGAUUUGGAGUUGAUUUGGAGGUGCAUGGUUGAGGUGGAUUCAAAGGAAAGAAAUGACAAAAAGGAGUUGAAAAAUAAAGUCAUGCGAAAUGGACCAGAAGGCAUUUGUAUUGCAAACCAAAGAGAAAUCUCAAAGCUAAUUUUGCAUGACCAUGCGAAAAUUUCACACAGUCAUGUGAAAUGCUCCAGGAAGGCAAAAAUUGGUGCUGAUGCAUUUUUUACUUUGCACAAUCAUGUGAAAUUGCUGGAUCUCGUGUGAAAUGGUCAUUUUAUUACUAAACUCUAGAUUUCUUGGUGAAAAAGCCUUCGGAAGACCUCUUAAAUGAUGUCAAGUAUCCACUUAACCUUGGCCUAUAAAUAGAAACUUGAUUUUCUUAUUUAAAGGACUUUUAGACAUUUCUAAUUGGAGAAUUUCCUAGAUUUUCUCUCUUUCUAUAGAAUUCUUUACUUUCUCUCAUUUUCUCAUUAGCCAAAUAUGCCUUGUGAGACCAAAUCUCCAAACAUGAGUGGCUAAAUCUCAUUUUUCUAGGAGGAGGGAGAAUCUAGAGGUAAGAUCUAUGGUGAAUUAGAUAAAUGAGCUUGAAUUGCAAAGAUAAUUUGAUCCAAGUGAUUAAUUAAUUGAAUUUUGAAUAUUUUUCUCUUCAAAUUGACUUGGAUAAUUACUACAAUGCAAACUAGGUAGAUUCAUUAAAUUCUUAAAGUUAAAUUUGAUGAGAUUGAAUAGUUGCAUUAUGUGAAUCAUUUGAAAAUAAUUUAAGAUGAAUUGAAUAUAUGAUUUGAAUUGAUCUCUUGGAUUAAAUUACCUAAUUUGAAGAGAAAUUAGAUCUAGAUUUAAAGCUAAAUAAAAAAUUGGUUUAGAUAAAAAUUUAGAUUUUCAAUCUAACUUGAUGAAAAUUAGACUUUAACAUCUAUUCACCAUGGAAAUUGUUUUUUAGAAAAUCCUAACUUCGAGAAUUUCAUUUUCUAUUAAUUUUCUUCUAUUUCACAUUUCAUUUUUCUUCUCAAUUUGAGACCAUUGUUAAAUUGAUUUCUUUUUUACCAUGAAUUUUCAAAUCAAUUUCACUUGAUUACAAUAAUUUCUUAUCAUCUCAUUCACGCCUUAAUUACCGAGAAUAAUCCAUCCUAAUGGACGACACCUAAAAACCACUAUACUACGGUAGUUUGUAUUAAAACUAUUUUUGAUCGGGUAUAAGCUAUUCUAAAAAUAAUGAAUUAGGUUAUAAAUUUUGUUUUGAUGCAAUAAAUGACGAAAAAUCAAGUGAUCACUGUUCUUAUGAACAAUUUUCAGUUAUUAAAUAACAAUGCACAUUGUUUAGGGAGGAGGCUAAUUCGUUAAGGUGAGAAAUUGUUUGGAAAUCACAGACAAUAAUUAUAUGCCAUUAAAGUAUUGUAACUUUUCGUAUUGACUAGUCUUUAAAGAGUGAGAGGACUCAUUGUGCCACAUUAUGCCACUACUUGUCCUUUAGCAGAGUAGGAAGGAUCAAUCUCAUGAGUCUCAAAAGAUAAGUUAGAUCAUUAUUUAGUUUUGGGUUCUGUCGUAGGGCAGGACUCAGGAAGCACCAAUUUUAAAUUUACCCUAUUUUUCAUCUACUCAGGGACAGACAAUUUGUAAAAAAAUUUCUCCUUGUCAUCAUUCUCACCAAAUAUCAUGAAAUGCAUUUUUUAAAAUAUGGAUUCACAAUCUUAUCUUUAGAUUCAUAAUUUUUCAUGUAUUUUUUAUAAUGAAACUAAAUAGAUUGGAUGCGAAUCGGUGUUCUUUUAUUUUUCAUGCAUUCUUUCAUUAAUCCUUUUAAGUAAACAAGUCUAAAGAAAAUAGGUAUUUUGAAUAUAUUUUAAGUAGACAAAUUUAUUGUUCUUCAUUAUUGGAUUCCAAACGGAUAAUUAGAAUUAUUAAGGUAAUGUUUAAAUAUAUAUUUAUUUUUAAAUAAAAUUAGUAAUAAAUGUCUUAUAUAAAAAGUAGCAAUUUAUAUGUUAUAUUGUUAAAAAUCUUUAAGUUGAUGAUGAAUUUGAAAAAGAUAAAAUUUUAAGUUAUCUUUCAGUUUGUGAUUUUAAGUAUUCACAAGGGUAUUUUGGAAAUAAAAAUUGAAACACAAACAGCUUCUAAACACUACUUUCAUUGCUAUGCGCGCAUUACACCACUCUUCACUCCGAAGUUCAAAGUUUUGAAAUUAAAGGUCAACCUUUUGGCUCCUGGAAACCCACCAGCACUUUCCAACUCCAUAUAUAUAUAGCAUGGCUCGACUCAAGGCUUCUUCGUUCUCUCCUCUUUUCUAUCAACUCCUCUCUUCUUUCUGUGAAUUCCUUUGUCUCUGGUAAUUACAUGACGACCUUCAAGCUCUUUGGUGUUGAGAUAUCGGCGCCGAAGGAAAGAGAAGACGAGAUACCACCUCUCUCCCAACUGCCUUGUGCAAUCCUGCAUACUAAUAAAGGCAUGAAGGAGCGUGGCCGGGUUUUGGUGAUGGGAAAGACACUGACAAGAUCCGAUGUGUCCGUGCAUCAGAGUCGGCUUUUCAUCACCAAUAGUAAGGUGCUGUGGAGCCAGUUAUUGGAGGAGGAGCAGUUGAAGUUGCUGGCAAAAGAGCACGUUGAAGUUGAGGUCGCGGAUCCCAAGGAGGGGAGGACUAGGAUGAAGUUGAGGCUGUGGCAGAGUUUGAAUAUACUUGUGCUGAAUUCCGGAUGGGUAAAGCUUGUGAAGGUUAACAAGCUGGAGGCGAAGGUGCAUCGUAUUGAGUUGUGGACUUUUAGGAUGGGUGACAAGCUGUGCUUCGAUUUGAAUGUCGAAAGACAACGACAAUACCAUCCAUGAUGAUGAUAUAUCAUUCAUUCUGAAGAAUUUGAAUCUAGCUAUAAUGGUAUAAGUGUGUUUGGUCCGUCAUAUUUAUGGAUUUUGGUUUGCUUAAUUUGCUCUGUAUCUUGAUUUGGAGUCGGCCCCGUCGGUCUUUUUUUUUCCUCCGGUUUCCUUUGAAAUAUGCAUGUGUGAGUGAAAUAUGAGAGAAUAACGAUGAAGAUUGUAAGCUAUGGGCUUUAGUCAUGAUUUCCUUUGAAAUAAUUAAAUAGAUGAUUAUUAUCAAUGAGCAUGUUGGUUAUUAUCAAUGAGCAUGUUGGUUAUUAUCAAUGAGCAACUAAUGAACAUGUUGUCUACAGUUGUUUAUAUCUUCAUUUCUUCUUCGUUGAGGCCUGACUCAAUCGGCAAGGGAUUGGUGUGGGAUGUGGGAAAAAAAAAUUAUAUAUAUAUAUAUCUUUUGUUAAAGUUGCCAGCAUCUUUCAGAGGUUUUUAAUUUCCUUACUGAACUUGAACGUUGAAUUUUUAAGGGGAAAAGCCAAGAUGUUAGGACUGUGGGUCCAUGUCACGUGUGCUUGGUUUCGGCCUUGAGUUGUUUUCUUACACUACAAGAGAAUAUAUUUACGGCUGCGGCUAGAACCCGCAGCCAAGGGUAACAUAAGCGUGACUCUAAUAUACAGGUGCAGAUAUGGAAGACUGCAGCUAAGCGUCACCAUAGAUGGCGCAGAUAAAUCUUACAAUUGCGGCCUCAUACAAUUGUGCGAAUAUAAUGUUCAAGUUAUAGCUGGGCCAAUCUUUUUCCACCACCAAAUCGCUUAUAUAGCUGCUGCUCCUUGUAACUGCGACCAUAAGGCUGCUACAACAUUGCCAGAGUGCCCUAUGGCACAAACAAAUACUGAUUCUAAUGCCCUAUCAUGUUCAAAUUUUGCUCCUUGGAUCUAUAUUCUGGAGCGUUUGGCAUGACAAGUUUUUCUAAUCUUUUUUUUGACAUCCUCGUCAUUUCUUAUGAUGUCAAUACCCAUUGGAAAGAAAAUAUACUAUCUAUCACAAGAGUAUUUCAAUCUCAUUUUUCUCCGUAUAUAAAUAGAUAAUCGAGAUCUUAUCAUUAUCACCUACUUGUACCCUUUUAGGAGCUAAUUGUAAAUAUAUACCUCUUCGGGGGCUAUUUGUUUAAACUAUACCUCUUUAGGGGUUUAUAUGCCACUUCUUCAAAAGUGUCACUUUUUAUAUAUCUUUCCUUGUGUUUUCCUCUUCCACGGAAUGUGUUUGCCUCUUCAAGGUCUAUCACACUUCAAGUGUGCCUUAAACUUAUUAUUUAAUUGUCCUUCAAGGAUAUCAACUCAUUAUUUAAUUAUCUUUCAGAGACAUCAACACAUUAUUUAAUCGUCUUUUAGGGACAUCAAUUCAUAUUAGAAGAUUCUCAAUUAGUGAUAAUGAUUGUGUCACUUUCCUUGCAUCAAUGAAAGCAUUUGGUAGUUAAUUUGCAAGUUCUUACAAAUGAAUAAUCUUUUGAACUUCUAGUUCACAUUAAUUAGUAUGAGGAUCAAGAUGAGUCAAAGUCAAUGCAUUUCAAAUAAUUUCACGUCAUUCUUUUGGAAUGGACUUUUCUCCCUUUAAAAGUGGGAAAAUUGUCUCAUUAAAAUGACAAUAUGCAUAACAUGACAUUAUACCUUUCAAGUGAAUAGGUAGACUAGUCACUAAAUAAAAACUUUUGAUUUUAUAAUAUACGUUUAUAUGACUUUACAAAUAAUUAAUGCAUGAUCUUUUACCUCAAAGGACAAAGUUGAUCUUACAAGAUUCUUCUAAAUCUAACAUAUUAUAAAGUGUCAUUCACAUGAAAUCAAAUACUAGUGACAUAGUAUAAGCUCUUCUAGAACUUUUAAUAAGGUUUUUAUCACCUGAUAGUUUUCUCAUUGUUUGUCAUCAAUGUUGUGCAAUUAAUGAUACAAGAGUUUCAUCAAAAUAAUAAGUUACAAAACAUGUCAUAAAGACCUCACCUUUAUAGAGUUAAAGAGAUAUUAUCAUAAAGGAAAAGUUAAAAUUAACAAGAAAAUAUUAAUCAUCAAUGAUGACUUAGCUUAAUAAGUUGUGUAAAAACAAUUAGAGCAUAUAUAAGACAACAAAACAAAUAUGAAAAAAAUCAUUUAAGUCAUAUACUUUUUAAAUAUCUAACACAUUUAAUUUUAUAAGUGUGGAGCAAGUUACACAUGAAAUAACUAAGAAGUAUUUUAAUAGUCAAACUAACUAUAAUGAUUGAUCAAUAAUUUUAUUCAUAUAUUAUUAUGAUUUAAAUCAAUGUGCAAAAAUUAAUUCAAAGGUCAAAAUUUCAAGUAAGCAUAUAAGGAUUUAAAGUAUCUUACAAUUUUUCCAUGUCUCAAAACUUUAAUUGAAACACUACAAAUCCAUCUAAAUAUAUAUGUAAAGAUAUAACAAAAUAUGUUAAAAAGUUUAACCUAUUGUAAUUUCAAAAUUAUUCUUGAAUAAUAAAAUUAUUGCAUUAAUAAAAAUAUGAAUGAUACAUUCAAAUCCAAAUCAUAGAAAAUUAAGGACUUCAAUAAUUAAACUCUUGAAAAAAAAAAUUCAUAUUUCAUAACUUUAGACUAUAAAAGUAUAUAAAAUUCUUAUACCUCUAGACUGUAGGGGAAACAACAAUGUUUAUAUUAUAAUACUUAAUUAUAAUAAUCUUUAUUUAUAUAUAACAUAUAUUUCGUUUCACAUAUAUGACUUUAGGUCACAAAUUUUCUAUAUAUUAUAGUCAUGAAAGAUUAUAAAAUUAAUUAUUCCACUUAGGUCUUAGUUAUAAGAAAUUAUAUAAUAUUAAUUUUAUUUUAUUUUUUGUAUAGCUUUUAGCUAUAAUAGGAUAUGAAAUGAUAAUCUCUAUUGUUUUCAUUUAUAGGAAAUACAUAUUUUCUUUCACAGGACUUCAAGAAUAAAUUUAUCAGAACUCUUAGUCAUAAUUUUAUUACGAUAAAAUGAAAAUUUUGCAUAAUAUCAAAUUAUAAAAUAUUCUCUCUAUAGCUUCUAGCUAUAAAAUUUCAUAAAAUUAUUAAUUGACAAUUUAGUCUGUAUAACUUCUCAUUAUACCAUAGCUAAAAUUUUCUAUAUAACUUCUAGUUAUACAAAAUUAAAAUACCAAUAUUUUCAUGUUUCUAUCUAAGUACAAAAAAAUAUGUUUUAUAUAGCUUCUGGCUAUGAAAACAUUUUUUGUAUGGUUUCUACUAUACAUUCUAUUUUAUUGUACUAUAAAUUUAUAAAUUUAUAUAUAACUUCAAGUUAUGAAAUAUUCAUUGUAUAGUUUUGGCAAUAAAAUUUUGUUUUGUAUAACUUUCGGCUACACAAUGUAAUUAAAAUAAAUUUAAAAGUUAAUUUCUUUCAUAACUUUAGGCUAUGAUUAUUUUGUCAGAACAAGAAAAUGUGUAAAUGUGUACAUAACUUCAGAUUAUGAACUAUUUUCAUGUAAAUUUGUACAUAACUUUAGGUUAUGAACUAUUUUUAUGUAAAUUUAUGCAUAGCUUUAAUUUAUGAACCAUCUUUUUAUGUAAAUUUGUGCACAACUUUAGGCUAUGAACUAUUCAUUAUAUAAUUUUGUACAUAACUUCAGGUUAUGAAUUAUUCAUUGUAUAGAUUUAUACAUAAUUUUAAGCUAUGAACUAAUCAUUUUUAUAACUUCUAGCUAUAAAAUUUUGUUUGGUAUAACUUUCAAUUAUAUUGUAUAAUUAAAAAUAAACAAUUAGGGAUCAUAUACAUAACUUCUAGUCAUGUAUUUAUAAUUUUGUAAUUUACCCUACAACUUCUAAUUACAAAAAUUGCACACAUUUUUCAUAACUUUUAGUUAUGAAUUUACUCCAUAAUUUUGUAAUUUACCCCAUAAUUUCUAGUUAUAGGCAUUACACAUAUUUUUUAGCUACAUACCUAUAAAAAAAUUUGUAAUGAAUUCUUUUCUUUUUCUAUUUCGAGAUUCUUCUAUUUUUCUACAUACUCAGAGCAUCGUGCUGAUAAUGUGUUGUAAAAUAAAAGAAUGAAAAAAAGAAAAAAAAGAGAAAGAAAUUCUCAAAGAAAAGUAUAAUAAAAUAUAGGGAGAAAAUUGGAUCAUUUUUUAUUAGAGUUUCAUCCUUUUAUAGGGAGUCACAAAGAGAUAUACAUCAAUAUAGAUAAUCAUUACAAGUUACCAUUAUGGUACAAAAUCUCAUAAUUUAGAACAAGAAUGACUUUAUUGGAAGUCUUCUAUUUUUAGACCAAUAUAGAAUGUAACCAAGUAAAAUUAUAAAACUUGAGAUUGGUUUAUAAUUUACGCCUAAUUUAAAUUAAAAGGAAAUAACUAGAUUGUGGUUUUUUCCAUUUCUCAUUUAAUCUAGUGUAUUUAAUUUAGAGGAUGUAGAUUUUGUAUAUAUGGAUUUUGGGAAGUUAAAAAUAGCUAAUUUUAUUGGCUAAUUAUGAAGAUAUAAGUUAGAAAAUGAUCUAUAUAUCAUAUACAAAUCUUUGAUAGAUAAGACAAGGAAAUGCCAAUAUCUAAUAUUUCAUUACCUUCAAUUAUAAUCAAUAAUAACAUUGGUGCAAGCAUUAGAAACUAGGAAUUUUCCAGUGUCGUUACAAUGAAGAGAAUCAGAAAAAAUGUUUUCUACAUUAUGAUUUAAAGAGAGAAAGCACACCUUGUCUCUGAAGCAAGAAAGAAACAGUAGGAGCUUGGUGUUAAUUUCCUGCCUCCAUUACUGAUGUGUUUUUUCAGCUUGGAGGGUGGGCAUUGCUUUAAAGGGUUUUAUUGCAAAUGAUUCAUAAAACACAAGCAGCUUACUGGGAUUACAUGUACUAACUGCCAUUCAUCAUCUCAAAUACUAUUAACUUCUAAUGAAUGAGACAAAAUCUUGAAUAUUGAUAAAGGGCAUUUGAAAAUGCUGGUCUUACAACCUUCUUUACCAUCUAUUGAUGUGUGUGACAUUAAAUGUCACCAAAAUAGUAAGUAGUAAUUUAUAUUUGAAUGUGUGUUAAUUAGACAUUCAAAGAUAGACUCAAAUCAAUAUCUAUCAGUAAUUUAUAUUAUUUUUCUGGUCUACCAAUCAGGGUUGAUUCAAACAUGUAGAAACUAGAGCUACAGAAUCAAGGUUCAAGUUGUCCAUUUUUGAAAUGGUAAACCGUUGAUGUCCUUCAUGAUCAAGUUAACAAUAGGUAAGUGUAAUGGCCAAACAGGUUCUUAACUUCUAGAAGCAUAAUCUUUAUAAAUUUCAGAUGGCAUAGGAAAGAGAAAAGACAAAAAAAGAAAAAGAAAAAUGACACCAAAAAGAUUUAAAAUGGAGGAAAAAAAAAAGAGGCAGCAAAUCCAGUUACCUUAUUGAUAAUAAGCUCUGCAUGUUUCACAAGCAGCAAUAGUGUGUCACCUGAAGUAGUACCAAUAGUGGCAGUGCAGCUCAUUUUUAUCAUACAAUAUAUUUCAAGACAUAAAUCAAUUAUCCCAUGCUCAUGAAAGGUCAAAGACCACUUACCCAUCAUCACAUGCAAUCAGAAUUAAUACCUGAGAGUCAACUAUUAAGCGAACCAUGGGCAGAACUAUUAGUCACAUCACUAAAUUUCGACGUUUUGUACUGAUAAGCCAAGAAAAGAGGAGUUAGUUAUUGAUCUCACGAGAUGAAGCCCACUUGUUAUUUGUUAGCUUUAUUGUUAUUGGUUUGUUAUUUUACCAACUGUAUUUUAGUUGUACCAGUUGUUAUUACAGCCUGUCUCCAUCUGUUGUAACAGAGUUCUUUGAACAAUAUAUAUAUUCAAUUUCUCUCUCUUGCUUCAAAAACAAAGAGAGCAGAGUUUCAGUUUCAUCUUUUCUAUCUUGUUAUCAGAGCUCAUGUUCCAGAUGUGAUUUUUCUUUUCUUUCUCACUUUCUCUCUGUUUCUCUCUAUCCAAACAUGGCCUCUACUUCGACACAAUCUUCUUCUUCCUCUAGUUCGAUCAGAUCUGGACAAAGCUCAACAAUGACGUCCAUUCCUUCCUAUCAGAUGCUUAAUCACACUCUGGCUGUGAAACUUGAUUAGACGAAUUACAUCCUAUGGAGAUCUCAGAUUGAUAAUGUCGUUUUUGCUAAUGGCUUUGAGGAUUUCAUUGAUGGAACCUCUAUCUGUCCGGAGAAAGAUCUGAGUCUAGGAGUGACCAAUCCAGCUUUUGAUGCUUGGAGGAGACAAGAUUGAACAAUCCUCAGCUGGAUUUACUCAUCACUCACACCAAGUAUCAUGGCAUAGAUCAUAGGCCAUAAUACUUCUCACUCUGCUUGGAAUGCCUUGGAAAUUAUUAUUUUUCAUCUUCUUCAAGAGCUAUGAUAAUGCAACUCAAACUCGAAUUACAAUCCACAAAGAAAGGAUCAAUGUUGAUGAUAGACUACAUAAUGAAGAUCAAAGGAGCUGCUGAUAAUCUAGCUGCUAUUGGAGAACCUAGCUCAAAACAAGAUCAGGUUAUGAAUCUUCUUGGAGGUCUUGGAUCCGACUACAAUGCUGUUGUUACUGCUAUCAACAUUAGAGAUGAUAAGAUCUCUCUUGAAGCUAUACAUAGUAUGCUAUUAGCCUUUGAGCAUCGUCUUGAGCAACAAAGCUCGAUUGAACAAAUGUCUGCCAAUUAUGUCUCUUCCUCUAAUAACAGAGGUGGUGGAAGGAAGUUUAAUGGAGGUCGUGGACAAGGCUACGCUCCAAAUAACAAUAAUUACACCUACAGAGGUCGUGGACGUGGAGGUAGAAAUAGACAAGGUGGAAGACAAAAUUCCAGUCUAAAUGAGAAACCUCAAUGUCAGUUAUGUGGUAAGUUUGGCCACACUGCUCAGAUCUGUUAUCACAGGUUUGAUAUCUCUUUUCAAGGUGGUCAGAUUACUACUUCUCCUUCUUUGAAUAAUGGGAAUCAAAACAAUAUACCUGCUAUGGUUGCUUCUUUUUCUAAUAGUCCUGUAGAUGAGAGUUGGUAUUUGGAUUCUGGAGCAAGUCACCAUCUGACUCAGAAUUUGGGAAAUCUAACCAGUACUUCACCAUACAUAGGAACAGAUAGAGUCACUAUUGGUAAUGGUAAGCAUCUUUCCAUAUCCAAUAUUGGCUCUAAACAACUUCAUUCUCAUACACAUUCUUUUCAACUCGAGAAGGUGUUUCAUGUUCCCUUUAUCUCAGCUAAUUUGAUUAGUGUAGCUAAGUUCUGCUCAGAUAAUAAUGCCUUGAUUGAGUUUCAUUCUAAUGUUUUCUUUGUGAAGGAUCGACAUACGAAGAUGGUUCUUGCUUAAGGCAAGCUUGAACAUGGGCUUUACAAGUUUCUUGUGUUCAGCAACAAGAAACCUUAUAGUAGUAUUAAUAAUGCUUCUGCUUUUCAUUCCCAUUUUUCUAGUACUGUUGAAAAUAAAGCAGAGUUAUGGCACAAUAGACUAGGUCAUGCUGCUUCUGACAUUGUUUCAAAAGUCAUGAAUACUUGUAAUGUUGCUUCUGGGAAAUAUAAAUCUACUGUUUGUUCUGAUUGUUAGUUAGCUAAAAGUCAUACACUAUUGUAGACCCUCAAUUUUGUCCCUUUAACACAUGUCUUUAAAAUUCGUUUUCAAUGCUUCACAAUAGUUCCUUGGUGGCCCAUAGCUACUCAUACCACUUACCCUUUUUUGAGCCACCUCGGAGAUUUUGGUUGAGGGAUUAUUUGAUCCCUUAUUGUGACCCUUGGCAGCCCUAAUUUAGACUUAGACUUUUCUUAUUUUUUUAGGAUAGCUUUUAGAUACACUUGGCCCUUUAGGCACCACCUUAGGCCUACUUAGUCUCACCUUAGGCCCGUUUAGGUAUACUGGGUCUAUUAAGAUUUUUUUUUUAGCGUGACUUAUAUGACUUGCAUGUUUGCAUGGCUCAUAGGGCCCAUUUUUUGUUAAUUUGUUUAUUUUUAUUUUAUUUUAUUUUAUUUUCCUCUUUAUAUUAUUUUCCCUAACUUAUUUAUUUAUUUAUUAUUUUUACCAUUUUCUAAUUUAUUUACUUAUUUAUCUAUUCAUGCAAUUAUUUAACUUCUAAAAUUUCAUGUUUUUUUGCAAGGAAACUUACCAUUGGAGUUUAAGGAAAGUGGGACUCUCCUUGGAAGGUUUUGGAGGAGAAUUUGAAGUUAGGAAGAUUGCUUUUGAAUUGAAAGAUUUAAAAAAGGAUAAGGAGAAAAGAAGAGAGAAAAUAGGAGAUUUGGCCUUUUUUUUUAGGGAGAUUUAGGUUUUAGGGAAGGAGAUAUAUAUACGUGAGAGAGGAAAAAAAAAAGGGAGGAGGGGAAAAGCUUUUUUUUAUUGAGGGAGGAGAUUCUUCUUGGAGCAGCACACAUUGGAGGAUUCUUGGCGGAACAGCACACAAGAACGAGAAAAUGGUGAUUGCAGCCAAGAUUGUCCAGGUACGCUUCUAGUUACUCUCGAUGUUUUUAUCCAUAUUCAAUCUCUCCAUUUGGUUGUUUAUGAAAAUUCAAUGUAUUGUUGAUUGGUGUGGACGAAAAGGGCGACAAUUUGUUUUGUUGAGAUUGGUUGCUUGCUUGUUUGCCUUGUUUAAUUUUUGGUGUCAUUGAUGUCUUCGGAAGUAUAUAACUCUAUGCUUGAAUGUGAUCACGUUCUGUUUUUCGACUGAAUUGUUUUGCAUUUUUUUUCCUCUGUUCUUAGCCCAUGGAUUAACACAUGAAGUGGGGGCUAUCUAUGUUUAUGGAUCAACACUUUCGGUUUUGGUUUUUUUUUUUAAUUUUUUAAGUUUUACUUCAAUUUUAUUUUAUCUAUAUUCUUUUUCCCGCAUUGGUGUUCGAACCCUUGCUUUUGUAUUUGGGAGUAGGUUGAGGAAUGAAUGAUGUGAGUGUUGAUACGCAGGAUGAAUCGUGUAGUAAUCCCACUCGAAUAUUUGAUAACUGAUUCUGAGAAUCUCAGUUCCCGGAGUUAUCUGCAAGCGUAUCUCCCAAACGUUUCUGUCCGCAAGAAUAGUGGUCUCAGAGAAAACAGUUUGACUUGUAGAGCAGAGGCAAAGAGGCUUACUGCAUCUUGUCGGUUCCCACUAUAAAGAACAGAGUAGUUGAAUAGCUUCAAUUCCUUGGAGAAAAUUCAACCCAUCUAUCAGGCCACCCAGAUUCGUCAUGCCAAUUUGCUACUAGAAUUGUGUCGGACGCAUGAAAAGCUGAAGAUUGAAAUUCGAAACCCUAGCCUCACCCGAGCCAUUCUGCAAACCAUCGUAUUGCGGAUUUGGGGCUGAGGCGGUUGAAGCCGGAUGUAGGUGUCAAUGGCGGCAGUGGAAUUAAUGCAAAUAAGGGAGAUGUGAUUUUUGAGGAAACGGGGUUCGUGUGUUUGAGGAAUGUAGCUUCAGAAUCUCCAGAUAUUUUGAUGCUCUGUGUUGGAAUAUUCAGAGGUAGUUUCAAUGGAUCAAAAAUCUGAUACAGGUAUAGCAAUUACUUUGAGAAACGAAUAGAAGGGAGAAUUCUCUUCUUCUUGGACUGUUGAAUUUCCUGAACAAGCACCCCUUUUGCAGUACUUGAUGUCUCCAAGUCCAUCUGAUCGUCCAAUUUUGAGCCUUUCAUGUGAUGAUCCCGGUUCAUAGAACAAGGAAAAUUCUGAAACUUGCUGAUUAUUUGUGGAAAAAUCAGGGAUUGAAGUUCCACUCAAGCUAUUGCCAUGACUUAACCUCACCCAGUUUUCUGCAGUAAUGUCUAUUGUUCUACAUAAUAUCUUGGUCUAUAGAAGGCUUCACUCAACAUCAGCCUGCCCCGCCAGUCAUUAGUAUUGCGAAGAACUGGACAGUUUCACAUUUGUACAUGGUUAUAUUGAGCCUGUGAUGAUAAUUUUUCAUGAGAGGGAGUUUACUUGAGUUGGGCUGUCUCAUGAAAGCAUCAUACUUGCAUGAUUCCUGCGCUUAGUAUUAGUACAACUUUGGAGCAGCAUCCUCUCAUAUGGUUUGCUAUUAAUCUCCCACAUAAUGCUUACAAGCUUCUUCCAGUGCCUCCUCCAAUUGAUAGCAGCCAAGAGAUACCCAAGUCAAAUUUUUAGUGUGGAGCUUGAUGAUGCCAAUGCAACUUGGUUAUCAAAUGAUAUGGCUAUGCUGUAAACGAAAACAGGAGAGUUACCUUUUUGCUGACACUGGUUUGUGAUGGACGGGUUGUUUACAGACUCGGUCCUUUAAAGUCUAGGGCAUCAGUGUUUACUUCGGGAAUUGCUGCUAUUGGAAGUUCAUUAUCUUUUCUAGGCAGUCAGUUGGGAGAUAGUUUGCUUGUGCAAUUUACUUCCAUACCGUCUUCUAGUGUGGAGAAAAAGGUUGGAAAUAUUGAAGGUGAUGUGCCUUCAGCAAAGCGAUCGCGCAGGUCCUCUUCUGAUGCUUUGCAAGAUAUGGUCAAUGGUGAUAAGCUGCCAUUGUAUGGUUUGGCUCCAAAUAGCACAGAAACAUCACAGAAGACAUUUUCAUUUUCAGUGAGUGAUUCACUCAUCAAUGUUGGUCCGUUGAAAGACUUCUAUGGUCUCCGAAUUAAUGCUGACCUAAAAGCAACUGGCAUUGUUAAACAAAGUAAUUAUGAACUGAUGUGUUGCUCGGGUCAUGGAAAGAAUGGUGCUCUCUGUAUUCUGCAACAAUCAAUUCGUCCAGAAGGGAUCACUGAGGUUGAACUUCCUGGUUGCAAAAGAAUUUGGACAGUUUAUCACAAAAACACACGUGGUCAUAAGGCUGAUUCUACCAAGAUGGUUACUAAGGAUGAUGAGUAUUGUGCGUACUUGAUUAUAAGCCCGGAAUCUAGAACGAUGGUACUAGAAACAGUUGAACUUCUUGAUGAAAAUGACUUUGCUCUGUCUGUGGCAAUGGAUCUAGCUGCAAGUGUUUCUGCCAUAGAACAGACUUCUAGGGCCGCUUCUGUUAGUUUCAUGCGUAAAUUUCUGUAUAAAAUAUCUGGGCAGGAAUUAGCAAUAAUGGGCAUUUUGAAAAUGCUGAGAUCGCUAGAAUGCGCUGUUUAGUAGCACUUGGUAAACUGGUCAAACAAGGAUCAGAGCACUGCCUUAGAUCUGAAAAUGGAAUUCAUCACCUUAGAAAAGCUCUUCACAUGUUCCUUAAACAAUGUUUUGAUGAGGAAUCUUCUCGGUUAUUCUUUACUAUUCUCUCACAAAGGGGAAGAUGCUCAUAAUGCUAGUAGAUGCUGUAUUGUAGACCCCUCCCAUUCUCCCAAUAAAGAGAGUUCAAAAUCAGCAUUUAAGAUCCUUGGUGCUAGAGCAGUUGUUUAUUUUGCCAGUGGCAGUGAGCAACCAGAAAUUCUCUUUCCCAACAUGCAAAUACUGGUGCAUGAGUAGACCAGAGGCAAUACCACAGCUACAGAAGUGUUUACAUAGAGAGUCUUGGAACCAUAAUGCGCGUUACUUGUUGAUACUUAAUUUUCUACAGAAGGCACAUGAAGAGGGAUUUCUAAGACAUUUUUGUAUUGUAAUUGGACAGCUAAAUUUUGUGGUUAAUCCCAAUCACUUAUAUUUAAAGAAUGAUACAUGUUGCCAACAUCGAAAAUUCCAGUUGCUACUUUGUGCCUCGGAAAUCAGCUCGCAAGGUGGUGAUUGUCAUAGCUAUGUCAACCAUGCUAAAAAUGCUUACUAGCACAAAUACCGAGGACAUCCCACCAAACUGCUUUGAUAAAUUCAGUGUAGAAAUGAAUGAGAAACAUAAUGUGAAUUUUCUGAAGCUUGAUGGUCUAGUGCAGGGAAGAAAGUUGUUUCUUGCCAGCUUGUAGCUUAUCAAACGAAUCCUUCUCAAGUACUUUUGACCGUUUCCUCCUAAGACCGAGGUUCCAGAUGUGCCCUGUUCGCGAAGUUACUUCUCAAGCAUUCAGUCUCAUAUGGAUUUAGAGGAGAAAUAAUUGUCGUAUUCUUGGUAUGCAUUUUAUCGUGUUUCUGAAAUAGACUUGCUGAAUAUAAAGGGUUACCAUAUACUCCUUGAAGGAAUUGGGGAAAAUAUUGGGUGGAGGUUCUCACUCUGAUGCAGGGAAUUCUUGUAAUCAUUCACAAAGAAUCAGUGGUCAAAUUAUGAGUGACUCAUAUGAAGAAGUGGACUCCUAAUGAUUCCGAGAAAUUGGAUUUUGAUAACCAGCUUCAGAAACCAUAAAAUAUAUAUGAUGUUGGGUCAAGUGUUGACAAAGAAACUUCCAUUGGAUUCAAUAUCCUUAGAAUAGAGAGAAUAGAGAGCUUUUGGGCAUAGGAUGUCACCACUGUGGCCGUUACGAGAGCCACAUUCUACAGACGGGCUGAGGCAUUCAGGCAUCAGUACAUUUAUUUCAGAUCAUUCAGAAGGGUACCCUACUGUCAGUAGGUUGUCAGCAAAUGCAAGUUCUUCUCUGGCCGGGACAGGCUUUAGACCACUGAUGGGGUCAUCUCAUGCUGGAGCAUCAGAUUUUGGGCUUUUGACAAAUGCUAGUUCAGGGUCUACUACUGGUACUGCUGGACAACAAUGGCUUGUAGGAGCUGCAUCACUAUCUAAACAGUCACCAAUGCACCAGCCAGAACAUCUACAAGUUCAUUCUUUGCCGCUCCCGAUAUAAAAGCCUUUCAAUAUAUUCAAGACAGUUCAACGUAAGGUCUCAUACAAAGAAAGGCACAUCCCCAGAAACUCUUUCUGCCCACUCAGUUUCCAUUUUGGGUACAAUUUCAAAGAGUGUAAGAUCAUGAUUCAAGCAGCAGACUCAAAUGGCGAUGAAGCCAAGAAAGCUCUACAGGAAUCUCAUAAAAUAGUACAUGGUGCUCUCUAUGUUAUUUGGAAGAGAGAAAGGGGACCGGGGUUCUUUAAGAAAUUGCAAGCUUAGAUCCUGAAAACCAUACUAAGCCCAGCAUUUCUUUUGAUGAUCAAGAAGAAAAUUGCAGCAGGCAUUUGAGUACUAAUACUUGCAGCCUCCCCCAACUAAGCAAGAGCUGGAAUUGUCACUUCCUUUUAGUUUCCACUGCCACCCAUGAUUAAAUAGAGCCCUCAAGCUCUCUUCUAGAAGUGUCUUUGAUAUCAAAUGCCCACCAGAAUCCCCAUUCAGUAACUGCUUUAAUGUGACCUCAUGGAUCAAAGAAGGGAUUGAAUGCAAUGGGAAGCCCUGAUGCCACUAUUUGAUUUGUUGGAAACAUGGACGAGACAGCUGUAUCAGAAUCAACUACAGGGAAAGAUGUCAUGGACUCUGCUGUCAUUGCUCGCCUUAUUGAAAUUUUAAAGACCCCAUCCCCAAAUUUGCAGAGAAAAGCAUCUUCUAUCCUUGAGUUCCUGACAAUUAUUGAGCAACACUUGAACACAAUCCUCUCAGCAGACAUUGAAUCUGGUUUGGAAGCUGUUUUCCAACAGAAGAUUUUGGACGAUACAGAAUCUGAUAUGGAUGAUCUGGAGCUUACAUUCAGGAGUGGGAAAACUUGUGGUUAAGGUUUGUAUAGGAUUUAGUCUGGUAAUAUAAGAACAAGAGGAAAGCAAUCCAGCGGAUCAUCGAACAUUUGGUGACUCAUUGAAACUGACAUGCAUGGAGCAUGUCUUUAGAUUAGAAAAGACUGCAGAGUUUUGGCUCUCCAUGACUCCAUCUUCAUCAUUGGAAACCAGUCCAUAAGAAAGAGAAAAGCAGAUCAGAACUCCAGCUUUCCAGUGUGUAGAAAAGGACAGAAUGGCAGAUGCAGUCGCUGAAGAAAUGUUGAUUCAAAUUGAAUUCUGCUUAAUACAGGAUCGGGCAGCCCACUGUCAAUCCCAUGAAAAACUGGUAUGUAUCCUUAAGAAAUAAGCCACGCAUUGGGGAAAGUGGGGGGUGCAAGUUUGAUUCCAAAAAGGUGCAGCCGCACCAUGGAAUUGCAUAUAGACAUAGCAAGCUCUACUCCCUCUUGGCCACCUUGCCACACAUCAUACUCCCAAUGAUUCUUCUUCUUUUUUGUGAUCUUAUACACUUUAAAUUUGGAUUUCAAAAUCCUUUUCAUUAAAACAAUUUCAGUUUUCUUCAAAUUCCAUCCUUAGGGAUUUUUAGGCAUAAAAUUUAGAUUUCAAUGAUCUUUUGCUACCACUUUCCUUCAGGCAUGCAUUUUCAUUAUUUUCUUUUAUUUUUCAUGGUUUUCUCGAUUUUCAACAAGCAUGAAUAAACUUCAUAAUUCCAAAUCAUGGAAUUUAUGCAAUCAACUCAUGCGAAAUUAGUUAGGGCUUUGGUGGGGGCCCGACAUUUAUGAUAUUAUCUUCAAUAUUGUUUGCUUGAUAUCUGAUUGAUUUUUUAUUCUUCUUGAUGAAAUACUUGAAUUCACUUAAUAUUUAUUGUUGAGAUGCUCUUGUUUCCCAUAGAGGAAUACUAGCUUGCUAUCCAGGUACGCUCUCUUCUCAUCUAUUUUUUUAGAACUCUAUGGACUUGUAUGUCAUUAAUGACCAUUUCCAUAUUUGACGUGAUUCUUGAAUGUCUUGAUAUAUGCCUGAUUUGCUUGAAUAAAACAAAUGUUGUGUGAUGUAUCUCCAAACUAAUCUCUUAUGUUUUAUGAUAGUGCUUGGGAAGCCGUCCAGGUACGCAUUUUUAACUCUCUUUAAUUGUGAUUUGAUCUUGUUUGAUAUGUUAUGUUUUUGGAAUCACCUAGCCUACUUAGGUAUCCAUGAUCGACCAUUUAAUUGCCACGCUUCCCUUAACUUAGUCAGUAGAGAUCUCUUUAGGGCUUAGAGGGGUGCUACCUCCUAGAGGUACCUUCCCAAUUAGUAACCUGAUCCCCGGACCUAGACUCGGGUUUCUCAAAGACAUGCUUUUUUCCAAAACUAUGGAGUCACUUUUUAGGGUUUUUCUUUCUUGUUUUAUUUUCCCUUUAAAAUAAAAAUAAAAUAGGUGGCGACUCCAACUUUUUUUUAAAAUUAAUUUUUCACAAAUAAAAAGCGAGUCUCGCCGAUCGAGUGGGGACGCACAUGAAAAAUGCGGGUCCACAACUACCCACCCAGUUCUCAAAUUUUCGUGCAUCUAAACCUUUAGAACUUGUUUAUACUGAUAUUUGAGGACUUGCCUCAGUUAAAUCUACAUCUGGAGCGAAAUAUUUCAUUCUUUUUGUAGAUGAUUAUUCCAGGCACACUUGGUUUUAUUCAUUACAAACAAAGGAUCAGGCCUUUCCUAUCUUUAAGCGAUUCAAGCUUCAAAUGGAGAAUCAGUUUGACACGAAAAUCAAGUGCUUAUAGUUUGAUAAUGGUGGAGAAUUUUGAUCUUUUAUGUCUUUUCUUCAAGUAGUUGGUAUUGCCCAUCGAUUCUCCUGUCCAUACAACUCAACUCAAAAUGGUAAAGUUGAGUGGAAGCACAAACACGUAGUUGAGACUGGGUUGGCUUUGUUAUCUCAUGCUUCCUUGCCAAUGAAGUACUGGCACUACGUUUUUUCAAACAGUAACUUUUCUUAUCAAUCAAAUGCUAAGCAAAGUUCUCGAGUAUGAUUCUCCUUACUUCACUCUUUUUAGAAGGCAUCCUGAUUAUAAAUCUCUUCGUGUGUUUGGCUGCCUCUGUUAUCCUUUCAUUCGGCCAUACAACACUCAUAAAUUACAGUAUAGAUUUGUCCAAUGUCUUUUGCUUGGCUAUAGUUUGAAUCACAAGGGGUUUUUAUGUCUUGAUUAUGCAACUGGAAGAGUCUAUAUUACUCCCCACGUGGUCUUUGAUGAAUCAACUUUCCCACUUGCUCAGUCCAAGUCUUCCAUUUUGUCUAAUGAUACUUCAGCAGAAGGCUUUACCCUUGCCAUUAUAGCUCUUACUUUUUUUCCUACUUCAUGUCUUCUCCUAGAUUCAAAUAUCAGUCAUAGUUCCAUAGAUUCUCAUUCUCUAUCCACAAGUGAAAGUCCUAUUCCUACAGACUCUUCUUCACUUCUGGACACAUCUAGUUUUUCUCCUGCUACAGAUUUGCCACCUGAAUCUGUUCCAGAACCUCAAGUCACUACUCCUGCUCUACGAAUGACAACAAGGUCCAUGAAGGUAUAACCAAGAAAAAGACCAUUCUUGAUCUCUCUGCCAUAAAGGUUUCAGAACCAUCUACUCUCAAACAGGCCUUCAAAGAUCCAAAUUGGACUAAAGCUAUGGAAAUGGAGAUUGCUGCUCUUCAUCGAAACCAUACUUGGGAUCUUGUUAAACAACCACCCGAUGUCAAUGUGAUUGGUUCUAAGUGGGCGUAUAAACUGAAACAUAAGCCAGAUGGGAGUAUAGAGAGGUAUAAAGCCAGGCUUGUGGCAAAAGGAUAUAAUCAGACUCAUUGUCUAGACUAUUUUGAGACCUUUAGUCUAGUAGUUAAGGCUAUCACUAUUCGCAUCAUACUUAUUGUUGCUCUCAGUUUUAAGUGGGAAAUUCGGCAACUUGAUGUCCACAAUGCCUUCCUCAAUGAUGAGUUAGAAGAACAAAUCUAUAUGUCUCAACCUCUUGGAUACUUCGACACUCAAUUCCCAAAUAGAGUGUGUAGAUUGAAGAAGGCUUUAUAUGGCUUGAAACAAGCCCCAUGAGCUUGGUUUCAAAGACUCAGCUCAGCUCUUCUUUAGUGGGGAUUCAGUUUGUCUCGGAUUGAUAGUUCUAUGUUUCUACACUGUGGUCAGGCCACUACUUUGAUAGUUCUUGUCUAUGUUGAUGAUAUAAUCAUAACAGGCAGCUCCUCCACACAGAUUUCUUCUCUCAUAGCUAAACUUGAUUCAAUUUUUGCCUUACGAGACUUGGGUCAACUCUCAUUCUUUCUCGGUAUAAAGGUUUCUUACAAUGAAGGCUCUAUGAAUUUGAGCCAAACCAAAUACAUUUCAGAUCUGCUUCAUAAAGUUGAAAUGUUUGAUACCAAACCGGCAAAAACACCCAGUACUGUUGGGAAGAACUUGUCUAAAUUUGAUGGAGAUCCUAUGGCAGAUGUUACUCAUUAUUGAAGUGUAGUAGGGGCACUUCAGUAUGUUACCUUGACAAGACCUGAUAUAGCCUUUGUUGUCAAUAAGGCAUGCCAAGUUAUGCAACAACCAACCACAGCUCACUGGCUCUCAGUCAAACGAAUACUUCGGUAUCUAAGAGGAACAAUGCAAGAUGGGCUCUUGUUAAGUCCUUCAAGCAACUUGACAACAGAGGGAUUCACAGAUGCAGAUUGGGGUGCUCACCUUGAUGAUAGGCGCAGCUCAAGUGGAUAUCUCAUUUAUCUAGGAGGUAACUUAGUCUCUUAGUCCUCUACCAAACAAAAAGUAGUGUCUCACAGCAGUGCAGAGUCUGAGUAUCGUGGCCUUGUUUUUGCUACUGCUAAGAUUGUUUAGAUGCAAGCCUUAUUUCAAGAGCUAUGUGUGCCAAAACCUACAAUACCUCUACUUUGGUAUGAUAAUAUCAAUGCUUACCAUAUGGCAAAGAACCCUGUGUUUCAUGCUAGAACUAAACACACAGAAAUAGACCUUCAUUUUAUAUGAGAUCAAGUCAUGAGAGGAAAGAUACAACUGCACUUUGUUCCCACUGAAGAGCAGCCAGUAGAUUUAUUGACUAAGCAUCUCACAAGUUCAAGGUUUUUGUCCCUCAAAUCUCAACUUUGUAUAGCUCCAAGACCUUUUCACUUGAGGGGGGAUGAUAAGCCAAGAAAAGAGGAAUUAGUUACUGAUCUCACGAGAUGAAGCCCACUUGUUAUUUGUUAGCUUUAUUGUUAUUGGUUUGUUAUUUUAUCAACUGUAUUUUAGUUGUACCAGCUGUUAUUACAACAUGUCUCCAUCUGUUGUAACAAAGUUCUUUGAACAAUAUAUAUAUUCAAUUUCUCUCUCUUGCUUCAAAAACAAAGAGAGCAGAGUUUCAGUUUCAUCUUUUCUAUCUCGUAUAAACAGGUGGAAUUUGGAAGCGCCUUCAAAAGAAAUCAAUCGAGAGGUUGAGAAAAAUUAAAGAAAAAAAAAGAAAGAAAGAAAUACGACAGAUCAGGGAAAGGAUCGAAGAGCCUAAAACUCAGUUUUGAUUGUUCUACAUUUUCCGAUAAAUUGAUGAAGUGCAAGUCAAGUAAAGAGAACCGAACAAGUAGCGAAACUUAAAACUGAAAAACAUCCAAUUUUCAUUUCAUUUUCUUACAUUUUCUCAUAAACCAGAGGAGGUGAGCCACUAUGCAAUUCUUCCUUUUUUCAAUUCUCUUUAUUUUGAAUUAACGAAGCCGAAGCUAAGUAGAAAUCAAGAAAUAAGAAGCGAAAAGUCUUGAGAGUGAAAGUUCUUCGAUCUUGGCUCAAUUUUCCUCAUUUUUCUUGGCAACCAAACAGAGAAGAGACAUACUUGUUUCCACAAUCUAGAGCUUUCCACGGCUGGAGAAGACGACCACGAUAACAUUGACAUUGCAGAGAACAGAGAGCUGACGAGGAUUCUUGAUCUAGCCAUUUCGCCUCUUGGAGAAGGUCACUUGGCGACUGCUCGUCUUCGAUUCGCUUCAUCCCGACCAUAACUCAAAGAGAGAGAGAAAAGAAGACUUCCUACAAUUCUGAUCCCUCUUGCUCCAGUUGUGGGAUCCUUGCUCUUAACCCCCUUUUGAACAUGAGUGGAAACAAAGCUGUGGGCUGUGCAACGAGAAUUAAAUCAUCCUUCUAUUUUUUAUGUUCAAAAAAUAUAAAGCUAGAGAAAUAAAGUGAAAGAAAGUAAAAAAUAAUAAUAAUUAAAAUUCAUAAAUAAAUAUUUAAUAAUCUUAAUAACUUUGAAAUAAUAAGAAAAAUUUGUGAAGAAUAUUUUGAAAAGAAAAAAGUUUUCAAAAAGAACAUUUAGAAAAAAUAUUUAUUUUCCUUUUUUAUAUAAAUAAAUAUAAAUGGAUUGAGAAGAACUUAAAAUAAUUUUAAUGUAAAGUUAAUUUUAGAUCAUUUUAAUAAGUUGGUAUUAGAUUAAAGUAUUUUAUUUAAUUGAAUGUAUCCAAUUUAUAAUUUAUAGGUUUUCUACUAAUUUUAGAAAAUACAAAUCAUUGAGAAAAAAAUUUAUAUACUUUUACAAAAAUAUAAUUUUCAUAUUCUUACAUCACAUUUUGGGGGUCGUAAAGAUAUUCUAGAAAAUAGAUCUUUUAUUGUAGUUUUAAGUUUUAGAAAUUAGUUUUGUAAGGUUUAAUUAUGAUUCAAUCACUUGAUCUCAAAGAAUAAAUAAUCAGGCAUGAUUAAGUAUUUUUCAAAUUCCGCUAGCUAACGUGUCAAAAUCUUAUGGACACUGCAGCGAAUCGCAGUGCACCACCAUGCAGAGGAUCCAGGUCCUUACCCAAACUUUUGAAUUAAUCUUACGUGUCAAAAUCUCAUGCACACUGUGGGAAAUUGCAGUGCACCGCAUCACAGAGGAUCCAGGCCCUCAUCCACACUUUUGAAUCCAAGCGUUUCCCGCGUCUAUAAAUAGCGAAGCAUGAACUUCUCAGAGCUCCGUUUGUGUUGUUUCUGAGGAGUGAGGAUUGAGAUUUGAAGAGGACAAAAUGGGGAAGCGAAUGAGAAGAGAGAAGUCCAUUUGCUGCUGCAAGUCUCCUCUCGCUGGUUUCUCCUGGUACUUGUACUCUCUUCAACUCUGCGAGUUUCUCUCUGAAAUCAGCUCGAAUUUCAUGAAAUUUUGAAUAUUUGGUUUGAAUUCGGCACAUUUAUCUGUAAAUCCAAACUCGAAUUUCCUAGAGCUUUGAAUUCGUAAAUAAUUUGAUGAAACUUCAUGAUAAUGUAAAAUAGUUCCAGGCAAUGAAUAUUUAGUUUGAAUUCUAUCAUAUUUGAUGUAGAAGAAGCUGUCUCUCUCUAUUCUUUCUCAAAAACUCUACCGAUUCCUCUUACAGAUCCACGAGAAUUUCUGUUGGGUUGGGUUAUUUCCUUCUUGUGGAGGAAAGCCCAAAACCCAAACAUUUAAGGCUUCUUAGGCCUUAAUGUAUAAAAGGGAAGAAGAAAUCCUUUUCUCUUUUUCAUCUUCAUCUUUGCAGCCCUAGGAGGAGGAGAGUAAGAAGAAAAAAAAAGAGAAAGUUAGAGAGAAAAAGAAAAAGAGCCACUGAAUUUUUGAAGUUAGAGAGAAGAACAACGCUGAUUUCUUUUCUUUUCUUUACUGUCCAGAUUUCAUCAAACGGUCGAUCCCGCUUCGUGUGUGGUCCGAUCGACCUAAAAUUUGAGGGAGAGAUUUUCAACUCAUUGAUCUCUAAUCUGAACGGUGGAGAUCGGAUUUGGAGUUCCGAAAGGUUGUUGUUUCAGUCCGUGAACAGUGCGUCUUUGUCGCUGAUUUCUUCUCACCCGGGCAGUUCUGAUCUUCAGCUUGAUCGAGAUUAAUCCGUGGUCUGAUCGAGAUGAUUUUUGGUUAGCACGUUCUUAACUCAUUGAUCUUCAUUUUGAACGGUGGAGAUUGGAUUUGGAGUUUGGAACAGUGGUGAUUUAUGUCCGGGAACAUUGACUCUAUUUUGGUGAGAUCUCUCUAUUGUUUUAUGCAAGUUGUUUUGUAUUUGCCAAGACUAAUUGUCUUGAGAUAUGGCUGAUGUAAACCUCUAGUUUCAUCUAGAGAGAAUUGUGUAACCCAUUGAUUAUAUUAGUGGAGGGUUUAAGUGGCCUAAGGGUCCCAUGGUUUUUACUUCUCACAUUUGGGAAGGUUUUCCACGUUAAAAAUUGUUGGUGUUCAUAUUCUUGUUGCAUUGGGUGAAUUGUUGCUACUCUAUUAAAUUGAUUCCUAUUAGGUUCUCACAAGAGGGGAUAAAAUCUGGUUGUGCAUUGUUUGCGUUUAUCCCAUCAAAGUGGUAUCAGAGCUUUGGUUCAAGAUAAUUUGUGCCUUGUGUAGAACAAUGGAAAGCAAUACAAGUAGAAUGAUCACUCUGAAUGGUUCCAAUUAUCAUGUUUGGAAAGGAAAAAUGGAAGACUUAUUGUAUGUGAAGGAUUAUUAUUUGCCUGUGUUUGCUUCUGAAAGGCCAGAAAAUAAAACUGAUGCAGAAUGGAAUUUACUUCAUCGACAGGUUUGCGGUUAUAUCAGACAGUGGGUAGAUGAUAAUGUUCUCAAUCAUGUUAGUGAAGAGAAACAUGCAAAGAGUCUAUGGAAUAAGCUCAAACAGUUAUAUGCUCGAAAGACUGACAAUAAUAAAUUGUUUCUAAUCAAGAAGAUGAUGAGUUUGAAUUAUCAAGAUAGAACUCCUAUGACAGAUCAUUUGAAUACAUUCCAAGGUAUUAUUAAUCAGUUGGCUGGAAUGAAUAUCAAGUUUGAGGAAGAGGUGCAAGGGUUGUGGCUUCUUGGUACAUUGCCGGACUCGUAGGAGACGUUUAGAACUUCUUUGUCUAACUCAGCCCCAGAUGGUAUUAUGAAUAUGGACUUAGUUAAGAGUUGUGUUCUAAAUGAAGAAAUGAGAAGAAAGUCACAGGGCUCUUCUUCAUAGUCAAAUGUCCUAAUUAUUGAGAAGAGGGGGAGGAGUAAGAGUAGAGGUCCGAAGAACAGAGAUAGAAGCAAAAGCAAGACUAACAAGUUUGCCAAUGUUGAGUGCCACUACUGCCAUUUGAAAGGGCAUAUAAAAAAAUAUUGUCGCCAAUUGAAGAGAGAUAUGAAACAAGGGAAAGUGAAGGAAAAGAAGAAUGACAAUGGUGGUGAAGAUGAUCAAGUUGCCACUACUACUUCAGAUUUCUUUAUUGUUUAUGAUAUUGAUGUUGUUAAUUUUGCUUGCCAGGAAACCAGUUGGGUGAUUGACAGUGGUGCCUCCAUCCAUGCUACACCUCGGAAGGAUUUCUUUACAUCCUACACAUCCGGUGAUUUUGGAAGUGUUAGGAUGGGUAAUGAUGGCUCAGCUAAAGCCAUUGGUAUGGGAGAUGUACGUUUGGAGACUAGUAAUGGUACUAUGUUGACUUUGAAGAAUGUUAAACACAUUCCGGAUAUUCGCAUGAAUUUAAUCUCCACAGGAAAGCUUGAUGAUGAAGGGUUCUGCAACACCUUCCGUGAUAGUCAGUGGAAGCUCACUAGAGGUUCUAUGGUGAUAGCAAAAGGAAAUAAGAGUUCCUCAUUGUAUUUGAUGCAGGCAAAGGUAAUUGAUUCCAGUAUCAAUGCAGUGGAUGAUGAUAGUACAUUUGAGCUUUGGCACGACAGGCUUGGUCACAUGAGUGAGAAGGGCUUGAUGAUUUUGGCUAAGAAGAAUCUUCUUUCUGGUAUGAAGAAGGGAUCUUUGAAGAGGUGUGCUCAUUGCUUAGCAGGAAAGCAGACCAAGGUUGCAUUCAAAACACUUCGCCAUACAAGGAAGCCAGGUAUGCUUGAUUUAGUGUAUUCUGAUGUGUAUGGCCCUAUGAAAACAAAAACACUUGGUGGAUCUCUAUAUUUUGUGACUUUUAUAGAUGAUCAUUCAAGAAAGAUUUGGGUUUAUACCUUGAAAACAAAAGACCAAGUGUUAGACAUGUUUAAGCAGUUUCAUGCGCUUGUUGAAAGACAAUCUGGUGAAAAGUUGAAAUGUAUCCGGACUGAUAAUGGGGGUGAGUAUUCUGGUCCUUUUAACGAGUAUUGUAGACAACAUGGUAUUCGACAUCAAAAGACACCUCCUAAGACUCCUCAGUUGAAUGGGUUGGCUGAGAGAAUGAAUAGGACACUGGUUGAAAGAGUAAGAUGCUUACUUUCGCAGUCACAGUUGCCAAGAUCUUUUUGGGGUGAGGCUUUGAAUACUGUUGUACAUGUUCUCAAUCUUACACCAUGUGUUCCUUUAGAAUUUGAUGUUCCGGAUAGAAUUUGGUCAAAUAAUGAAAUCUCUUAUGAUCACUUGCGUGUCUUUGGAUGCAAGGCUUUUGUGCAUAUUCCCAAAGAUGAGAGAUCUAAGCUUGAUGCUAAGACAAGACCUUGUGUAUUUAUUGGCUAUGGUCAGGAUGAGCUUGGUUACAGGUUUUAUGAUCCGGUGCAGAAAAAACUUGUAAGAAGCCGAGAUGUUGUGUUUAUGGAAGACCAUAUUAUACAGGAUAUUGAGAAGACUAAUCCAAUGGAGUCUCAGCAUAGUGGUGAUUUGAUUGAUUUAGAUCCAGCCCCUCUGACAAAUCUUCCUACAUAGGUUGAAGAUGAAGCACAUGAUGACCAACAUGACAUGGGCGAUGUUGAAACACCCACACAGGUUGAAGAUGAAGCACAUGAUGACCAACAUGACAUGGGUGAUGUUGAAACACCCACACAAGUUGAGGUGGAUGAUGAUGUUCAUGAGCAGUCACCAGCAGCAGAGGCUCCAUCAGAUAUUCCACUUAGAAGGUCUACCAGAGACCGACAUCCUUCCACACUGUAUUCUGUUGAUGACUAUGUAUUACUAACUGACGGGGGAGAACCUGAAAGUUAUGUGGAAGCCAUGGAAGAUGAAAAUAAGAUGAAGUGGGUUGAUGCUAUGCAAGAUGAGAUGGAGUCAUUGCAUGAGAACCAUUCUUUUGAGCUUGUCAAGUUGCCAAAGGGAAAAAGAGCUUUGAAGAACAGGUGGGUUUACAGAGUGAAGCAAGAAGAACAUACUUCACAACCUCGUUACAAAGCUAGAUUGGUCGUCAAAGGGUUCAAUAAAAAGAAAGGUAUUGAUUUUGAUGAGAUUUUUUCUCCUGUUGUUAAGAUGUCAUCUAUUCGUGUGGUUUUAGGUUUGGCAGCUAGUCUUGAUUUGGAGAUUCAGCAGAUGGAUGUUAAGACUGCAUUUCUCCAUGGUGAUUUAGACAAAGAAAUUUAUAUGGAACAACCAGAGGGUUUCGUACUAAAAUGGAAAGAGGAUUAUGUGUGUAAGCUGAAGAAAAGUCUUUAUGGCUUGAAGCAAGCACCGAGGCAGUGGUAUAAGAAGUUUGAGUCAGUUAUGGGGGAGCAAGGCUACCGAAAAACUACUUCUGACCAUUGUGUAUUUGUGCAGAAAUUCUCUGAUGAUGAUUUUGUUAUAUUGUUGCUCUAUGUUGAUGAUAUCUUGAUUGUUGGUAGGAAUGUUUCAAGAAUUGAUAACUUGAAGAAGCAGUUAAGCAAAUCCUUUGCCAUGAAGGAUUUAGGGCCAGUAAAGAGAAUUCUUAGCAUCAGAAUUGAGCGGGAUAGAGCAUCCAAGAAGCUAUGUAUGUUACAAGAGCAAUAUAUUGAAAAGAUGCUUGCAAGGUUUAACAUAAGCAAAGCCAAAGUGGUUAGUUCUCCUCUAACUAGUCACUUUAAGCUAAGCAGCAGACAUAGCCCUUCUACAGAUAAGGAGAAGGAAGACAUGAGAAGAGUUCCGUAUGCCUCAACAGUAGGAAGUUUGAUGUAUGCCAUGGUAUGUACUAGACCAGACAUAGCUUAUGCAGUUGGUGUUGUUAGCCGUUUUUUAUCAAAUCCAGGAAGACAUCAUUGGGAAGCAGUCAAGUGGAUUAUGAGAUAUUUACGAGGCACUUCCAAGUUGAAACUCACUUUUGGAAGUAGGAAACCAAUACUUGUUGGAUACACUGAUUCAGACAUGGCAGGGGAUGUGGAUAAUAGAAGGUCUACUUCAGGCUAUUUGAUGACAUUCUCAGGAGGUGCUGUGUCUUGGCAAUCGAGACUACAGAAAUGUGUUGCACUUUCUACAACAGAGGCAGAGUACAUUGCAGCAGCAGAAGCAUGUAAAGAGUUGUUGUGGAUGAAGUGUUUCAUGCAAGAGCUCGGGUUUAAACAACAGCGCUAUGUGGUAUACUGUGAUAACCAAAGUGCUAUUCACCUCAAUAAGAAUUCUACCUAUCAUGCAAGAUCAAAACACAUUGAUGUGAGGUAUCAUUGGAUGAGAGAUGCUCUCAAUGACAACUUGUUUGAAAUUGAGAAGAUACAUACAGAUAACAAUGACUCGGAUAUGUUGACAAAGACACUACCAAGGGAGAAGCUUGGAGUUUGUUGUUCCAUCGCUGGGAUGGUGAGUCCCUCCACAUAGUCAGAAAGGGGGAGAUUUGUUGGGUUGGGUUAUUUCCUUCUUGUGGAGGAAAGCCCAAAGCCCAAACAUUUAAGGCUUCUUAGGCCUUAAUGUAUAAAAGGGAAGAAGAAAUCCUUUUCUCUUUUUCAUCUUCAUCUUUGCAGCCCUAGGAGGAGAGUAAGAAGAAAAAAGAAGAGAAAGUUAGAGAGAAAAAGAAAAAGAGCCACUGAAUUUUUGAAGUUAGAGAGAAGAAAAACGCUGAUUUCUUUUCUUCUCUUUACUGUCCAGAUUUCAUCAAACGACCGAUCCUGCUUCGUGUGUGGUCCGAUCGACCUAAAAUUUGAAGGAGAGAUUUUCAACUCAUUGAUCUAUAAUCUGAACGGUGGAGAUCGGAUUUGGAGUUCCGGAAGGUUGUUGUUUCAGUCCGUGAACAGUGCGUCUUUGUCGCUGAUUUCUUCUCACCCGGGCAGUUCUGAUCUUCAGCUUUGAUCGAGAUUAAUCCGUGGUCUGAUCGAGAUGAUUUUUUGUUAGCACGUUCUUAACUCAUUGAUCUUCAUUUUGAACGGUGGAGAUUGGAUUUGGAGUUUGGAACAGUGGUGAUUUGUGUCCGGGAACAGUGACUCUGUUUUGGUGAGAUCUCUCUAUUGUUUUAUGCAAGUUGUUUUGUAUUUGCCAAGACUAAUUGUCUUGAGAUAUGGCUGAUGUAAACCUCUAGUUUCAUCUAGAGAGAAUUGUGUAACCCAUUGAUUAUAUUAGUGUUGUUGCAUUGGGUGAAUUGUUGGUGUUCAUAUUCUUGUUGCAUUGGGUGAAUUGUUGCUACUCUAUUAAAUUGAUUCCUAUUAGGUUCUCACAAGAGGGGAUAAAAUCUGGUUGUGCAUUGUUUGCGUUUAUCCCAUCAAUUUCAUGAAAAUUUGAAUGAUCAAUUUCAACCUUGAUAAAUCUAUCAAUCGAACUCUCUUUCUCUAAUGUUUUCUUUGGAAAACAAUGCCACUGCAAAUAUGAUUUGAAGUUUGCUCGAGUUUUCAUGAAUAAGCAUAAUCAGAAAAAUGUAAACUAUUACCAGAAACUCUCUCUCCUUCAAGUUUGGUACAUUUAUGGACAACUAUCUCUCACUUCCGAUGCAAUUUGAUGCGAAAAAUCAAUGUGAAUAUGGAUAUCAUUUGAUAUUGUCUUGAACUGUUUUACAUUAUCAUAAUCAGAAGAAUGUGGAAGACUAAAGUCGAAUUUGGAUUUCCUAUACUUAUCCAUUAAUCUUAAUACAGAGGUAAUAUUAAUCUUCACUCAUUAGCACAAUCAGAAGAAUUGUGGAACACUACCAGCAGUUCUCUCUCCCUUGCUUGAGAACUCUAUGAAUUUCUCUGUCAAAUUGCUUGGAUUUUCAUGAAAUCUUGAAUGUUUAUUUUGAAUGCUGUACAUUUCAAAUAAUAAAGUUUAUAAUAAUGGAAACAUUUUUUUUCCUUUUUUUUUAAAUAUAUAUAUUUCACAGCCAAUGAAAGAAGUGAAUUUCUUUUCUGAUUUGGAUCUCUAUACCCUUUACUGUUUUUAUUUUUAUAAAAAUUAAUACUAUAUGAGUCCUAAAUUGAUCCUUCUUUCAUCCAGAUUCGUUGCAACAAUACUGGUCAAAUGUUUCUUUUUUAUUUUGACCUUUUUAUGUGUAUUGCUUUGUAUUGCAUGCAAAAAGGUAUGUAGAAGAUAUAUGGACAGAGAUUGCAAAGCACCUGGAUGGUAAAUCUCUGGUGAUGCUGGGAACAACAAAUAAGUGGUUCCACUGUCUGAUCAUGGAGGACAGUAUAUGGAAGUUUGCUUGUCUGCGUGAUCUCCAGCUACCAGAACCACAACACACAUUCCUCAAUUGGAUCAAGCUUUAUGCUUCUGCUUUUGGUAAUGAGCAGGGUGUUAAACUUUAAAAUAAUAAUGAUGCCAAAUAUUGAAAUAUAAAUGGAAUAAUUUUAAUUAAAUACAAAUUUUGCUAAAAGGAUUUGUUUGAAUCCAUUUUUGGGUAGGCAAUAGGCAAAAUAUAAGAAACUGGAAACUCAACUCUUGAUUUUUCAAGUGCCGAUUCCAAAAAUAUAAUUUGGGAUUGAUGCGGUUGCAGCCUAGUUGUUAUUUUAUACCCGAAUUGCCCUCUCCUUUCCUCCAGCUCAGCUUCCACACCGGAUAAAAAAAAAAAACAAAAAACUGAAAACACUCUCACUUUUCUCUCCCUACCCUGCCCUGCCCUGCCCUGCCUCACACUAACACUGAACAGAAACUCCAUCCUCCAUCUGCUUCUAUCCCUCUUCAAACCCAAAAAUCCAGAAACCCCAACACCUUCCUCGUGUUGAUCUCAAUCUGAAAAACCCAAAUCCCGUCAAAAACGGACCUCUUAUUUUCCCAUAUAUUCCCGGAAUCCCAAGAAUAUGGUGAAACCUAACCCUAACCUCUUCUUGUCACAACUGGACGACGCAGAUCCAAGGGCGUGGGAUACCCAUCAUCAUCGGCUUCUUUACAUGUGCUUCAGUGGCACUGCACUUUCCAAGCUCCUUCCUUUCCAUCUCCCCUCGUCCUCUCUCUCUCUCUCUCUCUGAAUUGUGAUGGAGCAGCAGCACCGCCAGCAUUCUCAGUUUAAACCUUCUCGUCGAAGGACAACUGACUGUGCCUUUUUUGUUUUUUAUUUUUCUUUGCUCGUCCACAGGUAUGCUUUUGUUGCCUUUUGUCUUUUACCAUAGUAUCAAACAUGUCCAAAUCUGGGGUUCCCAUUUGGAUUUCUAGUUUUCUUCAAUUCUUCAAGCUAUUUGUGCUGUUUUCUUUUAGGGUUUUUUUAUUUUUAUUUUUUUAUUUUAUGAAUUUAUGUUUUUUUUUGGUAUGUGUAUUUUUCUUCCAUUGCUGUGGAAAUCACAAUAUUGAGUUUUUGGUAUUAGGAUUUGGAUGUCAAAAUCACGAGAUUUUGGUGUUUGAUUAGGGUUAGGGUUUUUUGUGUUCAUGCCUAUUUUAGCACUUGUGUAUGUAUGUUUAGAGAAUGUUGUUUAUUUAUGUAUUUUUCUGUACAUUUUUGUUAAGAAAUUCUUCUUUAUAUUGCGAUUCCUAUCGAAAUUUAAGGAAAAUAAAUUUUCAAUUUUACAGUUUCAUGCAUAAAUACUUGAAUUUGGUCACAUGGAGAUUGAGAAGGUAAAUAUGUAGUAUUUACAUUGAUGAAUCACAUGGAGAUUGUUUGAUUUUUACUUCUGUUUGUCUAAAUAGUUUAAGAAGACAUUUCCUUUUCAUAGCUUCUUCUUAUAUAAGCCCUUUGCUCAGCAUGAUCAGAAUUUAGCCUCUCUUUAUAUAGAUGUUGCCCUUAAAAUAUAUAUGUGCACUGCCACUAUAGCCGUCGUGGUUUGGAUUGAUUCAGGAUUUGUUUUCUUCUUUCAGGGACUUGCCUAACCACAGAGGACUGCCUCUUUAAUAAAAAUAGGAACCCACAUUUGACUAAGGAGCAAAUAGAGGCUGAGCUUAAGUCCUAUCUUGGAGUCAAGAAAGUUAUUUGGUUGCCUCGCUGAUUGUUUGGUAAAUAUUUCUCCUUUGAUUGUUAAUUUCUGCCUUAGGUUUAGAACUAGUUGUAAUGAAGCACCUCACCCUAAAUAGGUCAUUCUUUUUUCUUAUAUGAAGGUCUACAUGACCCUUGUAUUUUGCUGGCAUGUUCAUGUUGAUUCGGACAAGACCACAGUCAUAGACCUUUGUUUGUCUUCCAUUUUUUAAAUAUAUUAUUAGCUUUCCGCCAAAUUGGUCUCAUGAACUCUAAUGAUAGAAAUGGAACUCUCCAUUUGAAGCUCUGAAUUCAUCUUACAAUUAUAGCUGGUUUUCUUAGUGCUUUGCAAUUAAUACCUUUUGCUAAUCUUUGUUCAACUUUUAGCAAGUAAAAUCCAAAAUUCAGUAGGGCAGUGAAGAAUUGACCACGCAAAAUUGUUUCAUUUCCUGAAAUGUAAUUAAAGUUCCAUAAUUUAACUAGUUUUUUACCUUUCAUAUUGACCCUUUUUCUUUUCUUCUUUGUUUGGUUUUGAUUUCCUUCAUUAUGGAUCUUGUACUGCUGAAAUGGUAUUCUUCUGGGGCCACACACAUAUCAUUCAUGAGCAAUGCUUUUUUUGCUCAUGUUCUUUGAGCUUAUCACUUUUACCACUGUUCGUAAUUGGACAUCUGGUAGCCUUGCUGUAUGUGAGGCUGACCCAUAAUAACCAAACAAAACUGGUGGGCAUACAUUAUUUUUGCAUUUCAAAAUUGUAAAGAGUCAAGCUCUAGAACUAUUCAUUUUUGCCACAUUUUGGUUCUAUACAACUGCCUUCAUGGGCUUUGGUUCGGAAUGACAUUAUGGGAAGCAUCCGUAGUUUUAGACUAAAAUGGUUGGGAUAGAACCAGUAAUCACAAAGGGAUGAUUUAUCAUUAGCCAUUACUAUAAUUUUAGCCAAAAUGCUGUGAUUAGGACAUCAUCCUGCUAUAAUGUGUACCUGCUCGUCCAGCUAUAUAAAUUUUCUUGGUAACUUUAAAUUUUCUUAUUUUUUAGCUUUCUUUUAUGGGAUAUUAUUACGAAAAUUGUAAUGAGCAAAUGAUAACCCAAUAAUUCAUUACUUUCUAGUGGACCUUCUGUAAUUGAAUUCUAUGACUACUGGUGGCCUAUCAUCUACUACCCAAACAUAGUACUUACUAAGAUACCAUUGCUUGAAAAACUUCACAUUCAUAUUUUCUAGAAAAUCAUUUCCUGUUUUUGAGGAUAAUGGAUCUUCGAAGCUGGUAUGGAGGAUUUAAUGUCAUUGGUCUGAAAAAAUUGUUCUCAUUAAGGGUUUUGUUUGGAUUUUAGAACCAAUACAGCUGGUGGGCACACCGUGAGGGAUUUAUAUGCUGGUGUAGUUAGCUUACAGGUAACACCAUGACCAAGAGGAAUUUUGUUUGAAAAUAUUGACAAGAGAAGCUGGCUUUUUGAGUCACAGAUGCUUCAAAUAUGAGAAAUGCAAAAAAAAAAAAAAAAUUUCACUUGGUUUAUGGCAUUUUUCUAGUCUUAUUUGCAGAAAGUCAUCUUCUCUUUAAUAUUUUUUGUAAUCUUAGUCUUUGGGAUUUUUCUAAUUUUGAUGUUAUAAUCACCCAGAGGAGCACGUAAGUGAAGAAAUUUUUUUAAAUCGUCCUACUGCUGGCACACUCUUCAUGGAGGGACAGAUGCAAGCAAGGGAUCAAGAUAACAGUGGGGAAAUGCAUGACUUCAAUUUAACUACUAUAUUGACUGCUAUGAACCGCUUCUCUGAUGCCAAUAAGCUUGGAGAGGGAGGUUCUGGGCCUGUUUACAAGGUCAAGAAAGAACUUAAUUUCCUUAGAGAAAAAGGGUUCUAAGAGAUGCUACACGAUAUAUGCACAUUAAACUCUGUGAAUCUUACUUUCAUGACAUACAACAAUGCUUGGCCACUACUUGUUUGAUUGAGUUUGAAAUGCCUUCAGGUUAAGCUGCAUAAUGGGAAGAGAGCAGUUAAAAGGCUUUCGAGGAAAUCAGGGCAAGGUCUUGAAGGGUUCAAGAAUGAAGUUAUGUUAAUUGUUAAACUUCAACACAAGAAUCUUGUGAGGCUGCUGGGUUGCUGCAUAGGGAGAGAGGAAAAGCUCCUUGUCUAUGAGUACAUGGCCAACACUAGUCUUGAUGCCUUUCUAUUUGGUUUGCUCUCUCUUUCUCUUCUUCUCUCUCUCUCUCUCCCACACACAUGUAGCGUCAUCUUCUUAAUACUUUGCUCUUCCAGUAUCAUGAAAAACCUUCACAAGAAUGGUCUAAACCUCAAAAUUAUUAUGAGAUUUUCCCCUGAAUUUUUUUUUCUUAUGUUCUUACAAAAAGCAGGCAACUAGACUGGGCCAAGCUUGCUGCCAUUGUUGGGGGAAUAACAAGAGAGAUUCUGUAUCUGCAUGACGACUCUCGGCUCAAAAUCAUCCAUAGGGAUUUGAAAGCAAGCAACAUUUUGUUGGAUGAAGAGAUGAACCCAAGGAUCUGAGACUUUGGAACUGCUAGGAUUUUUGGUAGUAAUCAGCUUGAUGCUAACACAAACAAAGUUGGUGGUACAUUGUAAGUCAUCUCCUUCUCUUGCCGUGCUGUGUUUAACUGUUAAGCCCAAAAGAAAAAAGGAAAAACUGCACAUACAUAUUCUCUUGUCUAGCAUGAGACACGCGCAAUCUUAAGUCCAAGAAAGUACUACUAUUCAUAUCAAUCAAACAUCUCUUUCUACUAGUUUUAUGUGAAAAUAGCCAUUUUAUAGAAAAAUAUAUAUAUAAAGUUUAGUCCCUUUGUAAGACUUAUGGUCAAACUAGUCUCUUUAUUACCAAGUCAUGUCAUAAUUUUUUUUCUUUUCAAAAUUUAAGUUAAAAUCUCCAUUGUUAACCAACGCUUCAUUUUUUAAUUGAAACUAUAAUUAAUAAUUGAGAUUUUAUUUUUGAACUAAAACC
rnacentral:lncRNA from 1 species